rnacentral:lncRNA from 1 species
UCACUGAGUCUCAAAUCCUCCCACCCACCGUAACUCAGGGAUUCGGGCGAUGCAACAGCUUUGAUGGGAGAUAAAUCUAGAGUUUUAGGAUCGUAAAAACAUUUCGAGCGGGAAAAGGGAAGGAGUGUUUUAUUUUUUCGAGAAAGUAAUGGAAAAUGGGUGAGAAAAAUCGGAGAUGAAAUAAUCAAUGGAUUUGAGUAAUUUGGAAAUUGAGUUUACAAAACUUAAGGUUUUCAUUUGGAAAUGAAGGGUGAUCGGAAGGCCGCUUUGUUUGUUCAGUUACGUGGCAAGUGCAACAACGGUUUCUCAGGUGUUGCGCUGGUUAUCUGAAAGAUUGAAACACUAAGGGCAUCUCUAACGUGACACUUUUUGAAUUAUUUUUGAUAUAAAAUAUUUCUUCAAUAUAACAUUAAAACCAACAUUAAAAUGGUGCUAUGAAAAGUAUUACACUAAAAUAGUGUUAUGAAUAGUAUUACAUUAAAUAUGGUGUAAUAUUAUUCAUUUAGUGCUAGAAAAAAAAGUCUCAAAUAUUUUUAUUAUUUUUUUAUUUACAUAUAGGUCUUAUUUUAUAUAAUAUUUUAAGUUAUUAUUAUUAUAUUUGUUAUUAUUUUUAUUUCAUUUUUUUAAUUUUUGAAUAUUAUACUAAUAUUUUAAAUAAAAAAUAUUCAACAAAAAAUAAAAAUAAAAAUAAAAUGCCAAUAACAUUAAUUAAUAAAUUAAUAAACCCUAAACCCAAAAAUUAAUAAUAAAAAUAAAAUGCCAAUGUUGGUAAAGAGAGUAGUUUUCCAAGAAUAUUAGGCAGCCUAGAUUGCAUGCACUGGAAGUGGAAAAAUUGUCCAACAGCUUGGACUGGACAAUAUAAGAAUCUAGUGGAACCCCAACUAUUAUUCUGGAGGCUGUAGCUGAUUAUGAUAUUUGGAUAUGACAUGCACAUUUUGGUUUGCCUGGUUCAAAUAAUGACAUUAAUGUGUUGGAGACAUCCCAUCUUUUUGCCAACCUCGCUUCAGGUAUUGCUCCUCCUGCUCAUUAGGUCAUUAAGGGAACGAAUAUAAUAUGGGUUAUUAUUUAGCUGAUGGUAUCUACUCAAAAUGGACUACUCUUGUACAAACUAUCCAUGAUCCACGUGGUUCUAAAAAGAAAUUAUUUGCCAUGAAACAAGAAGCAUGUCGGAAAGAUGUAGAACAUGCAUUUGGAGUCCUUCAAUCACAUUUUGCAAUUGUUGCUAGACCAUUACAUUUUUGGAACAAACAUGUGUUACAUGAUAUAAUGACUGCUUGCAUUAUUAUGCACAAUAUGAUAAUUGAAGAUGAACGUGAUGUUAAUGCAACAAUUCAUGAUUGGAUGCAAUCGCCAAUACCAACUGUUGAUAUGAGGGUAGAUGAGAAUACUAGAUUUUAAGAAUUUUUUACUUGACACAAACAAAUCAAGGAUAAAGAGGCUUACAUUGCACUCCGAAAUACACUAAUUGAUCAUUUAUAGGAUGAAUUUAGUAAUUUGAAUAAUUAGAGUAUUAUUAUUGUUAUUGUAUUUUUUUUAUAUUAAUGUAAUGUUUAAUUUUCAUAAUGUACUAAUUUAAUUAAUUAAAUGUAAAUUUACUAAUUUUCUAUAUUUUUUUUGUUAAUUGAUAUAAAAUUAUUUAUUACUUAAUUAUCUAUAUUAAUAGUAAUAUUUAUUGUGUUAAUUGAAUUAAUUCUUGAGAAUUAAAAGAAUAAAAAGAAGAAUAUUCUUUUUGAUGUAAAUGGGUUGGAGAUGAAAUAGUAAUUUGGUGUGAAAAAUGUAUAUUUUUUGUGUUGGUGUUAUACUAAAAUGGUGUUAAGCAUUGGAGAUGCCCUAACUUUCAACCACAAGGAUAAUGUCGUCAAUUCCUAAAAUUGUCCCGGUAUAUUCAUCUAUUGAUGCGUAGAGAUCCACGUUUUCUCGCGCUUUGGACGACUAGACCCAAUUAAAGCCUAUAUAAAAUGAUUGGGUCGGGCGGCCUGAAUAAAUUGAGCCCACACCUUUUGACACCCCUAAAAACUCCAUAUAAAACCAAAAUCUCAUUGAAAUUAUCAAAACAACCAAGUAGAUUUGAUUCGAUUCCAAUAUUUUGUAUGGAAAUUAAGUUAAACACUGAAAUUAAUUAUUUUUUAAUAAAUAUUUCACAUCUACCCUAUUUUAUAAUAUAUAUUUAAAUUUUAAUAAAAAUAGUUUUUUUUAAAAAAAUUAGAGUUAUGAACUAUAUAAUAGGAAAAAAUAAUUUAAGGUUUUAAGAUUUGAAUAUAAUUUAUGAAUAAAAACUUAAAAAUAAUUUUUUAGAGUAAAGAACUUUAUAGAAAUAUGAUUAAUUUUAUUAUAUAAAUUUAUAUUUUAAAAACUAAAAGGAGGUAUUUUAGAAAAUAAAAUUUAAAAUAAAUGUUGUCAAGAUUUUGAGGGGGUGUCAAAAGCAAAAGCUCCCCCCCUAACGCAAUCGCAAGUAGUCACUACUAGCACAAUUCAACCCAAAAGAUCUAUUAAAAUCACACACCUCUUAUGAUAUAAAUCAAAAUUUUAUUUUAUAUCAAAAUGGUACAAUCAAAUUCGAUUUUAAUCUUCACUACGGUGGAAAUUGCCUAUAACAGACAAGUAACUGUGAGUACGUUAAAUUUAUUACAACUCAUUAUUAUUACUAUUAUUACUAUUAUUACUAUUAUUACUAUUACUAUUAUUAUUAUUAUUUAUAACUAAGAAGGAUCAUAACAUUGCCAAAAUAGAUAAUACCGAAGAAAGAAAAAAAUGCUGUCACUCUUUAACAGUCAACUCUUGAAUUCAUUUUCUAUUUCAAAUAAAAUAUCAUCAACAAUUGCACCAUUCUCAUCAUAAAAGCAGUUAAUAAUUGCAAAAAUAAUAAAUAUGAUGAGAAAAUCAAAGCAAGGUCUUGAAGGCUGUUUGGAUGACAUGUUUUAGUGUGAAAAAUCCAAAGCCUGAAGCCAAAGGCAAAGACGAAGGCAGGCACAAAGACAAAUCAUCAACUUCAGUGACAUCUUCACCGAUUCAUGAUAGCUGUUACAGUGCUACGAACUCUUAUUAUCGCUAUGAGGAUCUAAAAGCAAUCAUUUCCUAUUGCAAGAACUCACAGGGGCUGGGGAAAAAAAAAUGAAUUACAAUAGCAUUGGAAAAGACGAUGAAUCCUUUCGCUCAAAAAUUAAAAAAAAUGCUCAAUUACGGUAGCUGCGAAUGUCUGAUUAUGAUGGACAAACAUAUAUUUUAUUUUUUUAAAAAGAAAAAUCAGCAGAAAGUGAGUGGUUAGGCAAGACCCCUACUUGUAAUAUAAAUCAAAAAAUAAAAUAAAUACGUAAGGAGGGGAAUAUAGACCAAAACCUCCAAAAGAAAAUGAAAAUACACAUGAAUAGCCAAGAAAGAAUAAAGGAAUAGAAAACCAUCAAUUAAUGCUAACAUUUGACAUGAGGAACAGACUGAGCAUCCAAAUGGAGAAUACUAAAAAAGCCAGCGGGAAGAUCCUAGGAACAAGAGAAGUGCCUAUUGACAUGGUGAGAACAUGCCCAAUUGGCCAAAAAAUCAGCAACAGAGGUAGCCUUACAAAACACAUGACUGACUAGAAUAAGCGAAGAUGAUGUGAAAGAACACAUCCGACGCAGCAAGCAUAAUCCCAACGAAUAGGACCCCGGGAAUGUAUCCAAGAAACGACCGUAGCUGAAUCUGACUCCACCUCAAGCAUAGGAUAACCAAGCUGAGCAGCAAGCUCCAACCUCUCGCACACAACCAUGAGCUCAGCGUAAAGUAUAGGCUAGCGGCCAAGAAAGGAUCCAAAAGUAGCCAAAAACACAUCUCAAUGAUCUUGCAUAAUACUAGUAUUGUUAUUAUUACUACUACUACAAUUAUUAUAACAUUGCCAAUGAGGGACAACAAUGGUAUUACACGGUGGAGUGGUAAUAGAUUAGGUGUCGCAUGGUGGUGGCAGUGGAGCUAGUGUCGCAUGGUAGGUGAAUGUCACGCAAUGAGGUGACAAUGGAGUUGGCGUCGCACGUGGAAGGCAAAUGGCAUGGUGGUGGAGCGUUUAGUAGUUAGCGUUUGUUGAGCCACUGCAUAGAGAGAAUGACAGAAAGAACUACUUGAGCCAAUCUAAGAACGAGGGUGAGAACGAAAGGCAAAAAAUAAUUUUUUUUUAAUCACAAAAUAGUUACAAAACUUGCGUAAACCUGACCCUUCGUUGGGUUUAGUUUAUGCGGAUUUGACUGCAUAAGAUUUUGUGUUGACCACAUUAUGAUACUAUGUGGUGCAAUUGAUAAACAUUGGUAUUAUGAUACUUUAAUAUAAUGAGGAGUUCUAACACCUUAACCAAAUAAAGUUGUUCAAGUCAAGUAAAAAAAAAAAAAUAAAUAAAGGCCGACUUACAAAAUUGAAUUUUGGUCAAAUCGAUACAAAUUUUUACAAAAAAACUUACCAUCAAAAUUCUAUAAACUUCCAUCAUUCAUAUUUCAGUCAUAUUAAGUUGAAUUAAAGAUUAAAUAUACAGAGAAGAUAAGACAACAAUUUCCUCCUUUCGUUUUUUCUAGUGAUGAAAAUGAAAGUUUUGGAAAAUGCUAUCACAUUUUAUUCACUUUACAUCAUAAAAUACAAAGAAUUAUAUACAAAAUUCUAGUUGACUUCUAAAUACUAAUAAAGGAAAACAACUAAAUGCAAAGCUAUAAAAUCCCUAAAUUAAAGAAAUAGAAGUAGGAAAGUAAAUAAAAUCAGAGAACAAAAUGUCCGGUAAUUGAUAGGAAAAUCUGCAGUGGAUCAAGGUAAUUAAUUAUAUUCUCCAACACUCCCCCUUCAAGAUGGCAGGUGAAGGUCUUCAACGCCCAUCCUGGAAAGCAUUUGAUGGAAAGAAUCAGCUCCAAGAGGUUUAGUAAAUAUAUCUGCUAGUUGUUGUUGUGAAUGAAUGAAGGUUGUGUGAACAAUUCCUCUUUGAAUUUUUUUCUCGAACUAAGUGGUAUCAAUUUCGAUAUACUUAGUUCGUUCGUGGAAAGUGGGAUUGGCAGUAAUGUGUAAGGAAGCUUUAUUGUCACAAUAAAGAAGUGUAGGUGGAGGAUGAUUAACUCUAAGGUCUUUAAGUAAAUAUGGUAGCCAACUGAUCUCACAACAAGAUAUUCCCAUUGCUCUGUAUUCCGCCUCGGUAGAGGAGCGAGAUACGGUUGAUUCUUAAAUUUCCAUGAUAUCGGAGAAUGGCCAAGGAAAACACAAUAACCCGUGACAGAAUGCUUGAUAUUUGGGCAGCUUGCCAAAUAUGAGUCACAAUAUGCUUGCAAAUGCAGUGCACUAGAUGAUGAGAGAAGUAUGCCUUGUCCUGGACUCCUUUUUAAAUAAUGUAAUAUCUUGAUUGCAACAAGGUAAUGGGGUUAACGUGGUUCAUUAAGGAAUUGACUGAGAGUUUGAACACAAUAGGCUAUGUCUGGUGUAGUGACUGUAAGGUAGAGUAAUCGUCCAAUUAAUCACCAAUAAGAGGAUACAUUGGAGAUAAAUUCACCAUCUGAAUUAGUCAACUUUAAAUUUUGUUCCAUGGGAGUUUUGGAUGGACAAGAGCCAAGAAGACCAAAAUCCUCAAGUAAUUCCAGAACAUAUUUUCGUUGACUCAAAUAAAUCCCACUCUUAGAACGAGCAACUUUAAUGCCAAGGAAGAGCUUUAAGUUGCCAAGGUCCCUCACUUUGAAAUUGCUUUGCAGCCUCUCCUUGAGUUUUUGUAUUUCGACCGCGUCAUCACCUGCAAUGAUGAUAUCGUCUACAUACACAAGAAUCACAGUGGUCGAAUCACUCACUACCUUAGUAAACAAAGAAUAAUCCGCAUUUGACUGACAAAAUCCAGCAUCUAGCAACUUAUUGGAAAGUUUUGUAAACCAUUGGUGAGAGGCUUGUUUAAGGCCGUACAAGGACUUUUAAAGCCUACAGACUACAUCUUGAUUUUCUGAUUCUUUGUAUAUAGACUUCUUCAUUUAGGUCUCCAUGUAAGAAAGCAUUGCUAAUAUCAAGUUGGUAGAGACUCCAAUUUUUCACUGUUGCAAUAGCCAAUAAACAACGCAUGGUAGUUAGCUUUGCUAUUGGAGCAAAAGUUUCUUGGUAAUCAAGUCCCUCUUGUUGAUCAUAUUCUUUGGCCACUAAGCGAGCUUUAUAGCGUUCAAUAGUCCCAUAUGCUUUAUACUUCAUUUUAUAUACCCAUUUACAACCAAUAACCUUUUUAUUUGGUGGUAGAGAUUUAAGGUUCCAGGUCUGAUUAUCCUCUAGACUUUUGAUUUCUUCGGACAUUGCAUUCUUUUAAUUUUCAUCAAGCAUUGCUUGUUUAAAGCUCUUUGGUUCUAUGGUGGAUGAAAUUGAUGCUAAAAAGGAACGAUGAGAACGAGAAAAUUUGUCAUAGGAAAGAUAAUGAUGUAUAGGAUGAUGUAAAGAUUUACUUACAAGACAUGAAGAAGAUGCUGAAAAUGAUAUAUCACAUGAGGCCAACUUGCAAUGAUAAUCUUUGAGGUAAGAAGAAGAACGGGUAUCUCGAGUGGAUCGUCAAAUCAUUGCUGGUAGGUCAUCAACUGGCUGGUCAUUUUCCUGACAUACUGUUUCAUCAAUUACAGUGAUAGAUGUAGGAGUAGAGUCAUCAUGAUUUUGUUCAACAAGUGUUGGACUAGGGUUAUCAUGAUUUUGUUCAAUAACAGAAUGGGGCAGAACAACUUUAUUAGAAGGUGGGAACACCUUUUGAAGGAAAGGAAAAAUAUUUUCAUGAAAUUGUACAUCUCUGGAUAUGAAAAUUCUUUUGUUAUUUAAAUCAUAUAAUUUAUAACCUUUUUGAGCAUAUGGAUAACCAAGGAAAAUACAACAAGUGGUUCUAGCAUCAAAUUUUGUCUUUGAAGUAUUUUUAUUGGUAGCAUAACACAAAUUCCCAACGACUUUUAAAUGUGAAUAAGAAGGAAUUGCUCCAAAAAAACAUUUCAUAGAUUGUCUUACCAUAAAGAAGAGGAGUUGGUGUUCGAUUUAUAAGAAAAACGGCAGUCAAAACACAUUCUCCCCAAAAUUGUAAAGGAAGUGCUGCUUGGAAUCGCAAAGCACGGGCUACAUUCAAUAGAUGGCCAUGUUUUCUUUCCACAAUCCCAUUUUGUUGGGGUGUGUUAGCACAACUCUUUUCAUGAAUGAUUCCGUUCAUACGACAAAAGUCUAGCAUGUUAAAUUCCAACCUGUUAUCAAAACGUAAAACUUUAAUUUUCUUGUUAAAUUGGGUUUUAACAUAAGAAUAAAAAAAUUGUAUGAGUAAGCAAGUCUCACUCUUACUCUUCAUAAGAAAAAUCCAAGUACAUCUUGUAUAAUCAUCAACAAUAGUAAGAAAGUAACGAGCACCGGAUAAAGGAGCAACAUGAUAUUUUCCCCAUAUGUCACAAUGAAUUAAAUCAAAAGGCUCCAGAGAAUUUUUAUUACUUAAAACAAAAGGAAGAUGAGUUUGUUUAGCUAAUGGACAGACUUCACAAACUUAAUUUAGCGUAGAAACAUUUAAAUUAGAAAUAUAAUUGGAAAAUAACUGAAGACAUUGAUAGCUUGGAUAUCCUAAGCAUUAGUGCCACAAAUUAGAAGAAGACAUAGAUUGUAGAUAUUUUGGAUGAGUGACUGGUAAUUGAAAUGAGAAAAGGCCAUCAUGUAAUUUAACCGGAGCGCUCCAAUCACCUUCCUCGAGGACUGGUCUUGUAUAAGACAAGAAUUGGGUAAGAAAGUUACAAUGCAGUUUGCAUCAUAAGUGAGUUUUCCAACUGAAAUUAAAUUAAAUUGGAAGCUGGGAACACAAAGAAUAUUAUUCAAAACAAUAUUCGGUGUCAAUUGAAUUGUACCAAUAUCAGUGAUUGGGGCAUCUACCUCAUUAGGUAGUUUAACUGUCAUUGAACAGUGAGAUGUGAUGUAUGAAAGAAUUGAGGGAGAAUUGACCAUAUGAUCAGUAGCUUUAGAAUCAAUAAUCCAAGAAGUAGAGUGUGGUAAAUGAACAACAUUGAGGGCAUUACCUGUCAAAUUGCUUUGUGGAACAUUAUUACUCACUAGAUUUGAUCUUGGUUGAGUGUUGAUUAAUGCCAAGAUCUGCUGAUAUUGUUCUGGAGUGAAAGAAGAGGCUUGUAAUGCUAGAGGAUUCAUGGAAGUUUGGUUGGCAGUAGGCUGAUUUUGACCCUUAAACAACUUAUGGCCAGAAGGAUAUCCAUGCAACUUGUAGCAUUUUUCUUUCACAUGUCCCACCUUUCCACAAAAAUCACAAGUUGGUUUAUUAUAAUUAGAUGUAUUCUGCCUUGGAAAUUUACGUGAAGCAUUAUUUCCUUUGGUAGCCAAAGCAACAAAUUCGUGUGUUUGUGCAGGUUGCGUACUAAUGAUGCCGCACUGUUGCUCCUCUUGAAGAACCAAGGAGAAGACUUUAAUAUGGCCUCUCACGACUGUGUAUGUUUCAUUCAAGCCCAUAAGAAACUACAUGGUAUGAUCUCUGUCUCUAUAUGCCUCAAAGGUCUUGUUAGAAUCACAUGUACAAGUGGGCAUAGGAGAAUAUAUAUUUAAUUCAUCCCAUAAACCUUUCAACUUAGAGUAAUAGGCUGUAAUGGAGUCCAAACCUUGGGAUAUAGAAUUAUUCUUUUUUGUAGUUCAAAAAUACGCGACCCGUUAAUUUGAGAAAACCUUUCUUGAAGAUCAACCUAUAAAUCAUGAGUUGUCUCUGCAUAAAUAGUAUCUCCUGCAAGUUCUGGAGUAAUAGCAUUCACAAUCCAAGAGGCUACCUAUCGUCACAUUGUUUCCACAAUUCAAAGUUUGAAUCUGAAGUGGAAGGCUUUUUUAUUACACCAUUGAUAAAACCAAAUUUGUUUUUAGCACUUAGUGCUUUAAUCAUGGCUCCACUCCACAUGGUCUAAUUUUCUCCAUUUAAUGGAAAGGAAACUAAAAUGGUUACAAGAUUAUCUGAAGGAUGUAAGGUAAAAGCAGCAUUCUUACUGUCCUUUGUGGCAUUCGAUUUUUUAGUCAUGAUGACUGGUAGCCAAAGUUUGAAAAGAAGGAGAAAUGAAUAGCAAUAAGAAUUAUUUCUCUGAUACCAUGAUGAAAAUGAAAGUUCUGGAAAAUGCUAUCACAUUUUAUUCACUUUACAUCAUAAAAUACAAAGAAUUAUAUACAAAAUUCUAGUUGACUUCUAAAUACUAAUAAAGAAAAGCAACUAAAUGCAAAGCUGCAAAAUCUCUAAAUUAAAGAAAUAGAAGUAGGAAAGUAAAUAAAAUCAGAGAAUAGAAUGUCCGGUAAUUGAGAGAAAAAUCUGCAGUGCAUCAAGGUAAUUAAUUAUAUUCUCCAACAGUACAAUCGUACAUCAUCGCUCAAUGUAGGGAUCAGAUGACUUUUCGUGGACUUCAACCCCGCCUUCGUUUAUUUUAGGUAAAAAGAAUCUUUGAUUUCUUAUUUUUCCAUCUGGUUUGCAAUGAAUUUGGAAAAUGCCUCUGGUAGCUUCAAUGCAGUUAUGAACCGGGCAAGAAAAACUCCAAAUUAUGACAACCCUACCAUGCAAUGAUCCCAAGCAACACAUGGCUUGUCAUCCUUUUUGUUCAGUAAGUUCUGCAUGGCCAAGAAAACAUAUCAUUCUACUUUUUUUGACCACGAAGGAACUCACUUAUAUGUAUGUGAAUUUCUGCCUUAGUAACUAGACGCAUUUUCUUUGAAUCCUCCCAUUACAAACAACUUCAAUCUCUUACAUAAUCACAAGCAGCCUCAAAGACAUCCUACAAGAUUUAUGACAUAACUUUAAAAUGUAGUCCCUGAAAGAUGUGAGAUGAGAAACCAAUCCAAUUGAAAUGCUUAGAUUACCGUCAAGGGAAACUCAUCAUAAUAAUGCGCAGGGGUCAUUUCAACCCUAUUCAAAUUUGAUUCCCAUAAUCUUAUCUGUCAAGGAAACAUCAGAAUUUGAAACAUUAGAAAAUAAAUAAUCAUCUUCGUUAAUUGAUGUGUACUAUGUAGAAAAUAUCGAGAAAUUUGGUAUGGUAGGUCGGGAAGCAUUGAUACACGCGAUACAUCUGAAUGCAAGAAAGAGUUAUGACCUGAUCACAGACGUUUUCUAGUACAAAUGGUAUUCUGUCAACAUCCCGAGGAUGUGCAUUUUGUUGAAGAAAACUAAUGAUCUGCAAAACAAACAAUCAUGGUGUUAGAUGAGUCAGAAUGACUGCAAAAGUAAUUGAAAAAACAAAAACGCUACUUUGAAAGAAAAAACUAUUUCGGCUACAAGAAAAUCAGAAACAAUAUGUAAGUUUUGCAAAAAGCCUUCUGUACCCAAAACAAAAAAUAACAAAAUUCUAGGUUGAUGUAAAAAGCAUGUUGAGAUGAGGAUGGCUGGGACCCAAAAAGAGGUGUAAGGGGGCAAAUUAUUAAGAAUGUCAGAAGUAUACAAACUUUCUUUGGUUAUUGCUCCGACUAUAAGGUUUGGAAGUUGAUACUCUAUCCUGCACAUUGGCAAAAUAUUAAACAAAAGGUUUUAGGACUGACCAAUGUAGUUCAAUAACAAAAUGUAAUUAAGAACUUUAACCUAGAAGAGAAACAAUUUAUCAAGCAGAUGGCUGGCUUACUUUGAGAAAAGAUGCAAAAUUUCAUAGUGUAGCUUAAUGAUGAAGAGUAGGAAUCCAUAUUAUACUAGGAUUAGUUUCCUUAUUAACUAAAGUUUAAGACUUUUAAAUUCCUUUCUAAUUUAGAAUUUUGUUUCCCUUUCAAUUUAGGAUUUUGUUUUUACUUCAUGAAUUAGGAUAAUUACUACUACUAUAAAUAGCUCCCUCUUGUAGCCUUUGAAGGAAGAAUUUUGAGUUCAAUAAUAUUUCAAUUUUCAAAUCUCUUUGUGAGUAUUUGAACAGUUAAUUCUCGGUAUUCUGAAUCAACGAGUCUUAAUCCCUAAGUUCGCGGUAUUCUUUUGAAUCAACGUGAAUUUAGUUGUUCUUUUAUUCCGGUAUUCUCUAGAAUCAACGGAAUAUUUUGAACAUUAAACUUCCGCUGUAUCAGUUUGGUAUCAGAGCCAAAACCUGAUAUCACCAAUCUAACUCCAUCUACCACCAAAUCUUCCUUUUUUUUUUUUUUUGCCCUUUUUGAUUCUUCCGUUUAGCCCCACUACCUUUUUAAACUCGAAUUUGAUAAAAUGCCUCCAAGAAAAGCUCGUGAUGCUCAUACUGCAACUUACAAUCAAGAAGAUGUUUUUAAAGAUGAAGCCCUAGCUAGUAUGACAGCCAGAAUUGAUAUGCUAGCUGCACAAAUGGCACGAAUGACAGAGUUACUUGACGAACGCCAUCGUACUCCAGAACGUGAAGACAAAUCAAGUGGAAGCUUUGCUAACCCAUUCUCUGGGCGUCGACCUAAAACUGAGUCUACUGAUGACAGAAGAUGGGAAUCUGGGUUGAGAAUUGACAUUCCCGAAUUUCAAGGAAGUGGUCAACCUGAAGAAUUAUUGGAUUGGAUUAAUGCUAUUGAGGAAGUUUUUGAAUACAAAGAAGUUCCUGAAAAUAAACUAGUUUCGCUUGCUGCAACUCGAUUUCGUGGAAGAGCAGCAACUUGGUGGCAACAAACUAAGCUCACAAGGAUUAGGCAAGGCUAAAAGAAGAUUGAUUCUUGGGAAAAGUUCAAGAAGCACUUGCGUGGAGCAUUCUUGCCUCAUAAUUACGCCAAACUGUUAUACCAACAGCUACAGGAUUUAAGGUAAGGUAAUCGAUCGGUGGAUGAUUACACUACAGAAUUUCAUUGGUUGGUGGCACGCAAUGACUUGACAGAGACAGAAGAACAACAGGUUUCCCGCUACAUUGGAGGCCUACGAUCUAAAUUUCAAGACCAAUUAAAUUUACUUGACCCAUACUCUGUUUCAGAGGCACACCAACAAGCCUUGCAGUUGGAGAAGCAAUUUAGUCGACGUACUAAUGACUCAAGCUUUCGGGGUGCUCGAAGUGUUGUUCGUGAUAAUUCAAACUCAACUUCCCAAUUUCGUAAUUUCACUCCUCCAAAUCCUUCAAAUAAAACUAGUAAGCCUAGUGAAAUUGGUCAAAGCAGCAAAACCCAAUCCUCGGGUUCGGGAUUACGCUGUUUUAAUUGCGGAGAAAAUGGACACCGAAUGACAGAAUGUAAAAAGGGAGGAAAAUAUGGUAAAGGCUUAUUCGUAGGCACAGAGGAAAGCGAAGACUAUCAGGAGGAAGGAACUGAAGAGUUUGCUGUAGAGCCAACUUUUGAUAGUAGUGGUAGCGCUCAAUCUGUUGAAGAACAUGGUGAUAGCGGACCAAUGUUGAUCGUGAACCGUGCAUUCUUCACUCUUAAAGGUCAAGACAAAGACAAGUGGCUACGACAAAAUAUCUUUCAGACUACUUGCACAAUUGGGGCUAAAGUAUGUCGUAUGGUCAUAGACUCCGACAGUUGCGAGAAUGUCAUUUCGGAAGAAGCCAUAACAGAGCUAAAUUUAAAGACAGAACCUCAUCAAACUCCAUACAAGCUCACAUGGCUGAAGAAGGGAAAUCAAGUGACAGUAUCGAAACGUUGCUUAGUUUCCUUAUCCAUUGGUUCAAUUUAUAAAGACAAAAUUUAGUGUGAUGUUGUGGCUAUGGAUGCUUGUCAUCUAUUACUGGGUAGACCUUGGCAAUAUGAUCGAAACGUAGUGCAUGAUGGGAAGAGAAACACCUACAGCUUUAUGUUUAACAACACCAAGAUCGUUCUCCUACCUAACAAAGAGUUUACUCUCCAGCAAGACUUGGGUAAUUAUUUGUUAGGAAAGAAGCAAUUUAUAGAUGUUGUAGCAGAGACAAAGAGAGUCUAUAUUUUAUUGGGAAAAGAGAGUAACGGUGAUUCGAAGAUUCCUGAAGCUGUGACACCUAUUCUGGCGGAAUUUCAAGAUUUGUUCCCUAAUGAGCUACCACAGGGUUUACCACCUCUUCGAGAUAUACAACACCAAAUUGAUUUGGUACCAGGUUCUACAUUACCAAAUCGACCUCAUUAUCGUAUGAGUCCUACAGAACAUGAGGAAUUAAGGCGCCAAGUGGAACUAGAAAAAGGGAUUUAUCCGUGAAAGUCUUAGUCCCUGUGCAGUCCAUGCUUUAUUGACUCUAAAAAAAUAUGGUUCUUGGAGGAUGUGCGUGGACAGUCGAGCUAUCAAUAAAAUUACAGUUCGAUAUCGUUUUCCAAUCCCUCGAUUAGACGACUUAUUAGAUCAACUCAGUGGUGCAACAAUUUUUACCAAACUUGAUUUGAAAAGUGGCUACCAUCUAAUUCGAAUACGGCCCGGAGAUGAAUGGAAAACAGCUUUUAAAAUUUGCGAAGGGUUAAACGAGUGGUUGGUAAUGCCGUUUGGCUUAUCCAAUGCUCCGAGUACUUUUAUGCGAGUCAUGAAUCAAGUUCUUCGCCCUUUCAUUGGAAAGUUUGUGGUUGUUUACUUCGAUGAUAUACUUAUAUAUAGCACCAGUCACGAGUUACAUCUACAACAUUUGAGAAAAGUGCUUUUAGCCUUAAGAGCAACAAGUUUAUACACAGCAGUAAACAAGUGUAUUUUCUUGACUGAGAAAGUAUUAUUUUUGGGAUAUGUGGUGUCGAAGGAUGGUAUAUCUGUUGACCAAUCAAAAGUGGAUGCUAUUCGAGAUUGGCCUCAGCCAACUACUUUAUCCGCCACCAGAAGUUUCCAUGGAUUGGCCUAUUUUUACAGGCGAUUCAUUCCUCAUUUCAGUACUAUUAUGGCACCAAUCACAGAUUGCAUGAAAGGAGGACAAUUUUCUUGGACAGAGGCAGCUACUAAGGCAUUCAAGAUUAUCAAAGAAAAGUUGAUUACUGCCCCAGUACUUGCCCUACCAGAUUUUUCGCUCACUUUUGAGGUACAUUGUGAUGCUUCUAAGGUCGGCAUUGGAGCUGUUCUUAGCCAACAGGGUAAGCCUAUAGCUUAUUUCAGUGAGAAGUUGAAUGGAGCAAAGGCACACUACAACACUUAUGACGUGGAAUUUUACGCAGUAGUCCAAGCGUUAAAACAUUGGCGACAUUAUCUAAUUCAUAAAGACUUUGUUUUAUACACUGACCAUGCCGCGUUAAAGUAUCUCAAUAGUCAAGACAAGCUCUCUUACAGACAUGCCACGUGGACAGCAUUCCUUCAACAAUUUACCUUUGUGGUGAAGCAUACCUCUGGUGAAUCCAACCGGGCAGCAGAUGCACUUAGUCGACGAACUUCGUUAUUGACACAGAUGCAUAAUCAAGUUCUUGGAUUUGACACAUUUCGAGAGUUAUAUGCUUCUGAUCCUUACUUUGCUCCUAUAUUAGAAGACGUUGUUGCAGGGUUUCGCUCAGAUUAUCAUUUACAUGACGAAUUCCUUUUCAAGAGUAAUCAGUUGUGUGUUCCUGACUCAAGUUUGAGAUUGAAAAUCAUUUCAGAGUUACAUAAUGAAGGGCACAUGGGUCGUGACAAAACUCUGGCUCUAAUCGCCAACACUUAUUUUUGGCCUACUAUGAGGCGUGAAGUCUAUCACUAUGUUGAGACUUGUCGCAUUUGUCAAGUUUCCAAGGGUGCAGCAACUAAUGCUGGGUUAUAUAUGCCGCUGCCGAUUCCAACACAACCUUGGGCUGACAUUAGCAUGGAUUUUGUUUUGGGAUUACCCCGCACUCAGAGGGGUAUGGAUUCAAUAUUUGUUGUUGUUGAUCGAUUCUCGAAAAUGGCUCACUUUAUUGCUUGCAAGAAGACUACAGACGCUUUGACUGUUGCUCGCCUAUUCUUCAAGGAAGUCUAUAGAUUGCACGGUUUACCAAGUUCUAUAGUAUCUGACCGGGAUACACGAUUUCUUAGCCAUUUUUGGAAGACAUUAUGGAAGUUGACUAACACUCGCCUGAAUUUUAGUAGUGCUUACCACCCACAAACAGAUGGUCAAACUGAAGUUGUCAACCGCUCUUUAGGAAACCAUCUACAUAGUCUAGUUGGUGAUAACUUGAAGAUGUGGGAUCAGAAGUUAUAUCAAGUCGAGUUUACUUAUAACCGUGCAGUUAAGCGUAGUACUGGUUUAAGCCCUUUUCAGGUGAAUUACGGAUAUAAUCCACGAGCUCCUAUCGACUUGGCUCCAGUUCCAGAUUUAGUUCGCAAAAGCGGUAAAGCCGAAGACUUUAUUGAGCAGCUUCAACAGAUUCAUGAAACUACGCAAGAGUCUUUGAAGCAGAAGACCGAAGGUUAUAAAAUUAUGGCAGACAAAAAACGUCGAGCUUUGGAAUUUCAAGUGGGAGAUUUUGUUUGGGUUGUCCUAACUAAAGAUAGAUUCUCAGUUGGUGAGUACAACAUGCUUUCUGCCAGGAAAAUCGGCCCUUUGGAGAUUAUAGAGAAGAUAAAUCCUAAUGCUUACAGAUUAAAGCUUCCUAGUCAUAUCCGCACCGCAGAUGUAUUUAAUGUUAAGCAUCUUAUUCCUUACAGAGGUGAUCAUGAUGAAGAUGUUGUUGCUGACAAUCAGAAUUCGAGGGCGAAUUCUCUCCACCCUGGGGGGAAUGAUGAAGAGUAGGAAUCCAUAUUAUACUAGGAUUAGUUUCCUUAUUAACUAAAGUUUAAGACUUUUAAAUUCCUUUCUAAUUUAGAAUUUUGUUUCCCUUUCAAUUUAGGAUUUUGUUUUUACUUCAUGAAUUAGGAUAAUUACUACUAAUAUAAAUAGCUCCCUCUUGUAGCCUUUGAAGGAAGAAUUUUGAGUUCAAUAAUAUUUCAAUUUUCAAAUCUCUUUGUGAGUAUUUGAAUAGUUAAUUCUCGGUAUUCUGAAUCAACGAGUCUUAAUCCCUAAGUUCGCGGUAUUCUUUUGAAUCAACGUGAAUUUAGUUGUUCUUUUAUUCCGGUAUUCUCUAGAAUCAACAGAAUAUUUUGAACAUUAAACUUCCGCUGCAUCACUUAGACGUUGAAUAAGCAUACAUCUUGAAGUUUGUUUCCACUAUGACAAAUCCCUGAGGAGAAGAAAAUGUAGAAUGAACUAUGUAUUUAGAGAAUGUAAAAAUGAGACCUCAUUUUGGUUUCCGACAAUAAUAAUGUGACAAGAUUGACCUAAACUAUUAGAAAAUUAAUGCAGUUUGCAAAAUAAAAUUAUAAUUUUUUUUAAAAAUUAAUCACACAAUUGUCUGCAACAUUCGACAUUAAGGGAGAUUACAAUUAUUUUACUUCUUUUAUAUUCGUUAUUCAGAGUGAGAGCCAAUGAUUUCUCAAACAACAUACCUCUUUCCGUGUUGAUGAAUCAGUUAAGCUCAUUUGAAAGAUUGGUAGCUAAUUUAGUAGGUACAAACCAACUUUCUUUCCAGCCCUGAAUAGCCAUGGAAAACAUAUGAGAACUCCAACAAAGUAUUGCUAAAUUAACACAGAUAACUAGCAUUUUCUGUAGCACAGACUAGUACAACCUGCUGAAGUUUGACCAAUCCCAAGUCUGCAAAGUCUUUGAUCAUAGUAUUUUGUAUUUCACUCAGUGUAUUUAAGUUAUAUGCCUAUAACAUGAAGAAGCAAAGAGUAUAGCAAUAAAGUGAGAUCUCAAACCACUUUGAGAAUUCCUUAACAUAAAAAUUUUAAGAACCUCAAGAUGCUGAGAAGUUAAAAGCAAUACUAGGAUAGACAUAAGCUUACAAAAAUGGAUAAGAGAACAAAAGACAAUAUUAAAUGUGACAAUGGUAUAAAAAAAAAUUUGAAAUUCUGUUAAAACCAAAAGUAUUAGCCAGAAAUCAAUCAAACUUCUUGAAUAAAUGGAAUAACUGAAUAAUAAUGUAUAUGUGCUACCUCACCAUCGACAUGGAAACUAAGCUCCAUAAGAAAAGAAAUCAGAUCUGCUUGAUUUAUGCCUCGUUCCUGCAAGAAAAUGAGAAAAGCUAUAUGAUAUAUUAUUGGUAUUGUUGACCAUAAGCAAGCAUAGAGUCGUGUUAUCCCACAUAUAAUUAGAUCACCAGUGAGCUUUUAUCUCUAUUAAAUAGUCCAAUGAAAUACCAAAGAAGAAAAUCUUUUAGUUCUACUUUGCGUUAGCAGUAAUUAUUGAUUAGUGUUAAAAAUUGUAUGUUUAUUAAGGGAUAAACUUGUUAUUUUGUGCUAUUAAUAUAAUUUAUACUUGUAAUUGUCUAACAUAUUGUGAAUUUCUAAUUAUUUUUCUAAAUAUUUGAUUUUGUGUAUUUUUGUGUGUUUAUUAGGUAAAAAUAAUAAUUUCACGCAAUUUGAGGCUCUAAACAAAUGUAUGGAUGUCAAAUUUGGAAUCCGGAAGUUCGAGAAAUUAUGUCAUUGUCGAGGAGGAGCCAAGACUUUUGUUGUAAAUUUUUACGUUUUUACCACGGUAAAUGUGAUAAUUGUAAAAUUAUAAGUUUUUAUCAUAUUAGGUAUGGUAAUUUUUAAUGGAAUGUGUUGGAUAUGCUUGAGUGGAUAAGUUAGUGUUAUGUUUUAUUAGUGAGACAAAUGUAAGGUUAAGAUGUAAUUAGAUUUUUUUAUUUGUGUGGUGUGGAUUUACCAUGUAUUAGUAUAAACAGAGAGGGGGGUGAACACACCUCUACACACCUUCUCUUCUCUUCUUUCCCCCAAAUUCUUCUUCUCAUCUCUCCUUGUAAUAUAUUUUCAAUAAAUAAAAUUAGUUUUAUUUUCAAUUUUCAAGCAUUUUUUAAUUAUGUCUUUUUUGUUUUUAAAGAAAAUUCCUUUUAUUUUAAAUAUGUUUAGCUAAAUAUUAGUAGUUAAGGGAAGGUGAAACUCUUAGUAAAAAAUAUGGUUUAAUCAAAUUCUAUUUUUAAUUUUAUAAAUUAAAUUGUUUUCUAUUUAAUUUUAUCCAUAUUUUAUAUUUUGAAAUUUUGAUUUAGUGUAGACAAAAAUAGGAAUUUGGCACAAUAAAUUGUUAAUAUCUUAGUAUAAAAUAUGGAAAAAUGGUAUUUUGAUUUAGUGUAGACAAAUUAAGUUUUGGCACAUUAAUUUCUUAAUCCACAAUCAAAUAAAUGGGAAAAUAAUUUUAAUUUAUACAAUUAGUUUUUUGGGAAAUAAAAUAAAAAUAAAAAGAAUUUGUUAAAUUGUAUUUAUUACUAAGAGUGGAUCCAUAACCCUAACUAAUUCAAUUUGAUACUUUUUCUUAAAUAAAUUACAUAUUUAUAAAUUUUAUUUUUAUUUGGAUAAACUUAAGUAAACAAAUUAAAUUAUUUCUCUGUGGAUCGACCUUGGACUCACCGAGAUAUAUUAUAACUAGACACUCUUAUAUUUGGGAAAAAAUCAAACACUUUUAAGUCGUGUCAAUUAUACAGAUCUAUUGAGAAAUAGAAUAAAAAUCAAAGAAGGCAGUUAAUAUUCUAAAAGUAAAAUGAUAUACAUACAUCUAAUUAUGAACUCUUUAAUCACAUAAACAUGUGCAUAAUAUAAAAAUCAAAGUUCUAAAAUGAACAAUUGGGUAUCGUAAUGAGAUUUAAAGAUAAGUCAAUCCGUUCUUUUGUCCUUUGAAUACUUCACACAGUUUAGUUUUUACAAAGAGAGAAUAAGACGGACGCGCAGAAAAUUUGAUGUAGAGAAAUCACUGAAAAGAAUAUCAGAAGCCACAACUGGGAAUUAGAGAUAUAUUCUCUAACAAUGUACCAGAGCUGUGCAUUAGUACAGGGCUGGCUCAACCAUAUUUGAGGCCCUAGGCAAAUGAUUUUAAUUAGUUCUUUUAAAAAUUGAGGGUAAUCCAUGAAAUUUUAAUUUAAUUAUAACAUUUUCACUUAUUGUUCUUUAACUCAAAUUACAUCUUUUUUACUACUCCUUUUCUAAAUUAAACUAAUUUUUCUAUUCUUCUAUUUUCUACAGUUUUUCGAUAUAGUUUUAUUUCAAAAUAGAUAAAACAAGCAUACAAAAAAAAAAGUAGAUGAAUAAAAGAAUAUAUUGAAAAAAAAUAAGAACAAAUAAAUAACACAAUUAAUUAAGAGAAUUAUAAAAAGAUAAAAUCUGGAAUUUGAGAUGAAAUUAUGAAUUAACUUUAUCUUUAUAUUAAUUGUUUGAGGAUUCGAGUAAUGACCAAUAGUCAUAGAGAAUAGAGAAAAUUAUUAGAUCUUUUUCUUUUUCUUCUUGAGUGGAAAGUAGAGGAAGUGAUACACCAACUGUAAUUAAUUAUGUCAUCGCAUCUCCUAGAUGUUGGCAUGAAAAAAUCCUUAAACAUGAAAGAAUAGAACAGGUAAAGUUCACCCCUCCCAUUGUCCAAUGGCAUAGGCCUCAAGCUCCUCCAAGGUUGGAAGCCUUGCAGUAAUACUAGAAGGCAAUGGUUCCCUUGACAAAGCUCCACUGCAAGUUUAGAAUCAUUAAUUUUAUACAUAAAAUAUGAUCAAAGGUGCUCAAAAACAGACUUGGAAGUAACUACAAAACCAAUGCAAUCUCAUAUGUUCAAGUUUAAGAUAAUGAAAUGUAUCACUUAGGUAGUUUAAGAUAAUGAAAUGUACCACUUAGGUUUCAAAAGAUAAUGAAAUGUAUCACUUAGGUUUCAAAAUUUUAAAGGACAGUCAAUCAAUAAAUUAUGUGUUGAAAAAAUCAACAUUGGGCACGCGCGGUAUCCAAUUUUUUUUUAAAACAUGCAAUUUUUAAAAAGGCCACCAAACAAAUGAAGAAAAAUGGAAAAGUUAGCAAAUUUGUCAAAUGUGCACCAUUGACAAAUUGCUUGGGUUAGGUGGAAUAGUGCAAACUUGAAGCCUAUAAAUUGAAGCAAUUUUUUCAUUCUAUGGCAUCCCAAAAAAUUGAGAGAAAAACAAUUCAAUUGUAGAAUUGUUAAGAGAGUGAGCAAUUGGAGAGUUUUUAAUUGAGAGGUUUUUCUUUUUAAGUGUGUGAGAGUACUGGGUGUAUUUGAGUUUUGAGAAGUGAGUUUUCUUUACUCAAAUUUUGUACUCCAAUAAUUGUUAAUUAUACAAUUAUUUUCUCUUACUCCUGUGGACAUAGGCAUAUUGCCGAACCACAUUAAAUUUUGUGUCUUUUAUUUUUCUGUGAUUAUUUGGUGCGCUUGAUUCCGCAUUCCGCGCACAACAAGUGGUAUCAAAGCCGAUGGUUCGUACUUGGAGGGAUAUGGUACUGUUCACAUAUACGAUACUAUUCUCAUAUAUGAUAUUGUUCACGUCUAUGGUACUAUUUACGAAUACGGUGGAGAUGAUCAUUUGUACUUGGGAGGUAGUCUAUUGUAAGUAGUGUUAUUUAUGCAUGUCUAGGAAAGUUUUUUCAAUAAGACGAUAAGAGUCUAAGGAGUCUAGCUUUAAGUGAGACCAUUGUGACCUCUCCAUUCUCUUAGUUUCCUGGUGCAUUUAUUUACGUGAAAUUAACAUCGUAGAUGCUGUUUUUCAAGUGGAAAUAGUUCGUUGAGAAAAUAGUAGAAGGUGAAACAUCUAGAAUUGAGGAAAGAUUUGUCAAAUAUACCCAAGCUAUUUCAGGAGAUACUUCAGGUGGGAGGCAAGAUUUGUCAAAUCGUUAUUCAGCACCUAUUAUAGGAGGCCAAAAGAUUGAUGCUAAAAAUUUUGAUAGGAAAAUCAACUUCGUCAUGUGGAGGCAUGAAGUUAUAGAUGCCCUUAUUCAAAUCGAUCUCAAUAUUAUUAUGAAAAAUAAAAGACACUUGUAUGACAAAGAAACUUGGGAUCGUAUGAACGAGAAAGCCUGUGGUCAGAUCAGAUCUUGCUUGACCAAGGAGGUGAAAUAUCUGGUGAAAGAUGAGGAGUGCGCGAUGACUUUAUGGCUUACAUUGGAGGAGAAGUACUUGCUGAAAAGUCCUGAAAAUCACCUUUAUGCAAUGAACAAAGUAUAUGACUUUCGAAUGAAGUCUGGGGUGUCAAUGCACGAUCAAGUCUCAAGAUUUGAAAAGUUACUUGUUGAUUUGAAAAAUCAGGAUUUGAAAAGUUACUUGCUGAUUUGAAAAAUCUUGAUGAAGAUAUUAAUGAUGAAGUCAAGGCUAUGAUUAUGUUACACUCACUGCCAAAAGAAUAUAACCAUUUUGUGACUACCCUGAUAUAUGAAAAAAUCGUGAUUAUCUUCAAAGAUGUCUGCACAAUAUUUACCAAUUUGGAAAUUCAGAAUAAUGAUAAACAUUCCGAAAGAGCAUCAUCUGAAGCUUUGUUUGCCAGAAAAAGGACGAUGGAGAAAAAGAAGAAUUCUUGAUCCAAAAUCGAAAAGCAGAAAUAUAGCUCGAGAUGUGUGUGCCUUUUGUCAUGAAAAAGGUCAUUGGAGGAAAGAUUGUCGCUCAAAAGAGAGAUGAGAAGAAACCAGUAGCAACAAAAUGGCACUUAAAGAUGAAGACUCUGAUUAUUCACUAAGUAUUAUGCCUACAACAUAUGUGGUUAGUUCGAGUGAGUGGAUACUUGAUACUGGAGUAACCUAUCAUUUGUGUCCUAUUAAGGAAUGAUUUACAAAUUUUCAUAAUUUGGAAUUCGGUGCAGUUGUGAUGGGGAAUGAUCAACCUUGUCGUACAAUGGGGAUAUGAAUAAUUCGACUCAAAUAUUUGAUAGAAUGGUUAGAGAACUGAAAGAGGUUAGAUAUGUUCCAGUUUUAAAGAAAAAUCUAAUUUCUGUGGGUGCUCUAGAAGCUAAAGGGUACAAGGUUACUAUUGAAAAUGACACAAUAAAGUUCACGUAUGGUGCUAUGAUGAUUCUGCAAGGAGUUCGACAUCACAAUCUGUACUAUUUGAAGGGAGCUACAAUUGAUGAAGUAAAUGUUGCUAAGGCAUAUAGUGACACCACCAAGCUAUGACAUGUACGACUAAGACAUGUUGGAGAGAAGUCUUUGCAAACUCUGAUGAGGCAUGAACUCUUAAAAGAUACAAAAACCUAUAAAUUAAAGUUCAACGAGCAUUGUGUAGUAAGUAAGAAAACAAAAGUCAAAUUUGGUACCGCUAAUCACGAUACCGUAAGAUCCUUAAAUAUGUUCACAGUAAUGUAUGGGGACCAAUUACGAUAGCAUCAAUUGGUGGAAGCCAUUAUUUUGUUACAUUUGUUGAUGAUUUCUCUAGAUGUUUGUGGGUGUACACCAUGCGAGCGAAGGAUGAGCUUCUAGAGAUUUUUGUGAAAUGGAAGAAACUAGUGGAGACUCAAACUGGCAAAAAGAUCAAAGCAUUAUGAUCUGAUAAUGCGGGUGAGUAUAUUUCUGAUCCAUUCUUGCAAGAAUGCCAGAGUGAGGGUAUAAAAAGACAUUUCACGAUGAGACAUACUCUGCAACAGAACGAUGUGGCUGAGCGUAUGAAUGAUACUUUGCUGGAGAAAGUAUGGUGUGUUAUCUAAUGCUGGUUUAGAUAAAAAGUUUUGAGCUGAGGCUGUGAGCUAUACAAGUCCUUCAUAAACCGGUUACCUUCUGUUGCAAUUAGAGGUAAAACUCCAAUAGAAAUGUGGCCUGAAAAGUAUGAACAAGCCUAUGACUCCAUUCGUGUGUUUGAAUGUUCAGCUUAUUAUCAUGUAAAAAUUGAUAAGCUCGAUCAUUGUACAAGAAAAUAUAUUUUUGUGGGAUUUAAAGGUGGAGUUAAAUGUUUCAAGGUUUGAGAUCUUGAAGAUAAAAAAUUUGUGUAUAGUAGAGAUGUUACUUUUGAUGAAGCUUCUAUACUGAAGGCUUUAAGUUCUCAAUAGGUGGAGAACAAGACCAAUGAGACAUUGCAGCGGGUGGAGUUUGAUGCAGCUUUAUAUGUACCAGUUAGUUCUACAUCAGAGAAGAGCUCAACUUUAGAGGAGAUCCCAAGAGUUGAAAAAGAAGUUGUUUCUGAUGAUGUCCUACAAUAGGCAAAAACAACUAAAGAUGUAGAAGAUGAAAAUGAUACUAUAGCAACAAGGAGACCAAAAAGAGUGAUAAAGAACCCCGGAUAACUUACUAAAGACAUGGUGGUUGCCUAUACACUUCCAGUUAUUUUUUAUGACAUCCCAACACUUUCAACGAAGCUAUACGUAGUAGUGAAAGUGAUCACUGGAAGUUAGCCAUGGAGGAAAAGAUGAAAUUUCUCUAUCAAAACCAGACCUGAGAACUUGUAGAGUUACCAAAGGGAAAAAUGGAUAUUGGCAAUAAAUGGGUCUACACUAAGAAGUAAGGAUCUCCAAAUCAAUCAACUCUUUGAUACAAGGAAAUGCUCGUUACAAAAGGUUUUGCUCAGAAAAAAUGUAUUAACUACAAUAAAGUUUUCUCUCCAGUCGUAAAGCAUCUUCCAUUUGUAUCAUACUUGCCUUAAUAGCUGAAUAUGAGUUAGAGUUGGCUCAGUUGGAUGUUAAGACGACGUUCUUACAUAGAGAUUUGGAGGAGGAAAUCUAUAUGACUCAGCCUUGUGGUUUCAAAGUUGCUGGAAAGGAGAAUCAUAUGUGCAGAUUGAUUAAAUCUUUGUACGAAUUGAAACAGUCACCAAGGCAAUGGUACAAGAGAUUUGAUCAAUUCAUACAAAGGCAGAAAUUCACCAAAAGUGAACACGAUCAAUGUGUUUACUUCAGAAGAUUACAAGAUGGAGCUUUCAUCUAUUUGUUACUCUAUGUCGACGAUAUACUUAUAGUUUCGAAGAAUAGAGCUGAGAUUGAGAUACUAAAAAAGUAGCUGGCUUCUAAGUUCGAGAUGAAAGACUUGGAUGAUGCACAGAAAAUACUUGGGAUAGAGAUUUAUAAAGUCAAGAAGAAUAAGAGCGUAUGGUUAACAAAAAAAUCUUAUUUGAAGAAAGUGUUAGAAAGAUUCGGUAUGGAUGACAAAACUAAACCAAUAUGUACUCCUCUAGCUCUUCACUUCAAAUUAAGCUCUUCUUCAUGUCCUUCUUCCCAAGAGGAGCGCGAUUACAUGGCUUAUGUUCUAUAUGCUAGUGCUGUGGGUAGUCUUAUGUAUGUUAUGGUGUGUACAAAGCCUGAUAUAUCUCAAACCGUCAAUAUGGUUAGUCAAUAUAUGCAUAAUUCGGGUAAAGACCAUUGGCUUACUAUGAAAUGGAUUCUCCGAUAUUUGUAUAGAACAAUUGAUGUUGGACUUUUAUUAAAGAAGGAUUGUGGUCAACAAUGUGUUGAGUAUUGUGAUUCUGAUUUCACUAGAGACCUUGACAAGUGAAGAUCAACAACGGACUACGUAUUCACAUUUUACAACAAUUGCUCUUUCCACUACAGAAGUAGAAUACAUGGCAACAACUGAGGCUGUAAAGGAAGCUAUCUGGUUGAAAGAAUUGUUAGGUGAUUUAAGAGUAAUCUAGGAGAACAUUGCGGUCUUCUGUGAUAAUCAAAGUGUGAUAUUCCUUGCAAAGAAUCAAACAUAUCACGCUCAGACAAAACACAUAAAUGUGAAAUAUCAUUAUGUGAGAGAGAUUAUUGAAGGUAGUGAUGUAUUAUUAAACAAGAUCAGUACCAAAGAUAGCCCAUCAGAUAUGCUGACAAAAGUUAUUUCUGGAAUUAAGUUUCAAUAUUGCUUGAAAUUAAUUUAAAUUCUUUGAAUGCAUUGAGUUUAGAAAAUUUUAAACUACGGUUGGCUUGAUCCCAAAUUUUGGGUACGUAGGCAGUUGAAGCGACGCAACUGUUCUAGAUCCUUAUUGAAGGAUUACUUUAGGGAUGAUAGUUCGUAGGUGGUUGGGUCAAGUUUGGACAAAUCUUUGCUGAUGUGAAGAAUUGUUGAAAAAAUCAACAUUGGGCACAUGCACGUGGUAUCCAAAAUAAAAAAAAAAAUGCAAUUUUUCAAAAGGCUACCAAAUAAAUGAAGAAAAAUGGAAAAGUUAGCAAAUUUGUCAAAUUAAGAUAAAUUGGCACCAUUGACAAAUUGCUUGGGUUAUGUGGAAUAGUGCAAGCUUGAAGUCUAUAAAUUGAAGGCAUUUCUUCAUUCUAUGGCAUCCCAAAAAAUUGAGAGAGGAACAAUUCAAUUGUAGAAUUGUUAAGAGAGUGAGCAAUUGGAGAGUUUGUAAUUGAGAGGUUUUUCUUUUCAAGUGUGUGAGAGUACUGAGUGUAUUUGAGUUUUGGAAAGUGAGUUUUCUUUACUCAAAUUUUAUACUUCAAUAAUUGUUAGUUAUAUAAUUAUUUUCUCUUACUCUCGUGGACGUAGGCAUAUUGCCGAAUCAUGUUAAAUUUUGUGUCUUUUAUUUUUUCUGUGAUUAUUUGAUGCGCUUGAUUCCGCAUUCCGCGCGCAACAUUAUGAUAAUCAAACCUCUUAAUAGGAUGAUCCUACAAAAUACACACAGAAGAGAACCAUCAAAAUCUCCUUGCAAAAAAACUCAGCCAUAUAUUAAAUGCUUCCGGAUGUAAGACUGGAAUAUUGAAUUUAAUCUGUAAGUGGUUUCCUUCUUCCUGUCAUUAAAAUAUGAAGAACAUCAGUAAUUCAGCAUAGGGCAAACAGUACAGAAUUAAAUUCAAUUUUUUUUUAAAAAAAAAAGAGUACUAGUGAUAAUUGGAAGACAACAUUCAAGCAUAUAGAUAUACAUCUGACUAUAAACAUAUAAAGCUGUAAAAUUUAAUACUUUAUAAAAUAACUUGCCAAACAACAACAUAUUAACCAGCAGUACACAACCGAUGUGUGAAACGAUCAACAAAUAUAUCCCCAUUCCUAAGUGAGCUUUGUAUUUUACAUCCUCACAAAAGAAACUCAUGAUGACAAAUCGAGAUGUUGUAGCAACUCUCUUAGACUAAAUUAAGCUUAACGUAUCUUAUAUCAUUUCGGCCCCUUUGGUUCUGCCAGUCAGUAGACAAAAUGCUUAUAGUCGCGAAAUUUUCAGUGAUUUAGCAUUCUUCUCAUUUUCUAGCAGUCAAUAUUGGAAAUUAAAGUAAAAAUAUUUUAGUGAAAUUACGUACUUUUCGUCUGAAAAUAAUCUCAACUGAACCAACCGAUCAAUGGCCACUUUGUGCUUAGUAAACCUAUCUGGAAGCACCCACUCCUCUAUCGUCUUAGCCGGUAUUGCACCAUCAAUAUAUAACAUUUGGAAUACAUACUUCUUUGCUAGUGGUGGCAGUGACCGGAGAUCCAAAAAAAAGGAAAAAUAACAAAAAGCAUUAAUGUAUCAUAACUCUUGAAAGAAAAAAUUGGCACUUAAUUCUUAAAAUAUAAACAAUAUGAUGCUUUGACUACAUGUACGUUCAUCCAAAAACAGGAUGAAAAUUCACAAACAAAACACAAAUUUUUUUUGCAUUGCCUCGAGCAGUCCCAGUAGCUUCAAUGAGGGCCCAGAGGUUGUGCACUUGCUAAGUUGUGAAGGCUCUGGAAAGUCAAUUUUAGGCUUAUGUUUGAGUUACUUCGGCUCUUAAUGUGCAGGUCUAAACAUCACCUUAAUUUUGUUGUUUAUUAUUUAGGAACAAUAAGCUUUGAUUGUUUAUUAUUACUUCACUCGUAGGCUGCUGCUACUGUUGCCAAGUGAUAGCUCAUUUUGGUUUAACUGAGGGGAAAUGAUUGUCAUCCAAAAACCCAUAUAUAUAUAUAUAUAUAUAUAUAUAUAUAUAUAUGUAUGUAUGUAUGUAUGUAAAACCCAUAUAUGUAUGUAUGUAUGGUUUUUCUGAUUUUGAGGUGGAAUCUGAUUCAGCCACUGUGGUUUCUUGGGCUAUUUCAAGUGGAUUCAUGGGAUGAUCGAGAUUUUGCUUACCUCUUUGGUCGUGUUUGGGCAUUGGCUUUUAGCCCAUCUAUUAUUAUCAAGCAUGUUUUUCGAGAAGCUACAUUUGCUGCUAACUUUAUACCAACUGGGCUUGUACUCAUCAGACUUGUCAGAGAUUUUUCAAUCCUAGAGACCUUCCGACUGGUUUAUUGGGCAUUCUUCAUUUGAAUACUCUCAAAAUUCCAUAUAUUCGUCAUUAAUCACCUUAAUUUGGAUUGGUUUUAUAUUGAUCACUAAAUUAUUUGCUUCUCUUGGGAGGUUUUGGUUUAUGUCCCUCUCUUUAUGUUCAUUCAUUGAUUGAUUUAUUUACAGGUAAGGGUCUCGUCUAAACCCCACCAUCUUAGUGGAUUUUCAUUUAAAAAAAAAUGUAUGUAUGUAUGAAGGACCAAAAUCUUUUAUUUGACCAAAGUUUAACAAUUGUAAAUAUUUACAAGCAGAUCUCUUCCACUGGGACUAACACAAAUAAGUUAUUUUUAAUUGCUAGAAAUAUAUGGGUUCUUAUCUAAUUUUUUAAGCUAGCAAAAGCAAGACAUUAUUAAACGUUCAAUUUAUAAUAAUUUUCUCGCUAAAAUUAUGUUUGGACUUUUAGUUAGGCAAAAACCAUGCACUUAGGACCUUUAUCUUGCUUUGAACUUUACAACAAAACUGUGCUUUCAGUAUACUCAUCUAUUUUUCCGACCAAUUUAUUCUUUAUUAGCAAGGGUAAUUUUCUCUUGAAAACGUUAAUGGCUUUUUUAAUGUAUAUCCGACGGCUCUUCCCUGCCUUUAUAAAAAGUACUUGGUAAAUGAAGCCCUUCGAAUAUCUGGUCGGUAAUGGUGUUGUUUGUUGAAGUGGGGAAUGAUAUGCGGUCAUUAUGAAUAUGCAUAGGUAUUGCAUGCACGUCUUUACAGCAGGAGAGGGAGAGUGGAAGAUUUGAUCAUCAUUAAGACUUGGUCAACUUUGUUAAUACCCUCUUAGUGGAGGACCUUAGUGGUUUCCGUUGAAUAAGCUUUGGGUGCUGAAAAUCAGCACAACUUAGUUAUUUCCCAGAUUAUUUUGCUGUUAUUGUUCUAUUUUCUAGCUUAAUAUGUUAAGUGUAGAGACUAUUUAUGUAGUCCGGAAUGAAUGGAAUAAAGCCGCGGAAAGUGAAAGCUUACUGCAAUAUUUCUUCUCCUUUCUCUUCUUCCAUCUUGGUUCACUUCUUGUUACAAAUUCUCAUUUAAUAUAAUUUGUAUUGAUCUGCCAAUAUCCGAAGAGAAAUGAACCAUGUCAAUACCCACUUGGCAAAACGUGCCUGUGUCCACUUCAUCAUUUAUUUAUGAAAUAUUCUUAUUAAAUGGGUAAAGUCCAUAUAAUACAAUAACUUUCAUUUGCCCAACAUUUGGAAUACAGAUAACAGAUGCUUUGUUUCUUUAGUUAUAAAUUUUUUUUUCACCUCCUUUUUUGUUGUUGAGAGAAUUGGUAAAACCAACUCUAUAAUGCUGCCUCUUUGCCAUAAAAGCUGCAUUUUUACGGCAUCAGCUUGCAGUCAUGUGUGUUAAAUUGAAAAAAGUGAAUAUUACAUCAAUUGUUUAUUGAGAUAUUUUCUUCCUUAAGAAAAUAUAUGAGCAGAAAGCAACAUCAUUAUUGUGAUUUCAAUACAGCAUCAUCCAUCAAUUUCAUAUAAGCUUUAGAAGGCCGGAUACUGAAGCACAAUCAGUUGCGUUGUUGUUGCAUUUCUCACAACAAGACUGCAACAACUUAAUGGCUUUUUGGUACUUUUGAAGGUUUGCAGUCACCUGUGUAAUUUUAUUUUUGUUCAAGUCCAUCAAUAUUAAUCACUAGCUUGUCCAGUAAAAGUAAAAACAACACCAAAACUUUAUGAUUUUCGCACCAACUGCCGAUCGUGUUUUGAAAUUCUAUCCCGGAUGUUAUGGGAGUCGGAAUUAAUCUUCUAAAAUUGAUUUGAAAUUGGUCAAAAUUUCGGACAAAAUUUUAUCCCGAUUAAUUAUACGGAACCGGAUCGUCGAGAAAGUUUAUAAAGAUUGAAGAACUUGUUGGCAAUCACAGGCUUAGGUUAUAAUACUUUUCCUUCCUUCUCUUUUUCUUUUUCUUUUAUGUUACAUGAUAUGAACAACAAUAAUAAUCGAAGCCAUUAAACCGAAACACUUGUGUGUGCAUUGUGCAUGUGUCUUGGUUAGUUCAAGUAGCGCUCAAUAAUCGAUGGAAGUCUUUGGACACUGGCAAUUGAGUCAUUGUAGUGGAGAUUGUCCAGAAAGAAAUAUUAAGGAUGAGAAAUGCUUAAUAAUCUUUUUAACAAAAAAAAAAAAAAAAAGCUUCUGCACAUCUUCGACUCAAAUUAAUUUCUCUUUUAAAUGUCUAUUGUCUAAUUUUUUUUUUAAAAUCAUAUAACUUUUUUUUUAAAGAAAUGUGCAGUAAGAUUAGGCCAAUCAUAAAUGUCUAAAUAAAGGCCUAAAAGCCACAUGUUUCCCCCCUUCCCCCCCCCCCCCUCCAUCUCGAACCACUCUCAUUCAGACCCUCCAUCUCAAAUCCAACCCCAUGCAAACCAACCACCAACGUCCACUGCCACUAUCCUCUCAAAACUUUAGCAACCUUCAAUCCCACCUAAUGCAAUAAAUGAACAAAAAGAAACUGGCAUCUUAGGAGGUCCCAAAGGCAAACUCGCUCAAAAUACAAGAGUCAAUCGCCAGCCCAACCCCAACAGCCCCCAAAUUCCACAAAUACACCGCCAUCAUCAUCCCUUCAACAGCCAACUCCAACCGCCAUUGUCAUCCCUUCAACAGCCAACUCCAAGCUUUCAUCACCAGAGUUGCUGAAUGGGUUUUCAUCUCAAACCAACCAGCCACCAGCCUCUAGCCCGCAACCAACACAAACCACACACCAUUCGGGAGAUCACCCUACUGUCACAGCCCAUAUGCACCAUCAAAACCAGCCCGCACCCCAUGGCCAUUUGUCUCAAGAUUUGGUUCAAGAUACAACCACCAGCCAGCCACAAUCUCCACCUACACAAAGAACUCCCUCACGACAGAAAAUCUCAUGCAAACCACAAGCUAGCACACGGGAAAGUGCUCACGGCCAGCUGUAGCUGUUAACCGUGAGCCAGCUGCAUACAACCAUCACCGAACCCAACCAAGGUCAACAAAUAUCCAACACCAGCCAGCCACAAUCAACACAUACACAAACAACUCCCUCACGACAAAAAAUCCCAUGCAAACCACAAGCAAGCACAUGGGUAAGUGCUCACGGCCAGCUGCAGCUGUCAACCGUAAGACAACUGCAUGCAACCAUCAAUGAACCCAGCCAAGGUCAACAAACAUCCAACCAACACCAGCUCAAAAGUCUGCACGCAUGUGAAAAUUCCCAUGCUCAUGAGACACUUUCGGCAGCACAUGAUUUGUGUUCCCCAUGUGUGUCUCCCACUAGCACCUCCCAUACCCCACUAGCUUUUACCACUAGUCAAACCCAAGCCCAAUCCAUUUCCCAAAUAAAUCCCAACACCCAGCCCUCCCGAAUGCCCUCCACACUUUUAUUAAAUAACCCCCAAAAAGAUCUGUUAAUCCAAAAUACCACUCAGCCCACGUCCGUACCCUCUUAUGCCUCGAUGUUGAAAUUUGUCCCCAAUCUGAAUCAAAAUAAACUCACAAAAAAAUCGUUGGUGGAUAUUAUGAACGGCUCAACCAGCUCAACAAUUCCGAUCAAGACUGUCACUUUGUUCGAGGGAGAGCCUAAUGUGUAAUUUUUCACUGCGGAAAUUCAAGCGAUGGCCAUUCCUUUCAAGCUGACAUUAGUAGGUAAAUUUUCCUACAAUAGACCCAGUAUGGAAUUAAUUUGUAAAUUUUUUAAUACUUUGAGAUUGAAAGGAACUUCCAAGGUAUUCCUUUUAGAUGAUCGACAUGUGUUAAUUCAAUUGGAUGUUGAGGAGGACUACUCACGCCUAUGGGUUAGGCAGACAUGGUACAUCAAUGGUAGGGAUGGCAAAAAUCCCCAUGGGGACGGGUACCCUCGGGGAUUUUCCCCAUUCGGGGAGGGUACGAGGAUAAUUUUAUACCCAAUUUUUUAUUCGGGGAGGGGACGGGAAAAAUUUUUUACCCAAUUUUUUAUUCGGGGAGGGGACGGGGAUGAGGUGGAAUCCCCACCCCCUACCCAUUUCCCCAUUUUAAUUUUUAAUUUUAUUUUUAUUUUUAAAACUACUAAUAAAUAAAUAACAAAAUUAUAAAUAUUGUUAAAAAUAAUAAAUAUCAAAAUAUUUAUAUUAUUAAAUGCUAAUAGGUAUCCUACAUUAGCUCGAAUUGCUAGAGAUAUUUUGGCAAUUCCAAUUACAACAGUUGCUUCUGAAUCAGCUUUUAGCACCGAUGGUAGAGUUGUGAGCCCACACCGUAACAAACUUCAUCCAAGCACAUUGGAGGCCUUAAUGUGCUGUCAAAGUUGGUUACGAGCUUACAAUAGCAGUAUGAGUUUAUUUUACAUUAUAAUUAUAUUAUACAGUUAUUAAUAUUUGCACUUAUAAGUUACUUUACUUAUAUCAUUUUCAUUGUUUUAGGUUUGAAAUAUGAGACUAUCUCUCAAUUUGCCACAUUUCUCGAGGAAGAACAGGACGAGCAGGAGGUAAAUAGUUUUAUUAAAAAUAUUAAUUAAGUAUCUACAUUUAUUUCAUUUAUUUUAUUGCCGAUAUAAAAAUAAUUUUUUUUCUUUUUAUUGUAGGAUUAUGAAGAUUGAGUCAUUGACAAAGAUAAUUAUUUUAAUAAUUUAUAUUUUGAAUGUGACUUUGUAAUGGAUCAAUAUUAAUGUAAUAUAUAUUUUGAACUUUAUUUUUAUCUGAAUUUUUUUAUUUUAAUAUGAUUAAUUUAAAAUAAAAAAAAUGUAUUAGACUAUUAGUUAUUCGGGGACCGGGGACCCUCGGGGAUCCCCUGUUAUUAUUCGGGGAGGGGAUGGGGAUUCUCUCAAACAAUUCUGACGGGGACGGGGAGGGGACGGGGACAUACGCAAAAUAUCAGGGAUGGGUAUGGGGAGAUUGGUCCCCUCCCCUCCCUUCCCCUCCCCAUUGCCAUCCCUAAUCAAUGGGAGUGACAUGAGAAUUUCUAAAUGGACCACCGAUUUUCGAUGUUCCGAGGAGUCCCUUGUAGUUCCAGUAUGGAUUUCAUUUCUUUACUUGCCUGUCCACUUCAUGCACUGUAAGGAAGCAUUAUUUUCUAUUGCAUCUGCUAUUAGUAAGCCAUUAUGAAUUGACCAAACUACUGCCUCUAUAGCUCGCCCUUCUGUAGCUAGGGUGUUAGUGGAGUAUGAUGUCACUCAACCUCCGCUGCCGCGGAUACGAAUCAGUGUGGGAGAUUCUGGAUUUUGGUAGAGUGUAAUUUUUGAGAAAAUCCUACUCUACUGUGCUUCCUGCAAGCACCAUUGAGAUGUGUUACGUGGCCAAUCUGGGGCUCUGUCCCCAGUGGCCCAAUGGGAAUUGGCAGACCAGAGUAGAUAAUAAGAAGUCAUAAGUUCUGCAGUCAGAUACUCCACAACCCCUGGAUACUCCAUGACCUGAGCUUUCCAUCACUAAGCAGAUUGCAGAUGCGGGGUCUCCGAUUGUCUUAUCUACGGAGAACCGAACUAACGCUACAAAAUCUACUCCCAUUCAGGAGCCAAUUGGCUAGGAUAUCACAACUCAUGAUUCUAGGAUCCGAGAACCUGGUGAGUAUAAUCCACAUCUUCAUCGAGCAUCCAGCAUAUAUUUUAGGUAUUACAAUUCUCAUACUGAUAAUGAUGAUAGUUCUGACGAACAUUUGGCGAAUAAUGAUCAUUUUCUGUCUGCUCCUGAGAAUUCUGAGAGAAUUGACUAUAACCCUGAUUUUAGCAUUGUCGGUCAUUCGAAAAAGGGCAUUAAAUUACUUGCCGGCCGCAAGUAUCGUAAGAGAUAUUAUCACCGUCUGCAUUAGUCUUUUUCCUCUCAUAUUAGGCUAUGCCUAAAUCAUAUCUUUUACUGUUAUAUUUAUUUCUCUUGAUUGGAGGUUUUGGUUUAUGUCUCCCUCCUCAUAUAAUUUUCUUUGUCUAUUCUAAAUGAUAGGUAGGGGUCCCGUCUAACCCCCACCAUUAGAGUAGUAUUCACAUAAAAAAAAAUACAAAGUUUUGACAGAGGAGGACAAAGCUACAUUAUGGGCAAAAAAUGACGAUUGCUCGGAACUUACAAGUGAAGAAUGUGCAAUCAAGGAGUAUAACAAUCAUUAUAAUGAUCACUACCUCUUAUUUCGUGGAGAUCUUGACAAUGGCCAUCCACGAUCCCCGUGAAUUUGUUAAAUGGUUAUUUCUCUUAUGUCGUAUCAAUACUUUUUCAAUAACCAUCAAUUGGAGAAAUUGAUGCUAUAUUUUAAUAAAAGAAGGAAUUAAUCCAUUAUGAGCAUGUGAUAUGUUGUGUGUGUUAUAUGGCACUGAUUUAUUAUAAAAGUACUUUAUUGAUUGUUGAUGAUAAUCGAGCGAUUAUAAUUACUUUAUUAGGACUGUUUGUCCUUUUUUUUGUUUUUUUUAUCUAUCGCUUAUGAGGGAUGGGGUAUUUGCGCUCUUUAAAAAUACUUUUAAAUCCAUCUUUUAUCAUUUAAAAAAAAAUUUAAACUGUUUUUUAAUUUUUUAAUUUUUUAUUCUAAAAUUGAAGAGGUAGGUGUAAUUUGUCUAUCUCAGUAAUUUAAUUUAAGGACAUUGUGUAAUAAAAUAUUUUAUGAAAGGUUUCAUAGAAAUUUUAGGAUGCAUAAAUCAAAAUCCUUUGAUGAUGUGACAAAAAUAAAUAAACAAAUGAAUAAAUUAAAAAAAAGUAUUAACAUCAAACCAACAAACAAUUACAAUGAUUUAAAAAAAAUUUAAAAAAAUGGUACAAUUGCAAAUAGGGUUGCUAAUCUCGAAUUGAUGGAAUAUAAUAAACAUUGGUGGAGGGAAAUUAGGAAAUUGAUGUAAAAGCGGUGCUCUCAAUAUAGUGACAUUGGUGACGAGAAGUUAGGAAUUUUAUUAAUUUCUUUAUAUGGUCUGGAUUUUAACAUCGGACUAUUAUUAUAAUUAUAAUUUUAUAACUGAAUUUUUUUUUUUUUUUUGGUGGAGAACUGUUUCGGAAUUUAAUUAACUAUAUCUUGCAGGUAAAUGAGUGCUAUUCGUAAAACGUAUGAGGAAGUUGAUUGAGGAAUUCUCGACAUUAAUUGGUGAUGCUUAGUUAACUACAACCCAGGCAAUACAAUUACCAGGUGUCAAAUGAAAUUUACUAAAAUGUGAGAAGGAAACAUAUUCAUAUGUUAUUAUAAGGAAUUGGGCGGCCAGUGUUUAUGAAAUAAUAAAUUUAUUUGUUUGUUUAAAGGGAUAUUUUUAUAAAAAAUGGUUUUAUGUGGAAUUUAAAGAGAUAUCAAUCAUUCAACUCUUUUUAAAUUUAUUUAAAUAAAUCUAAACACACACGCCACACACAAACAACAUAUUCACAUUUCACAAUACAUACACAAUACACACAAACACAAGUCAAACACAAAUUGGGCACACACACACAAACGAUUGCAACUACACACAAAGGGCACACACACACACAAACGAUUACAAAAACACACACAAAUAACACAUUAACAACAACACAUGCAGUACGGUGGCAACAACAGUCCACUGCUGACAGCCAACCCACGUACAAGGCCACUCACCCACCACCCACCACCCACAGCCUCCCUCGCUCACAACCCACUGCCGACAGCCAACCCCCAGCCUCCCCGAAAUAAACACAAACACACACACAACCGAAGCUGACGCCAACCGAAGCCAAGAUCCAACGCCAGACGCAAGAUUCGACGCCAACCGAAGCCGAGAUCUAACGCCAGACGAAAGAUUGGACGCCAACCGAAGUCAAUCUACUGCUACGAAGUACCCGAUCUGCUGAUCUACUACUACGAAGUACCGGAUCUGUUGCGCCACCUCCAUGUCUCUAAUCCUCCACCAUCACCCAAUCCGAUUCAAUGUUUAUUCGAACCCGGCAAUACCCAUUCGAACCCAGUAAGCUACAACCUGAAUUUUGGCUGUUGAUUUUGGGUUUUGGAAGUGAUGCUGCAAUACCCAUUUGAGCCUUUGACAGUGAUGCUAUAGAUGUCUAUUAUAUAUAAUGUAUGUGUGAAAGAUUAAUGUUUAAUUGGUAUUUGGUGGUUGUUAAUAAUAGGUAAUUAUGUAUUGUUGAAUUGUACCAGACCCGAAUAGACCUAAAUAACCCAAAUUGAUUCAAAUCUAACUCGAACCGUAUCCGAUCCGAUCCGAACUCAACCCGAAUUUAUAACCCGAUCUGAUCCAAAUAUAAUUUGGAUCGGGUAUUCGGAUCGGAUCGGAUCGGGUUGAGUUCGAAUGAAUUUUCAUCCAACGCGAUCAAUCCGAAACCCGAUCGGGUUGAUCCAAACCCGAUUUUACCCACCCCUAAUAUCAACAAAGCAAGCAAGCUUAUGAAUUUCCUUUCGUGGCCUUUCUAUGCAAUUGAAUUUUCUUGCUGUGAAGAUUCCUAAGUCAGAACCUCUUCUUCAUCUUCGAUCGAUGGAGAAUCACUAUCCGUCACAUCGACACUAGUUGGGUCAUUUUGAACCUUUUCAAACUCCAUAUGCUGCAAAGUGCUACUGGUCAUGUCAUUUUUUUUAGAAUAUCUUUGUUUCAACAUGGCUGAUUCAUCAAAAGUCACAUUUCUGUUGAAAAUAAUUUUCUUUGUAAUAGGACACCAGAGACGGUAUCCUUUUACUCCAUCAGUCAUACCCAUGAACAAUGCUUUCUUUGCUUUUGGGUGUAACUUAGAUUCCUUUACACGAUAAUAAGUAGUGGAACUAAAAACAUAUAGAUAAUCAUAAUCAGUAGAAGGUUUACCAGUCCACAUCUCUAUGGUUGUUUUGCCCUCGAUUACAGCUGAUGGAAAACGGUUGAUAAGAUGGCAUGCAUAUACAACUGCCUGAGCCCAAAACUUGUUGCCUAAUCUAACAUUAGACAACAUACACCAAACUUUCUCCAAUAUAGUUUGGUUCAUGCGUUCUGGUACCCCGUUCUACUGUAAUGUAUCUCAAAUAAUGAAGUGUCGCACAAUGCCCUCAUCUUGACAUAUUUGUAUAAAUAGAUCAUUCUUGUAUUCACUACCAUUGUCUAAGGAAAGUCUUUUGACUUUACGACCAGUCUUAGUCUCGACCAUUUUCUUCUAUUUCAUAAAUAUACCCAAAACUUCAUUCUUGUUCUUCAUCAAAUACACACACACUUUUCUUGAAUAAUCAUCAAUAAAAGUAAUAAAAUAGUGCAUACCUCCCAAAGAAGCUGUUUUGGUAGGUCCCCAUACAUUACUGUGAACAUAGUCCAAAAUUCCUUUUGCAUUGUGAAUUAUUGAACCAAACUUAACCCUUGUCUGCUUGCUCAGAAUACAAUGUUCACAAAAUUCUAAUUUGCAAGAAUUUGCACCUUUCAAUAAGCCUUAAUUCACUAGAGUAUGCAAAAAAAAUUUCACCAGCAUGUCCUAAACGCAUAUGCCACAACUUGGUUGCUUCUGAAUCUACAUCUCUUCCAGAAACUGUUGAUGCUAAUCCAAUAAUUGUACUCCGUCAGAAAUAGUACAAAUUAUUUCUUCUUCUGCCUUUCAUCACUGUUAGUGCAUCAGCUACUACCUUCAACAAUCCAUCUCUCAAAGUGAUUGUGAGCCCUUUAGAUUCUAGGACUCCUAAUGAGAUGAGGUUUUUCUUCAAGCUUGGUACAUAAUGAACAUCCAUCAAGACUUGGUUUGAGCCAUGAUGAUUCUUUAAUUGGAUUGUAUCUAUUCCCAUGGUUUUACAGGCAUUGUCAUUGCCCAUAGAAACAACUCUACUGUCCUGCUCCUUAAAGCUAGUGUUGUGCAAAUUUUAUUGAACUCGCAAGUGCACGAAUCUAUUGUAGAAUAGACUAAUGGUGACGAGUGUUGAUCCCACGAGGAGGUGGAUUUUAAUUGUGUAGAAUUAAUUUUGUAAAUGGGUGGUUGGAUUUCUGGUGAAAUUGAUUUGGAAUAUUCUAAAACUUAAAUUAAAAUGGCGAGAAUAAAUUGAAGAUAAAUCUAUUGAAAUGAAGCACUUGGGUAUCUGGAUCCGUAUCAACAUGCACCAUGGGCUAAAUAUUCAUUAUUAAUGCCAAUUAAAUCAUGAGGGGGGAAUCCACACCUCAUGAACCACGCUCUAAUCAAUAUGGUGCUAAGGGCUUAUCGUGCCAAAUAAUAAUAACCUUGUACUAGAGAGCCGGUGUAACUAAAGCGGUAUCUAGACAAGAUUAUUAUUAUUUGUAGACGAAAAGUCAAAUUAUCCACAAAAAUUAGAGGGGAAAAGAAAAUAAAUUUACCAAAUAAAGCCCAUGACACAUGUUGAGACUUCACCUUCAACCCAAGCUUGAAAGAAAAUUAGCUACUCAUAAUUGAACUAGGGGCAAAAUGGAAAUUUAUUAAAAUACGUAGAAAAUACAAGAUGGAGAAGGAAUUACAAAAAAUGGAUCCCAAAAAUGGAUUCAGAGAUAUCAAAUUAGGGGGGGAGGCCCACUUUUUGUAGAUACAUUGAGUAAAUCAUGGCCAUCGGAUUAAAAACAGUUUGGACGCUCAGGAUUGCGCCACGUCAUCAGUCAACAGUACGCGGUUUGACCACGUGGGUGAACAGUAAGACGGUUUGACCCCGCUUUGAACAGUAACGCGGUUUGGUUGAAAAUAAUCAUGUGUAAUGCAUGUACCGUACGCCCAAGUUUUGGUCCACUAAUAUGCUGCCACGUCACAAUCAACAGUUCAUAAGAAUUUUAGACCAAUAGGAUCAUGACACCUCAUCAGUCAAUGCCACAUCAUCGGUCAAUGCCACAUCAUCGAUCCGUCUAUGUGAACGGUGUCAUGAACAGUAACGUAGACAAUACCGUACAUGUGAAUAGUGCCGUACAUGUGAACAAUGCUAUUUUUCCUUUUAUGCUGCUCCUAAGGUUUUCGACCAUCCUGAGUUCAAAACUGAUGUCCGUUUUGCCGUUUGAUCUCUCGUUUAUUGUGAAAUGACUAUAAUGCCUCUAAAAUACACAAAAUACUUAAUUAAAAUAAAACACACAUAAUUAAAUUAUGUGAACGUUAAAUACAUAAAAGUAAGGGUUGUUAGUAAGACUUGAAAUGUAAAAUGACGAUUUUCUCAUUUAUAAAUAUACAUUUUCUAACACUCAACACACCCCCCAACCAGCUUAUUGCUAGUCCCUAGCAAAUAAAGCGAAAACAAAAUUCAAACACAAUUUUUUUUUUAAAACAAUCUUGUUUAUUCAAUCAGACUAAUGAUAGCAAUCAAAUAAAAGUAUAAGCAUUAUCUCCAAUCUAAAGCAACAUCACACCCACAUCAGCCAUCCACAUGAAUUAGCCUAGUAGAUUGUCAUAGUUACUUUCAAGAAUGACAUGUCAAACCCCAAAAUCUCACUGGAAGUAGUGACACUCUCACAAAGAAAUUAAACCUAAUAAAAAUAAUCACUCCAAUGAAUGGUACUUGAGAGAGAAAAUAAUAAAAGUGGGCACCACCAUCACUGAUUAUUGCUCGAGGGAAUCCAAAGCGCGAAACAAUGUUGCUUUUCAAAAAUCCUAUCACCACCUUAUGAUCAUUGGUUCUACAUGGAAUUGCUUCUACCCAUUUCGAUACGUAGUCAACAGCAACCAAUAUGUAUUGAUGGUCAAAAGAAGGGGGAAAGGGUCCCAUAAAGUCGAUACCCCAUAUGUCAAAAAUCUCAACCACUAAAAUUGGAUUUAGUGGCAUCAUGUUCCUGUGUGUAAUGCUCCCCAUUUGUUGACACCUAUCACAUGAAGAACAGAAAGUGUAAGCGUCUCGAAAUAUAGUUGGCCAAAAGAAACCACAUUGUAAAGCUUUAGUCGCUGUUUUCUUAGCACUGAAAUGGCCUCCACAAGCUUGUUCAUGGCAGAAUGAAAGGAUAUUCUGAAUUUCACUUUCUAGGACACAUCGGCUAAUAAUUUGGUCUGCACAAUACUUGAACAAAUACGAGUCAUCCCAAAAGAAAUUCUUUAUUUCUGCAAAGAAUUUAGCCUUGUCUUGCUUGGUCCAAUGCUCUGGAAGUUGACAUGUAACAAGAUAAUUCACGAUGUCAGCAUACCAUGGUAAUACUUCCACACUCAUCAAUUGUUCAUCUGGAAAUGACUCAUUCAAUGGUAAUAUUUCCAUAAUUGUGUCAAAAUGGAGACGAGAGAGAUGGUCAGCUACAACAUUCUCUGUGCCUUAUCUUUAAAUUCCAAGUCGAACUCCUGCAAAAGUAACACCCAACAAAUUAGUCUAGCUUUUGCAUCUUUCUUUGUGAGAAGAUAUUUAAGAGCAACAUGAUCAGUGAACACAAUUAUUUUACAACCAAUGAGAUAAGAUCGAAAUUUCUCGAAUGCAAACACUACUGCUAGCAUUUCUUUUUCAGUAGUUGGAUAAUUCAACUGUGCAUCAUUGAAUGUCAUACUAGCAUAGUAAAUAACAUGGGAAAUUCGAUCAACUCUUUGUCCUAAUACUACUCCUACUGCAUAAUCAGAUGCAUCACACAUGAACUCGAAUGGUAAGCUCUAAUUUGGGGGCUGGAUGAUGGGUGAUGAUGUCAACAAUUGCUUUAAUUUUUCAAAAGCCACAAGACAUGAAUCAUUAAAGAUAAAAGGUACAUCCUUAGCAAGUAAAUUGCAUAAGGGUCUAAAAACUUUGCUAAAAUCUUUAAUGAAACGUCUAUAGAAACUAGCAUGCCCAAGGAAAGAUCUUACUUCUCUGACUGUUUUGGGUAGAGGAAGAUUAGAAAUGAGAUCUACCUUGGCUUUGUCAACCUCAAUACCUUUGCUCGAAAUAAUGUGACCGAGAACAAUACCUUGUUUUACCAUAAAAUGACACUUCUCCCAAUUUAAGACUAAGUUCUUCUCGAUACAUCUCUGCAGAACUAGUGUUAGAUGAUGUAAACAUUGAUCAAACGAGUCACCAAAGACAGAAAAAGUCAUCCAUAAAGACUUCAAGGAAUCGUUCAACCAUAUACGAAAAAAUGCUCAACAUGCAUCGUUGAAAUGUAGCAGGUGCAUUACAUAAUCCAAAUGGCAUUCUCCUAUAUGCAAAUGUACCAAAAGGGCAAGUGAAAGUAGUUUUCUCUUGAUCUUUUGGUGCUAUGAGAAUCUGAUUAUAUCCUGAGUAGCCAUCUAGAAAGCAAUAAAAUUCAUGGCCUGCUAAUUUAUCAAGCAUUUGAUCGAUAAAUGGUAAAGGAAAAUGGUCUUUACGUGUGACAGAAUUCAACUUUCUAUAAUUAAUGCAUACACGCCAUCCUGUAGUUACUCUAGUUGGUAUCAAUUCAUUAAACAACUUGUACAGGACUGACCCAUGAACUAUCAGAAAUUGGGUAAAUGAUACCUGCGUCUAAUAGCUUAAGGACUUCAGUUCUAACAACUUCUUUCAUGUUAGGAUUUAACCGACGUUGCAUUUCCCUAGUAGAUUUAGCAUUUUCAUCAAGGUGAAUGUAAUGCAUGUAGUCUACUGGGUUUAUACCUUUUAUGUCUGCUAUGGUCCAUCCUAAUGCUCAUUUGUGCUCUUUUAAAACAUCCAACAACUUACCUUUUUGUUCGUCAUUUAGGGAUGAUGAAACGAUUACCGGUAGAGUACUUUUUUCUCCCAAAAAUGCAUAUUCCAAAGUGUUGGGUAAUGGUUUGAGCUCGAGUUUCAGUGGUGAUUUUGAUGAUGGGAUGAGUUUCUUUUCUGAUGGUGCUAGUUGUUCAACUCUUGACUUCCAUUUAUUAGUGUCCAUGGAUGGUGCUGAGUCAAGUAGGGCGUUGACCUCAUCGACCGAUCUGUCAAUAUCAUAAUCCAAACCAAAGUGAGUUAAACAUGUUUGUAAAGGAUCAUCACUAAGGUUUGAAAGAAAAGUAUUAUCAACUAUUGUUUCUAUUAAAUCCACAUCAACAAUUCCAUCAUCUGCAUUAUGAAGCUGUUUGGCAAUGUUGAAAAUGUUUAGCUCCAUAGUCAUGUUGCCGAAGGACAACUGCAUAUUUCCAGUCCUGCAUUGAAUGUGAGCAUCCGCAGUUGCCAAGAAAGGUCGACCUAAAAUAACGGGGAUGUGCUUUCUUGAAUCCUGUAUUGGUUGAGUGUCAAUUACAAUGAAAUCAACAGGAAAAUAAAACUUGUCUACCUGAAUAAGCAUGUCCUCCACAAUACCACGAGGUAUUUUCGUGGACCGAUCUGCAAGCUGUAACACCACUGGAGUUGGGUGUAAUUCUCCAAGUCCAAGUUUCAAAAAUACUGAAUAAGGCAACAAAUUUACACUAGCUCCUAAAUCCAACAAAGCAUUCUCAAUUGUGUGGUUCCCUAUACUACAUGAGAUAGUGGGGGAGCCUUGGUCUUUGUAUUUUAGAAGAAUUUUAUGUUGGAUGAUAGAACUAACGUUUUCUGUUAAAAAUGCCUUCUUUUGAACAUGAAUGUUUCUCUUUUUAGUACAAAGGUCUUUAAGAAACUUGGCAUAAGAUGGAACUUAUUUUAUAGCAUCAAGCAAAGGGAUGUUAACACUUAACUGUUUAAAGAUUUCGAGAAUCUCACCUGUGGAUUUUUCCUUCUUUCCUUUAGCUAACCUCUGAGGAAAUGGAGCUUUGGGAACAUAUUCUCGUGGGUUGGUUUUUUCUUUCUCCUCCGGUAAUAAGUCUUCAACAUUCACAGGUACAAUUUUAUUUUCUUUUGUCACCGGCAUCUCCACUUUGAUGUCGACUUCUUUUCCUUUUCGCAAGGUCAUGACUGCUUUGACUUCUCCAUGCUGUUGUGGUGAACUGGUACUUGCUUCAUGUAUUCUUUUAGGAUUAGGCACUGGUUGACUUGGAAACUUGCCUUUCUCAACGGUCAUUGCCAAGGUCCGAACUGAAGAAGCAAGCUGUCCCACCAUCUUCUCGAGGCUUGAAACUGAUUGGGCUUGUGAGUUGAAGCCCGCUCUCAACUCAUUUCGUAGUCCAUCAAUGGUGCGGUUCUGUUGCUCAAUCAUGGAGUGAGUAACAUUCUUGAGAUUCUGGAAUGAAUCCUCCCAUGGUAUGGGUUGAGAGUAGUUUUGGUUAUGGUUGUAUGGUCUAAAUGGUGGCUGAGAGGCUUGAGGUACUUGAGGAAUUUGUUGCAUUGGUGGAGCUGGAGCUGUUGGUCUAUUCUGUUGGAAUCCUUGAGACCAUGAAAAAUUAGGGUGGUCUCUCCACCCAGGGUUAUAUGUGUUGGAGUAUGGAUUGUAAUUUGAUGGUUUUCUCAUUACACCUAUGGCAUUGACUUGAUCUGAGUAUGAGUUAUGGUCAUGUGGCUCUGUUGAUUUAGCAGUCGAUAACGAUGCUAUUUGUCGAGCAAGACCUUCAACCAUCUCCUUGACUUCUUUGAUUCCCGAAGUUGACUCUCCAAUGUGAACCUCAUUCACUCCUUUAAUUAUUUUAGUAUUCCUGAGUGAUCGACUCCGUUGUUGGGAAUUAUCCGCUUGUCGCUGGAAGAAUUCCCAAAUUUCUGAUGCACUUUUUGACAUUAGCUCUCCUCCACUUGUUGCCAUUAGCCAUUCUUGCACAUUCGGCAAUAAUCCCUCCAAAAAGUAUUGGCAUUGGUGCCAUUUCUUGUACCCAUGAUGUGGACACUUCAAGAGUAGCCCAUUGAAUCGCUCCCACGUUUCGAAAAACUGCUCGUCUUCUCUCUGUGUAAACUCUGAAAUUUCCCUGCGAAUAACAUUGGUUUUAUGCACUGGGAAAUAUUUAUUCAAAAAUUUAGUUACCAUUUGUUCCCAUGAUGCAAUGCUAUUAGCAGGCAAUGUAUUAAUCCAUGAACGAGCUCUAUCCUUUAAAGAAAAUGGGAAUAGUCUAAGUUUUACAUCAUCAUCUGAAAAAUUUUCAUAUUUAAAUGUUUGACAAAUAGCAUGAAAAUCAUUCAAAUGAUUAUAUGGGUCUUCAUUUUCUAGGCCAUAGAAUGUUGGGAGACAAUUUACCACACUAGGUUUUAGUUCAAAACUCCUAGCAGCUACAUUUGGGUAUCUUAUACAUGAUGUGCUCAAAUUAACUAAAUGACUAAAAUAGUCCUUAAAUGGCCUCUCCUGUGGUGCUUGUAAAUCCAUUCCAAAUUUAUUUUUAACGUGCUUGUGUGUGUGAAGUGUUUUUUCUAGUUCAAGGUCUAUAGGUUCAAGAUUAGGUAAUAAUGACCUACGACCAUGCAUGCAAAGAACAAAAAAUAAAUGGGAACAAAAAGAAUAAAAAUAAAGAAAAAAGAGAAAUUACGAUACUAACCUUAUCACGCUGUUACAACCUUUUUAUAAAAAAAAUACUUAAAAAAAUACGUGAAAUAAAUUAACUAAAAAUAAAUUAAUAAGCUAAACAAAAAAAAUACAAAGAAAAUUAAAUUGAAAUUAAAUUACAGAAUUUUAAAGAAGAGAAAAAGACAAGAAAUACUAACCUUUAAAUGUAGAUUCACUUUUUUUUUUUAAAGAAAAAAAAUACAAGAAAACAAUUAAAUGGAAUUAUUCACAAAAAUUAAUUCUAUGAAUUAAAAUUACUUACCUCCCCGGCAACUGCGCCAAAAACUUGUUGUGCAAAUUUUACUGAACUCACAAGUGCACAAAUCUAUUGUAGAAUAGACUAAUGGUGACGAGUGUCGAUCCCACGAGGAGGUGGAUUUUAAUUGUGUAGAAUUAAUUUUGUAAAUGAGUGGUUGGAUUUCUGGUGAAAUUGAUUUGGAAUAUUCUAAAACUUAAAUUAAAAUGGCGAGAAUAAAUUGAAGAUAAAUCUAUUGAAAUGAAGCACUUGGGUAUCUGGAUCCGUAUCAACAUGCACCAUGGGCUAAAUAUUCAUUAUUAAUGCCAAUUAAAUCAUGAGGGGGGAAUCCACACCUCAUGAACCACGCUCUAAUCAAUAUGGUGCUAAGGGCUUAUCGUGCCAAAUAAUAAUAACCUUGUACUAGAGAGCCGGUGUAACCAAAACGGUAUCUAGACAAGAUUAUUAUUAUUUGUCGACGAAAAGUCAAAUCAUCCACAAAAAUUAGAGGGGAAAAGAAAAUAAAUUUACCAAAUAAAGCCCAUGACACAUGUUGAGACUUCACCUUCAACCCAAGCUUGAAAGAAAAUUAGCUACUCAUAAUUGAACUAGGGGCAAAAUGGAAAUUUAUUAAAAUACGUAGAAAAUACAAGAUGGAGAAGGAAUUAUAAAAAAUGGAUCCCAAAAAUGGAUUAAGAGAUAUCAAAUUAGAGGGGGAGGCCCACUUUUUAUAGAUACAUUGAGUAAAUCAUGGCCAUCGGAUUAAAAACAGUUUGGACGCUCAGGAUUGCGCCACGUCAUCAGUCAACAGUACGCGGUUUGACCACGUGGGUGAACAGUAAGACGGUUUGACCCCGCUUUGAACAGUAACGCGGUUUGGUUGAAAAUAAUCAUGUGUAAUGCAUGUACCGUACGCCCAAGUUUUGGUCCACUAAUAUGCUGCCACGUCACAAUCAACAGUUCAUAAGAAUUUUAGACCAAUAGGAUCAUGACACCUCAUCAGUCAAUGCCACAUCAUCGGUCAAUGCCACAUCAUCGAUCCGUCUAUGUGAACGGUGUCAUGAACAUCAACGUAGACAAUACCGUACAUGUGAAUAGUGUCGUACAUGUGAACAGUGCUAUUUUUCCUUUUAUGCUCCUCCUAAGGUUUUCGACCGUCCUGAGUUCAAAAGUGAUGUCCGUUUUGCCGUUUGAUCUCUCGUUUAUUGUGAAAUGACUAUGAUGCCCCUAAAAUAUACAAAAUACUUAAUUAAAAUAAAACACACAUAAUUAAAUUAUGUGAACCUUAAAUACAUAAAAGUAAGGGUUGUUAGUAAGACUUGAAAUGUAAAAUGAUGAUUUUCUCCUUUAUAAAUAUACAUUUUCUAACACUCAACAGCUAGAACACCAGCCUCUACUAGGACACGUAUGAUAAGUACAACCCGAAUCCAAAAUCCACUUAUCUGAGUGACAUGUCAAUGUCAUGCCAACCAGACUAAAGUCUGACUUCUCAUCGUGUUAUGCUACACAUGCAUCAGAAGUAGCCUUGCCCUUUUGUAACUUAGGACAAUUAUUUUUCCAAUGCCCUUUCUCGCGAUAAAAAGCACACUCAUCUUUGGCAGGCCUCCCUUUAGACUUGCUCAUUUUCCAAGUUUGCGGCUUUGUGAACAACCUCUCGUUGUCAAUACUUUUGCAACUGUAUCUCUGUGAUUUUUUUUGUCUUUCUUUAUGGUCUCAGAGUUAUACAACGCAUUGCAUAUAGACACUAUCCUUUUCAUGAAGCAAAGUGGUGGUGAGAUGAUCAUAUUCAUUAGGAAGAGAGUUCAACAGCAACAAUGCCUUGUCUUCAUCUUCAAACUUCUUAUCCAAAUUUAGCAAAUUUGCUAAUAUCUUAUUGAAUGAGUUUACAUGGUCAUUCAUUGGCAUUCCAAGUGCAUACGUGAAUCGAUGAAGUUUUUUUUUCAUAUAAAACCUAUUUUUAAACAUUUUCUUCAUGUACUUUUCUUCUAGUGCCUCCUACAAUUUCUUUGCUGAUGUCUCCCUCAUGACAAAGUAUUUUUGAUCUUUAGCCAAACAUAGGCGAAUAGUAUUAUAUGCCUGUUUAUUAAUCUUUAUCUACUCCUUAUCAUCUAUCAUGUCAGGUUUUUCUUCAAGACCAACGUCCAACUCUUACUAACAUAAGACAUUCAACACCUCACAUUGUCAGAUACCAAAGUUAUUGGUACCAUCAAAUUUCUCCACUUCAAAUUUUAUAUUAGUCAUAGUAGUCCUUGCUGACGAAAAUGACGACGAUGCCUCUGCCAUCCUUUUUAACUCAAAUGAUUAGUGUCUUCAACAACUAUUUACACUUAAAAAACAACCUCUAUGAUGUUUAUUUCGCGUGAAUAAAUGCACAGAAAAGUUCCCAAGAGAAUGGAGGCGUUACAACGGUCCCACUUAAAACCCAGACUCCAUAGGCUCUUAUCGCUUUGUUGACAGAACUUUCCUAGACAUGCAAAAAUACACACUACUUAUUAUAGACUAUCUCCCAAGUAUAAAUGGCCGUCUCUACCGUAUUAGUGAACAAUACCAUAUACGUGAAAAAGACUGUAUCUAUGAACAAUUUUGUAUACAUGAAAAUUAUCUACUUUUUGAAGUUUGAUGAUGAGAAACAAUGAGUUCCAGUUGUUUGGUCGUCUUCCUUUAUACCUCACUAGGCAUUUGUAGUAGCAUCAAUAAAUUAUAGGCAUCAAGAUUCAAGAACAUAAUGAUGCUUGUCAGCUUCACUUAUUUCACUUACAUGUUUGGUAUCCCUUUGUUUUUGCUUCAAGAGUUUUUUCAGCUUUAUACCACAAAUUUAUUUUGUACCCUGCCUCAUCCUGCCUGUCUCCGUUCCUUCAUUCCUCUCUAUUUGUCUUUUCAUGUUUGCAUGAGAACAUGUACCCAUUGUUCUCUACACUAGCUGUACCUUCGACGAAGAAGUAACUUUGUUACAACUUUCAUAUUCUCAAAAUGUGGAAUUACCUUGAACCAAAAAUUGAAGCACUAACACUUUCCAUCAUUUACAAGUUUAAGCUAGAAUGUAUGGCCCUUUUUUAUUUUUUAUUUUUCUAAUUAUUAUUAUUAUUUUUAUUAUUUUUAUUAUCACCAGGUAGAAUUUGGAUACUUUAUAUGUGAAUUAGUUGACAUAUCUUUCAAUAUGGCCAUUUUAUUAAAUAAUGUUUUUGUUUCUUUUCAUUGCUUUAAAUUAAAAAAAAAGCAAAAGAAAUUUUGUCUACCUUUUCUCAUUCUCAGAUUCUUGUUCCUGGACUCAUUAUGUCACAUGUGUUGUUGUUAUAGAGGUAGUUGUACUAAAACCCAAAUGCUUACCAUUUUCUUUUCUUUUUUUCUUUUUAGAUUUGAAUUUGAAAGACUUUUUCUUCCCUAUUUGUAUCUUUUUCCAUAGUCUUGCUAUCUUAUUAUUAGAAAAUUAAAAAUUCUCUGUUGAUUUCAAGAAAAAAAUUUCUCUAUGGUUUUAUCUAGUUCUGAUGGUCAUGGUUUUAAGCAUUUGCAGACAUGGUACGUCAAUUACUUCAGAAGAUAUCUAUUACGAAACACAUUCAGUUUGUACUGAUGUGAUAUCAAAUAUCCCUUGGCCCAUCUUGCAAGUAUAAAAUAUCCUAAAAACAAAUCCAGGUUUGCAAUUUAGUACAUUAUAUAUUGGUUUUUUUAAUAAGAAUGAUGAUUUAAUUAUUGAUAUAUAUAUAUAUAUAUAUACACACACACACAUAUAUGAAUUUUGUUAGUGGUGAUUGUGGAGCAUUUUUAAUGGAGUACUUGGAGGUCCUAACCCAAGGCCUUAAUGUCAGCAUGAAUUGCCAAUAGGAUGAUGUUACAUAAUAUCGAAAACAUUAGCUAUCAAAUUAUUUGGCCAUAGGUUGUGGAAACCAACUAUAUAGGAUCACACUCUCAAGAACUUCAUUACUCUAAUUUUGCCAAUUUUUUGAUAAGUUAUUAUGAGAUGUAACAGUUACAUUAAGGAUGUAGUUGACAUUUGAUGUAAUUAAAUAUAGUUUUAUUUUUUAAAAUAUAUUAUUGAAAGAAUAGAGGAUAGUUUUGUGUUAUAUUUGUGAUAUAACAGGAUGAUCAAAAUAAUUAAAGAAAUGCUCAGCCCAAAUACGCGACUCCAGUCAAGUAUCUAUGAAGAUGCAUGACUAAAGUCUAGUAUCUAUGAGGAUACAUAACUACAAUAUCUUCAUAGAUACACACACCUCUCACUAGAAUUCAUAAUCUUCUUGUACUUUUAUUAAUCAUUUGACACUUAUAAAUCAUUACUCAUCACUUAAACAUCAAUUGCUCAUCUCUUAAUAAAUGGCUGUAGUCGAGUAAAAUCAGAUAUGCAUGACAACAGUAGGAUAACUUCAUAAAUGUGUGACUGUAGUCGAGUACAUGGGUAGAUAACUGUAGUCGAGUACAUGGGUAGAUAACUGUAGUCGAGUACAUGGGUAGAUAACAAAAUUACCUAAAACACUCAUCAUAAUGAUAACACAAUCAAUAUAAGUUUUAACAUAUCAAACUUUAAUUCAUCAAACAACAAAAUCUUGUUUACAUCAAACAACAUAGGUCUAAUGCAUGUCAGCAUCAUAAAUAAGUUUCAAGAGAAACAAGUAGCUACACAAUCAUCAUAACUAUUAAUUUACUCCAAACACUCCGCCCAUCUAUUAUGAUCCCAUUUGUUUCAAUGUUAAAUUUAGAAAUAUGAAUGGAAAUAACUCGAGAUACUCUUUCUAUCAACUGUGCAUACGUUGUAGAUGGGGCACUAUGAUUCAUUUUGCAUUUGAACCAUUAAGUUUAUGAUGGUUGUUUUGCUCAAUCUAUUCACCAUGAAACAUAUUAAGCACACGUACUGAAGUCAUUUCCUAUAAUAAUAUAACGAUUAAUUAUACAGCAAGUACAAAAAUAAAAUCAAACAAUAGAUAUAAUGACAUGAGGAAUUGUCUACCUAUUUACAUGACAACAGUCGUGUAACUUGUUAAAAUACACGACUAUAGUCCAGUAAAUAGUCAGAGGACAUUUAUAGUGAAAAAAUAUAUAUUUUUGCACUAGAAGAAUGCUAUAGUGUCACAACAGCUACAACAUUUUUCACAGUUGCACGAUUGUAGUUGUGUAAAAUCAUACAUACACAACAAAAGUCGUGUCACUUUAAAAAAUACAUGAUUACAGUCUAGCGAAUAGUUAGAGGACAUAUAUCUUCUCCAAAAAAAUACUUCUGCACUAAUAACACACUAGGAUCUCAUGGCAGUUGGAACAUUUUACACACUUUUACGACUGUAGUCACGUAACUUUAUAAAUACACGACAACAGUCUUGUAACUUAAAAAAAUACACGACUACAAUCCAAUAAAUAGUCAGAGACAUAUUUCUUCUCCAAAAAAUAUAUUUUUUGCACUAAUACAACACUAGGGUCUCAUAAUAGUCGAAAUAUUUUACACACGUACACGAGUGUAGUUACUUAAAUUAAUACAUAUACUACAGCAGUCAUAUAAAUUACUAAAAUACAAAACUAUAGUCCAGUAAUAGUCAGAGGACAUAUUUCUUCUCCAAAAAAUAUAUUUUUUGCACUAAUAGAAUGCUAGAGUAUCAUAAUAGCUGGAGUAUUUUGCACACUUGUACGACUACCGUCGUACAAAUUCACACACACACACUAUUGCAGUCGUGUAAAAUGGGUUUAGAGUUAAGAAUUUUAAGAACAAAAUUAGAUUUCAACAAAUGUAGUUAGAAAAUCCAUCACUUAGCAUGAUACAAAUGUAAUGAAAAUGUGAGAUGUUUUGUUGUUUAUCACAAAUCAAACAAAACCCUAAAAAUAAUAUAAUGUUAAGAAAAUACAUGAAUAAACAAAAUAAAUGUAAAGUUUAAAAUAACUAAUUCAUUGGAUGAAUAAUGUACCUAGUUACAAACCAAAAUCUCAUACAUUGGCUGUUAAUUAGUGAUUUUGAGAGUGUGGAGUGAUUUUUUGUUGUGUAGAGUGAAAUGAUGUGAGGAGUGAAAUGGUUGGGCGUGUUGGAGGGUGCUUUUUUGUGCUUUAUAUUUUUCUUUUAGGGAUAUUUUAGUCAAUACACACACCAAAGUGGCAUAUCUAUAUAAUUAUAAACUAUGGGGCAUAUUUACAUAAAUACCCUACUUUUGGGGUAUAUUUAAUUAAAAACCUCUGUAUAAAUGGAGGGAAGAAGAGUAUUUGAUUUUUAUGUUUCAAUGAGAUGUACGUACAACAAAUUCUAUUCAAUAGUCAGCAUCGUGCCUUUUUAUUAUUUUAUUUUAGUAUUUUCAUUUCAUUUUCUGUCACUUUUUUGUGCUGACAUAUGUUGUGCUAAUAUAAUUGGCUCUAAUUAAAAUAUAAAGUUUUAAAAUAUUAAAAAUUUUAAAAUUUUAAAAUAAUAUCCAGUUUCUGUGCCUUUUUAUUAUUUUAUUUUAGUAUUUUCAUUUCAUUUUCUGUCACUUUUUUGUGCUGACAUAUGUUGUGCUAAUAUAAUUGGCUCUAAUUAAAAUAUAAAAUUUUAAAAUAUUAAAAAUUUUAAAAUUUUAAAAUAAUAUCCAGUUUAUUUUCACUUUGAAAAAUAUUUUUAACACCCAUAUUUUAACCUUUUUUAUUUCUAAACUUCUUUUAAUAUACUUUUAUUUUCUAUUCUAAUACUUGAGAGGUGGGUUUCAUUUAUCUAUUUAUAUAAUUUGUGAUUUUCUAUUGAUUAUGUUCAAGUACUGUGGUUUUUUGCUAGUUAUUUUUAUUUUAUUUUCUAUGUCACUUUUUUGUGAUGUCAUAUUUUGCCCGCUAUGUUUAGAGUUUAACAAAUUUAUUUAAAUCCAAAAAAUUGGAAUAAUGCUUUCACUAUAAUGAUAAUACUCUGAAUAGGGUUAAACAAAGAGAAAAAAAUCCAACACAUAAAUUAAAUAAAAAUAAUCAUUCUAAAAAUGACAAAAUUAAUUAGUUGCACAAGUCAAUAAUUAAUAAUAAUAUAAACAACAUGUUAUGAAAUAAUUAUAAUUAUGUGGAUGUUCAUCAAAGCAACUUUUCAUCUCUCCGCCAAACAACUUAUCAUAUCCUAUAACUCUCACUAUCUCGCAAGAAGUUAUGACUAAUGACGUAUCUAUUUUCUAAUUAUUUAUUUCAUUUAUAUGGUUAUAGGACUGUAAAAGGAGCACUCAUCUCCUUCCUUGUAUUUAUUGAAUUAAAGUUGUCUCUAAAUUAUUGUUGUGCCUCCUAUUUUCUUUUUUUGUUUCUUUUAUAUAUAUUGUUGUGCUCCUAAUUGAUAAAUAAUAUAACAUGUUAUUAGCAUGGAUCUCUAGCCACUAAGAGGUAAUAUGAUAAUAUCUCUCCUUUGAUCUUACUCAUGGAGGUAUGAAUGAAACUAUCUUGAUUUGUCUAAAAUCAUAUACAUAUUUUGCUUAUGUAUUUCUAUAAUUUAAGAAUAAUGGAUUUAUGAAAUUGUUCCUUACUUCCUUUAUUAAUGAUUACAAAUAUUUUAUGACAAUUGGAUUGAAACAUUUAUCUAAUGUUCUGUUAAUUGAUAUUGUUAUUGUGUAAUUCUUCUUAUUAUAAUAUCCUAUUGCUAUUAUAUAUUUUCUAUUCUUGAAAUUCAAAAAUUUAUCCUAAAGUGUGAAUACUGUAAUAUACAAUGAAAGAAAAUUAAGAAUGCAUCCUUGAGGGAUUGCACUACACAUAAUAAAGAUUCUCUUUCAAAAUAUGUUCCUAAAGAACUAUUUCAAAAUUAUAAUGUCAUUUCACCAACAUCAUGUUCAUAAAGGAUUCAAUAUAUAUGGGUAUAUUUUACAUGUCCUUGAAGGACUAUGAGUUCAUGUUGUCAGGCAAAACUAUAUUCAAAAUUCCUUCUCCAUAUCUCCCAGAAGAGUUACAAAAUGAAAAUAUAAGGUAUAAUUGUUUCUUUGAAACAAUUUGAAGGAAAAAAAUAUGAAAAUCAAAAGUGUUUGAAGAAAUACGGUCAUUUAAAAAAAAUUGUUCAUUUUUGUUUUGAACAACUUCUCAACUUCGUUGGCUCAUUGUUUUGUUUUCAAUCUAUUAGAUUUUUAGUGAUAGAUUUUUGCAUACUUAUUGAUAUAAUAAAAUAUAUGAUUGAGUUGUAAGUAGUGUAUAUAUGUACUUGACCCUUUUAAUUGAUUUAUAUGUUUAUAUUGCAUUUUUUAUGAAUGAUUUUUUUUAUGAUUUCUUGAAUUAUUGUUCACAUGUUUGAGAUAAUGAAUAGUACUAAAAUAAUUUUGUGGAAGAAAUCAAUCCCUAAAGGGUUGUAAAAUAUUAUGGUUUUCUUUUGUUAUCAUCUCCCUGAACGAACGAAAAGUUCAUAUAUAAGUUUAAUUAUAAUUUCAAAAGCUUGAUUGAUUCUCUCUUAUUUGAAAUUAUGUAGAGAGAAUAAUAAAAUAAAAUAAAAACAUAUUAGAGAACACAUGAUUUUAGAGCACAAAUAUGCUCCUGCUAUAGCAAAUCAAGAGUGUGAAUAUAAAUUGAUGUUAUAUUUUCUUUUGUUAAAGAUAAAAUAUGAGUUUUUGAUUAAAAGCAAAUCAUAACUAACUCAAUUCCUUAAUGGAUUACUUGUGGACUAGUAAUAGACAUAAUUGUUAUCACAUAACUUUUCAAAAUUAUAAUGAUUAUAGAUCUUAUCAUAAAAAUCAACAUGUGAAUAUUAUACCAUCAAAAGUAGUACAAAUUGAAUCAAUAUUGGUGAUGGAUCAGAAGUUCAAAUUCAAAAUCUUCACUAAUUUGGCUUAGUAAAUUUGCUAUGCAAGCUUAAAUAUCUUAUAAAAGUUCUCUUACGAUUAAGGAGAGCAAAGUGAUAUAUAUUUAGUGGAAAAUAUAAAUUAUUUGUUUCACCUUUAUCCCAUUUUGAUCUUUAUAUGAGUUAAUUUAUUUGAACUUGAAGUUCAACAAGAUUAGUGUACAAUGGCCACUAUUGAUCAAUUAUUGAAUGAAUUCAUUGAUAUUUGAAAGUGAAAAAUCACAAACAAAAUAUGAUUGUUGGUUGAUAUGAUGUCCUUCAAGGAUGAAAUAAUGAGACAAAUAAAUAUAUGAAUGCUUGAAGCAUGUAAUAGAUCAACUGGUGCAAAAAUUUAAUUCUUGGGAAGUUGAAGUGAAAUAAUUUGGCACUCUUGAAAAGGUCAUGUUUGCAUGUAAAGUAAAAAAUUUUAUUUGUAUUAAAUUAUUGAAUAUAUUACCUCUAAAAAGGUAUAACGUACCAACUAGAAAAAUGAAUCUUAAAUAUCUUUGAAGAGGUAAAUGGUAAGAAAUAAAGAGAUUCAAAUUGCCCUAUAAAAGGCACAUAUGCAAUUUAAAAUAGAGAGAUCUUUAGCCCUUGUAGAGGCAUAUGUAUUAAAAACUUCGAAAGAUCUCAUUGGUCAUAUAUAUUGAAAAAUAAAAAAAUAUAUGAUCAAUAGUGUGUUGAUACUUGGUGCAAGAGAAAAAUUGAUAUUGACAUAAGAUUCUUGUCAAUAAAAAUUUAGUUAUUAUGGUCAAACUUUCAAGGUCUUGAAUAAAAAAAAUAUGAAGAUCAUGAAAUUAUAUGAUUGGGCAAAAUUGUAAAAUAUUUGAACUUGUAGUCCAUACGCCAGAGGACGUAAAAUUGAUUAGUAAAAUUUGAUGAAUUUUGGACUUGUAGUACACACGCCUGAAGUCAUAAAACUUAUUAAUAAAAUAUGAGUAUGAGCUAUAGUAUGUCAAAAAUUAAAUUGAAGAAUUUAUGUACUUAUCCUUGAAUGAUAAAAUGCUUGAAACAAGUACUUGAAAAUCAAAAAGCUUGCACCUUAUAUGUUCUUGAUAAAGCUAUAGUCAUAGUUGUUUAUAUCAUAGCAAUCUAGACUUAUAAAGUAUAAUCACUUGAGUAAAAAUUUAUUAUAAGUGGGAUAUAUCAUUAUCCACUUUGCUUUGCAAUUUUUAUUAAAAAUUAAAAAUUACAUUUGCUAUCUUUGCAAAUUGUGUUGAUGAGUUAAUGAGAAAACUUCUAAAGAGCUUAUGAAUUUAUUUCUUUUAAGAAUGGAAUUCAAGAUGAAAGAUUUUGAAAUGAAAGAAUUUCUUUGAAUUUGUAGAUUGAAAUUUAUCAAGUGAAAUGUUGAUAUUAUUGAAAUGCCAAAAGUAUUUCAUAUUAAAAAAUUGAUCUACUUUAAAAUAUAUUGUAAAUGUCUCGGUCCUGAAGAACCAUAUUUUAUUCUAACUUGUGCCUACAAAGGCAUUGAAAAAUUACAUAAUUAUAAAUUAAAUUAUGUUCAACAUAAACUUGAAAAUGUUCAAAUAAUGUGAAAAGUUUAUCACACCAUUUCCUUGAUAUGGACAUUAAAGCUUCGUUUUAUUUUAAAAGAUCAACAAAAUUAUGAAGAUAUAUGCAUAGCGAUAUUCUUCAAAUUCAAGAUGUUGGUAUCUAUAAUUUAUUAUACAUUUUCAAGCUUUCAAAGGAUGGUGUUGAUCCUAUAGAUUGUUUCAUCAAACUAUUGUUUAUUAUAACUAAUUAUGAUUGAUCUUUGAAGCAUCCGUGUCAUUUUGAGGGGGAGCAUGUUUAAAAAGGAGAGUUAUUGAUAUGAAGGACUACAUGGACUGUGCUCAUUUUCCUUCACUAGGCUUUUGUCCCACUGUGUUUUUCCUAGCAAGGUUUUAAUAAAGUAGUUUGCACCUCUUUAAGAUACAAAUGAAGAGUAUACUUUUUUUCCUUCGCUUUUUUGUUUCUUAUAGGAUUUUUACUAGCAAUGGUUUUAAUGAGGCAUAUUCUUUGUAAGAUGAACAUCCAAAGAGGAGUGUUAUGAAAUAAUUAUAAUUAUGUGGAUGUUCAUCAAAGCAACUAUUCAUCUCUUCACUAAACAACUCUUUAUCUCUUAUAACUCUCACUAUCUCAUAAGAAAUUAUAACUAACAAUGUAUCCAUUUACUAAUCAUUUACUUUGUUUACAUAGUUAUAAGACUGUAAAAGAAGGGCUUAUCUUCUUCCCUAUAUACAUUUGAGAUUGAAUAAAAGUUGCCUUUAAAUUAUUGUUUUGUCUCUUAUUUGUUUUCUCUGUUUCUUUUUUAUAUAUUGUUGUGCUCCUAAUUGAUAAAUAAUUUAACACAACAUGAUUUAUUUAAUGCUCAUUCAUAGAAUCAUCAAUAUUUGAGCUAAGACUGAAAGGAAAUGAGUCUAGGUCUAAGUCUGAAAAGAGACAAUGAGGUGGAGCAUUGUUGCAUAUGCUUGAAUUAAAUGGAAAUGGAAUUAUUGACUCCAUUACUUUUCCUUCCUUCUUUCUCUUCAUUCUUUAUCUUUUUUUGAUUACACACACACACACACACACACACACACACACACACACACACACACACACACACACACACACACACACAUAUAUAUAUAUAUAUAUAUAUAUAAUGUUUGAGUGCCGUGCUUUUUGUUGAUUAUGUUCGAGUGCCAUGCUUUUUUAUUAUUUUAUUCAUUUCAUUUUCUGUGUCAUUUUUUGUAAUGUUAUAUUUUUUGCUUGCAUUCUAUGUCGAAAGAUUAACAAAUUCAUUUACAUUUGGAUAUUAUUGCACAUAAUACCAAUAUAUAUAUGAAAAAAGGUAUUUCACAAUUGAAGUUGCACAACACAGAGUAGAAAGUAAAGAAGCAAAAUUCAGCCUCCUCCCUAGAGAAUCCGGAUUUGGCGCAUAAUGUUGUGUUGAUUUGUUUUUUUAUCUUCUUUAUUCAAAGUCUUGUAAUAAGACUAUUUCUUUUCAUCUAUGUGAAGAGUUUAUGUGGAUCUUAGAUCACUAGACAUUAGAGAAUUGAAGAAUUGCUAUUGAUCACUUUGUAAAGUGCCUUGAGGAUCGUGGAUCAAGACGAGUAGUAGUUAUUCAAGAAAAGUAUAUUCAAUCUAAGGUUGAGUAAGUCGUAUGGUGAUAAACUGUAAGUGAGAGUCUUAAGUUUGGUAAAUUCAUAGGUUGUAACAUCUCAAUUUAAUGAAUUGUUUUUUUUUCAUGGGCGUGGCCUCAAAAAUAUAAGAUUGAUUAACUUGAACUGCAUAAAAAUAUUCAUGUCGUUUAAUUUCUACAAUUUAUUGUAUAUUUGAAAAUUAAUAUUUUUCAUGAGGAUAAACAAUAUCGGUGAACAGUAACCGUAAAUAGUAACCGUAAAUAGUAAUAGUGAACAAUAUUUUUUAAAAUUAAUUAACUUGUUAAUUUUAGGGUUUUAAUUGCCUACAUCUAUUUGCAAUAGAUAUAAAUUCCUUUCAAUUGGUAUCAUAGUGGCACACUAACCGUUUAUUUGGUAAGAAUCUUAGAACUUAGAUUUAUUUUAUAGGUAUGGGUUUGCAAAGAAAGGGAGACUCUUUAGCUCGUCCACUUAUACUGGAUGGGACAAAUUAUGCUUAUUGGAAGCAAAUGAUGGAAAUUUAUCUAACAACUAUUAAUGAAAGAGUUUGGCAAUGCGAACUUAUUGGAUAUACUCCACCCACCAGAACUUAUUGGAGUUAUGUUACAUGAUUAUGUAUAAGCACUAGUACACAUACUUUAUUAUAAUUAUUACUAUUAAUAUUUUUAAUAUAAUAUUACAUCCACUCACUGACCCGCAAGCUCACUAUUUUCCUAUUUACCCAUUUCCUCCCAAGAUUUCGUGCAGAUCAGUUCUAGUUAAUUAAGGUUAGGUCACGAGACGCAUUGCUGCAUGUCUUGCAUUUUAAGCACGUUUAUGUUGCUUAUGUUUUAUAUGUAAAUAUGCAUGUAAUGUCAGUAUGUAUAAUGAGACAUAAGUUAUGCAUGUUUUGAAUACAUUUAUGAUUUCAGAAAAGGCACAGAGAUGGUUAUGUGUUUAUAGGAAAGGCCAUAUUAUAUACAUAUUUUCCUGAAUUAAAUUUUCUGCCACAAGUUUUAGUUAUUAGUCCGCACGAUUCGCCUCAAUUCUAACAUGUAGGUCGGGGCGGGUCGUGUCAUUUUGGUAUCAGAGCCUAGGUUAUAGAUUCUGCAGACUAUUACAUGAUGCAUAUAUAUCCAUACAUCAUAUAAUACUAUCAUGACAUUUUAUAGAUAUCAGCAUGCGUAGACGUGGCCGACCUCGCACAAGAUCUGUAGCGGAACUGGGUUCACCUCCACAAACGGAGAAUAAAGAGGAACCCUUAGAAGAGACUGUAGGUGAAUCAGUAUUACAUGCACAUGAACCGCAGCCUCAGCCCCAGCAAAAUCCAGAUAUUCAUCAGGAGCCAGUAGCGAGACUUACUGUGGAUCAGUUUAUGGAUAUAUUUGAAGGGUUUGUUGCUAAUGUUGCUCGGAGGGAGGUUGAAGUUCGUACAGGUACACAAACCACCAUUGAACGUGCUCGUGAUUUGAGGGCACGACGAACCCAGUGAGUUCAGAGUCAUGGUUAAUCAAACUGCGGAGGAUUUUUAAUGUGAUGAGAUGUACUGAUGAAGAAAGGUUAUCCUUCACUGAGUUUUUACUAGAUGGUAAUGCGUAUCACUGGUGGAUGUUUAUAUUACGUCGAUAUGGGGGACAUGGAGCUAUUACUUGGGUAGAUUUUCAGAGAGAGUUCACUGAUAAAUUAUUUCCCAUUGUUUAUCAAGAAGACAUGAUGAAUGAGUUUAUGACGCUUGUACAGGGAUCUAUGACAGUAGAAGAGUACGAGCGUAAAUUUUCUGAGUUAUUGAGAUUUGCCCAAUUCACUGUACCGAAUGAGAGAGAGAAAUGUAGGCGGUUUGAACGGGGUCUUUGAGAAGACAUAAGGACGAUAGUAAUCGGAACAGAAUGUAUAGAUUUUGGCACCCUAGUUAGAGUCGCUACGAGAAUCGAGAGGAGUCGUAGAGAAGCACAAAGGGCUGAGCCGCAACAGCAUAAGCGGGGCCCUACCUGGGCAGUCAGUGAACCUAGUAGCAGAACUCAAAGGAGAAAGGUAGAGCAUAUAGAUUUCUCAAUUAGUCAGCAGUACAAUUGACGACCAGAGUUUCUCGGAGGGAAGAGACCUUUUAGUAGUCAUGAUAGUGUUCAGCAGAGUCCCAAUGUAGGUAGAGGAGAUUAUCCUAGGUGUAAUGUUUGUGGGAAACUUCACAGGGGACAAUGUUUGAGUGGUUCAUCAUGUUGCUUCCAGUGUGGACAGCCAGGACACUUGAAGAAAGAUUGUCCAAAUUUGACGUCGAGCGGCAGUUUUGUGCCAAGUCGAGACCCUCACUACCCUCAGAGUGGCAGUAGUCAAUUUCGAGGGCGGGGAGGUUUCCAAAGAGGAGGACAUACAUUUUUUGGCAGGUCCCAGUCUAAUGCAGGAGAGACUAGUGGUAGUCGACAGAGGAGCCAGCCAAGCAGACCACAUACCCAGGCACAUGUAUUUGCUCUAACCCAGCAGGAGGCCCAUGCCACACCAGAUGUUGUGACAGGUAUUUUGACUAUUUUUUACCGUGAGGCAUAUAUUUUAAUUGAUCCAGGGCCUACAUAUUCUUUUAUUUCUUGCACAUUUUCCAUGCAUGUGGAUAGAGAGAUGAGGCCAUUAGAUUGUACUCUAGUAAUGGUUACACCGGUUGGUAAUUCUCUAUUAGCUGAGAAUGUAUUUCGAGAUUGUGCGGUAAGAGCGGGUAAUAAAGAUAUGGUAGCAGACUUGAUUCUGUUAGACAUUCAUGAUUUUGAUGAUAUAUUGGAUAUGGAUUGGUUAGCAAAUCAUCGUGCUAUAAUGGACUGUUUUCAGAAAGAAGUAACUUUCAGGAAAUCUAGAGAAUCUAAUAUCAUUUUCUAUGGAGAACGACAGAUCUUACCUUCUUCUGUGAUAUCUGUUAUUUCUGCUAGACGAUUACUUAGAAAAUGUUGUUUUGCUUAUUUGGUUUAUGUUAUUGAUAGCCGAGUCAGUGAUGUGAAACUAGAAGAUAUUCCUGUGGUGAAAGAAUUUUCGGAUAUGUUUCCUGAUGACCUUCCUAGUUUGCCACCUGAUAGAGAUGUAAAGUUUACUAUUGAUUUAGUUCUAAGCACAACCCCUAUAUCUAUGGCCCCAUACAAGAUGGCUCCAUUAGAGUUGCGAGAGUUGAAAGUACAAUUACAAGAAUUAGUCGAUAAGGGUUUCAUCAGACCUAGUGUAUCUCCGUGGGGAGCACCGGUGUUAUUUGUGAAGAAGAAUGACGGAACUAUGAGAUUGUGUAUAGAUUACAUGUAGUUAAAUAAAGCCACUAUUCGUAACAAAUAUCCACUUCCUUGGAUUGAUGAUCUAUUUGAUCAGCUACAAGGUGCGACAAUUUUCUCAAAGAUAGAUUUAUGUUCAGGUUAUCAUCAAUUAAAGAUUAGAUAUGCCGAUGUACCCAAAACCGCAUUCAGGACCCGUUAUGGACAUUAUGAGUUUUUGGUGAUGCCAUUUGGGUUAACUAAUGCUCCCACGGCAUUUAUGGAUCUCAUGAACAGGGUGUUUCAUCCCUAUUUGGACAAGUUUGUUAUUGUAUUUAUUGAUGACAUCCUGAUAUAUUCACACAGUAAAGAGGAACAUGCAGAACACUUGAGGAUUGCUUUACAAACCUUGAGACAUUGGCGGCUUUAUGCUAAAUUCAGUAAAUGUCAAUUCUGGUUAGACAGAGUUACAUUCUUGGGACAUGUGAUUUCCGCUGAUGGUAUUUAUAUGGAUCCCCAGAAAAUAGAAGCUGUAGUGAAUUGGGAGCAUCCGACCAGUGUAUAUGAGGUUAGAAGUUUUCUUGGCUUGGCAGGUUAUUACCGCAGAUUUGUUGAAGGUUUUUCCAAGAUAGUUUUACCUCUAACGAAACUGACGAGGAAGAAAGCGAAAUUUGAGUGGACAGAUGAUUGUGAACAGAGUUUCCAAGAAAUCAAGAAAAGAUUGACUUCAGCUCCAAUUCUUACACUUCCAUCAGGUACCGAAGGAUUUUUAGUUUACAGUGAUGCAUCCAGACAGGGACUAGAUUGUGUAUUAAUGCAGCAUGGAAAGGUAAUUGCUUAUGCUUCCCGACAACUCAAGCAACAUGAACUGGAUUAUCCGACACAUGAUUUAGAGCUUGCAGCACUGGUGUUUGCAUUAAAGACCUGGAGACAUUAUUUAUAUGGAGCUACUUGUGAGAUUUAUACAGACCACAAAAGCCUAAAAUACUUGUACACACAGAAGGAAUUAAAUCUGAGACAACAUAGAUGGGUUAAGUUGAUUGCAGAUUAUGAUUGUACUAUUGAUUACCAUCCAGGCAAGGUGAAUGUGGUAGCUGAUGCUCUCAGUCGAAAGUCUUUAAGUUUGAUCUCCCACAUAAAAGUAUCUUAUCUUCCGUUAUUAAUUGAUUUGAGGUUUUUGAGUACAGAUUUGGCAGUAAGUCAGAAUAGAGCACUUUUGGCACACUUUCAGGUUAGGCCUAUUUUGAUUGAUCAGAUUUGAGAGAUGUAUGAUUAAGACCCAAAGUUGAUUGAAAUAAAAGAAUAUGUGAAGAGUAAACUGCGGACUGACUUUUCACUAAGAGAUGAUGGUACUUUGGUUAUGGGUAGUAGGAUCUGUGUGCCGAAUAAUUCAGAUUUGAAGAACCAGAUUUUAAAAGAAGCACAUAGUUCAGCAUAUGUUAUGCAUCCAGGUAGCACAAAGAUGUAUCAUAUUUUGAGGGAGCAUUAUUGGUAGCAAGGGAUGAAGAGAGAAAUAGCAGAAUUUGUAGCGGGUGAUAAAGUUUUCUUACGGAUUUCUCCCUGGAAGGGCAUACUUCGAUUUUGGAAACGUGGAAAAUUGAGCCCUCGUUACAUAGGCCCAUAUGAGAUUAUUCAGCGCAUUGGUCCAGUUGCUUACCGUUUGGCCUUACCUCCAGAGUUAUCACGAGUCCAUGACAUUUUUCAUGUUUCGAUGCUACAGAAGUAUAUUCCUGACCCUUCUCAUGUCUUAGAUGCAAAACUCGUUCAGAUGACGGUGGAUUUGACUUACAAAGUGGAACCCAUUCAGAUACUAGAUUGGAAACAACAUGUGUUGCGUAAUAAGACGAUCUCAUUGGUUAAAGUGAUGUGGAAAGGUCACACUGCAGAGGAAGCCACUUGGGAGCAUGAAGAACAGAUGAGGACACAUCAUCCAUAUUUAUUUUAGCCAAGUAUGUAAAUUUCGGGGACAAAAUUUUUAUAAGUUGUGAGGAAUUGUCAUGCACCGCUGGCCAUGUGUUGUGUAAAUUUUAUUGAACUCGCAAGUGCACGAAUCUAUUGUAGUAUAGAUCAAUAGUGACGAGUGUUGAUCCCACGAGGAGAUGGAUUUUAAUUGUGUAGAAUUAAUUUUCUAAAUAUGUGGUUGGAUUUGUGGUGAAAAGGAUUUGGAUUAUCCUAAAAUUCGAAUUAAGAUGGUAAGAAUAAAUUAAAGUGAAAAUCUAUUAAAUUGACAUACUUGGGUAUCUGGAUCCGUAUCAACAUGCAUCAUGGGCUAAAUAUUCCUUAUUAAUACCAAUUAAAUCAUGAGGGGAGAAUCCACACCUCCUGAACCACACUCUAACCAAUAUGGUGCUAAGGACUUAUCGUACCAAAUAACAAUAACCUUUUACUAGGGAACCGGUGUAACCAAGGCGGUAUCUAGACAAGAUUAUUAUUAUUUGUCAACGAAAAGUCAAAUCAUCCACAAAAAUUAGAGGGGAAAAGAAAAUAAAAUUUACCAAAUCAAGCUCAUGACACAUGUUAAGACUUCACCUUCAACCCAAGCUUGAAAGAAAAUUAGCUACUCAUAAUUGAACUAGGGGCAGAAUGAGAAUUUAUUAAAAUACGUAGAAAAUAUAAGAUGGAGAAGGAAUUACAGAAAAUGGAUCCCAAAAAUGGAUUCAGAGAUAUCAAAUUAGGGGGGGGAGAGCCCCUUUUUUACAGAUACAUUCAGUAAAUUAUAGUCAUCGGAUCAAAAAUAUUUCGGACGCUCAGGAUUGCGCCACGUCAUCAGUCAACAGUACGCGGUUUGACCACACGGUUUGACCCGGGUUGAACAGUGACGCGGUUUGGUUGAAAAUAAUCCUGUGUAAUGCAUGUACCGUACGCGAGAUUUUUGGUCCACUGAUAUGCUGCCACGUCAUCAAUCAACAGUGCAUAAUAAUUUUAGUCCAACAGGAUCGUGACACCUCAUCAGUCAAUGCCACAUCAUCGAUCUGUCUAUGUGAACAGUGUCGUGAACGGUAACGUAGACAGUACCGUACAUGUGAAUAGUACCGUACAUGUGAACAAUGUCAUUUUUCUUUUUAUGCUCCUCCCAAGGUUUUCGACUGUCCUGAGUUUAAAAGUGAUGUCCGUUUUGCCGUCUAAUCUCUCGUUCAUUGUGAAAUGACUAUGAUGCCCCUAAAAUACAUAAAAUACUUAAUUAUAAUACAACACACAUAAUUAAAUGACAAGAAGUUUAAAUACAUAAAAGUAAGGGUGUUAGUAAAACUUGAAGUGUAAAAUGACGAUUUUCUCCUUUAUAAAUAUACAUUUUCUAACACUCAACACCAUGCACCACUUAAAAAAAAAAAAAAAAAGGGAAGCCAAACGUGGCAAUUUUCAAAAGCAACAGCCGGUUGCAUGCUUCAUCAUUUCAGCUGCUUGCUUCACCUCUUUGCGUGGCACAAGCAUGUCCCUCCCAUUUGCUUCAAGCGGUGGUUAUAUAUUUAACAAUUAGAGAGCUGCUUGCUUGAGUUGGUGGGCGUAUAUAAAGUGAAGUUUGAAGCUGUUCUUAUCAUUUUCACCAUUUAACCAAAACAGUGCAAUUCGAAAGGAGAAGAAAAGAAAAGAAAAAGAGGGAAAAGAAGAAAGCCGAGAGAAAAUAGAAGAGAAAAUAGGGGAAAGAAAAAAAUAGAAAGAAGCCGAGUGUGAGAAAUAAAGUGGAAUUGGGAGGAAAUAAUACGAAAAUUAGAACAGGAUAGUUAGAUUAAAUCCAGUUGAACCAGUGGGUAAUGGAUUUAUGAAAUUUGAGCAAUUAUGUUACAGUUUGCAUGAUACAUAUAAGUUAUUAUAUCAAUUCUAACAGUUAAUUUUCGAACCCUGUAUUUUAGGAGGAACUCGAGAAUUCAGGAACCCACAAGAGCCCCAACGAACCCCAGAGUGAAACAGGAUCUGUGAGUGGAUACUAGUAUUACUAUUAUAUAUUCUAUGAAGCAUCUAUAUUUUGAUAUUAUGAUUUAAUAUCAUUUUAUGAUUAUAUGUAUGCAUAUUAUAUUUUGAUUGAGUCAUGAGAUGUGAUUGCUAGUCACCAUAUAUGUACCCGUCCCUGUAGACUCUGCGCAUACGUAUUGAGAGUUAGGUUACUCUAUCCGAGCGAUGUAGCUAAAUUCCGCUGGGUAUUGAGAGAUUUUUCCCCCGCUCUACUUGUGCGAUGAUGAUCCCGACGAAUAUUGAGAGUUAUUUCCCCUGGGUACUAUUUGGUGCAGUUUGUGAUGUAUGUAUGUAUAAAUUCCAUGUUUGCUGAUGUGUGGUAUUCAAUGUGGAGUUAUGUUACAUGAUUAUGUAUAAGAACUAGUACACAUACUUUAUUAUAAUUAUUACUGUUAAUAUUUUUAAUAUAAUAUUACAUCCACUCACUAACCCACAAGCUCAUUAAUUUUCUAUUUACCCCUUUCCUCCCAGGAUUCCGCAGGAUUUCGUGCAGAUCAGUUCUAGUUAAUUGAGGUUAGGUCACGAGACGCAUUGCUGCAUGUCUUGCAUUUUGAGCAUGUUUAUGUUGCUUAUGUUUUAUAUGUAAAUAUACAUGUAAUGUCAGUAUUUAUAAUGAGACAUGAGUUAUGCAUGUUUUGAAUACAUUUAUGAUUUUAGAAAAAAGGCACAGAGAUAGUUAUGUGUUUAUAGGAAAGGCCAUAUUAUAUACCUAUUUUCCUGAAUUAAAUUUGUGCCACAAGUUUUAUCUAUUAGUCCGCACGAUUUGCCUCAAUUCUGACAUGUAGGUCGGGGCGGGUCGUGUCAGUCUAGGUCCAGUUAUUAAAACAGCAACCUAAUUAAAAUCCUCUUCUUUGUUGUUUUUAUUAUUAUUAUUUUUAUUAAAAGGAAGAACUAAUUGGGCAGGUCUACAUGCUAUGUUUUUGCAAACUUUUCUAAAGGGUAUCAUUCUUUCAAAAAACAAUUCAAAGAACCUACUCCCUAUACCAUGGUGUUUUUCCCUGCUUCACCAUUAAUGCCCACUACCAUGCAGCUAAAUUAUUAAUAAAUAUAUCUUUUAAAUUUAUUUUUCGUAUUCAUCUUUUAAACUAUCAGGGUUUGAUUUUGGCAAGUUUUACAAUUACCACUUCUACUUGAUGGUUAGAGAUUCUAUUGCAUACCCUCAAUCACACACAAUUUAGAAACGCCCAAGUCACACACACAAGAACUAAAGAAGGCAUAACAACUGAAAGGGGGGGGGGGGGUUCCAAUAUAAAUUCAUGAUCCCCAAACCCCUAAAGUUGCCACACCUAGCACAAACCACUUCCCUCUGUCAACUGAUAGCAUACCACACUAGGAUAAAUUGACAUGUCAUCAUAUUGGGAAAAAGAUAAAAUAUAGAUCUAUAAAACUAUCAUUGUCCGGUAAACAGUAAAACACUUCCAGACCUUAGAAUCGCAAGAGCGCACAAAAGAUGAAAAAAUGUAGACCUAUAAACCUAUCAUAGCCUCAGCCAAGCAUAAUUAUACUAAAGCAAACUGGCAAAAUCCAAUACUAUUACAGAAUUAUAUUAAAAUUAGAUAGUCAGGCAAAAGUGUGCAAACCAUCUCUACGGACACUUAAAUCCAAAGAAUUAUAUAUAUACCUAUAUCUUAUACAUAUAAAAAUACAUAUAUUUAUUUUUUAUUUAUGUAUAAAUAAAUAAAUAAAUCAUUUGAAUAAAUUAUUAUUUUAUACACACACACACACUCUAAUAUAUAUAAGGCAAAGGCUAAUCCGAUCAAUUUGUCAAUUUUGUUUAGGUUCAACCCAAGCCGAAGUAAAAACUAAUCGGUUCUUAAGCUGAAUCAAACAGAAUUGAAAACGAAUUGAAUCGAACCCAAAUUAAAUUUAAGGUUCUGUUCGAUUCGAUUUAAUCAGAUCCAAUAACCCAAUUCAUUGUUUGCUUCUUAUCAAUUCUUAAAAUAAAAUUGCACUUUUAUAUUAAUUUAAUUAAAUUGGAUUGAUAAUUCAUAAUUACAUUAUUCCAUAUAACAAUUUAUAUUUUAUGCGGAUAUUAUGUCAAAAUACAUUUUUAUUUCAAGAUUAAAUGGUAUUUUGUGUUAAAAAUAAAAUUAACUACAUUAUACUUGAUCAUAAUUUUAACUGUAUAUCAACCUUAUGGGUCAAUUUUAAUUUUAACUUUAAAAUACAUUUAAUAUUUUAUACUCUCUCAUAAUUUUAAUCAUAACUUAUGCAAGUAUUCGAACUUUGUGCCAAAUUGAACUGCCUAUCAUUCAAUCAAUAUAUUCAAAUAAGAAGCGUGCAAUUGAAUGAGCCAUUCGCCACUUGUAGUUUAAAGUUUCCUAACAUGAGUAGUUAGAAACCACUCAUCAAAUUAUAUUUGUAAGUUUUAAUAAAAAUAAAAAUGAUGGUAAUAAGAAGUUAAUUUAUUAUUUAAAAAAAAAAAUUAUGAUUUUUUAUUUUUCUUAAUUUUUAUAAUAUUAAUACAUUUUUUUGUUAUUACAAUCAAAAUUAUAUUACUUGUUAAUUAAUAAAAAAAUCGACCAUGAAAACUAAUUAAAACAAUUAAAAUGCACUAUAAUUUACAAAAUUGUAUUAAUUUACUCGGUCAUUAGUGAAGAAACAAGAAUUUCGUUGUAAAAAAGGAGCAUUAGUACAAAUUGAAGGCAGUAAAGAAAAUAUAUCAUAUGUUAUAUUAGAGAAGCAGCCAACGCAGAGAACGAGAAGAAACCCUAUUUAGCCAUAUAUGAUGUUCCAUAUCUCUAUGAUGUUUUAAGACAAGGGAGUCAAUUUUUUUUUAUUAAUAGAGUCAAUGGGUAUUAUAGUAAAAAAGGGGACUUGGUGGCCCUAUUUGAAAACUUAGAGUCCUUGUGAUUGUGACCAUAAUACCCUUUAGAUCCAAGUUUUCAAAAAGAGCCACCAAGUCUCCUAUUUGACCAUAAUACCCUUUGACUUCAUUAACUGAAAAAAUUCACUCCCAUGUUUUAAAACAUCAUAGAUAUAUUUUCCUAAAUCUUGGGUAGUAGAUAUCAUUUUCCCUACUAAAAAAUGAUAAAAUUGAUUAGAUGUAUGUUUCAAUUACCUUGCAUGAUAAGACAUUGAGAUAUUAAAGUCAAGGGAUAUUAUCAUUUUCCUGCUUAAGCUUUUAUGAUAUAUUAAGUCAGUACCAAGGUUUAGUGAAAACUGCAUUUUACCACCAAAUAUUUAUGUUGUUAUCAUUUUACCACCAUUCUAUUAAAUAUAAGUUAAUAUUUAACGGAAUAUAAGUUAAAAGUUGAUUUUCUCCCUAGAGCAUAAAAGAUGAUUUGUUCCUUUGAAAAGAAAGAAAUUACCCUAGAAAAGUAGUCAUUAUAUUAAAAAAAUAACUUUUUUUUUAAUUAUAUAAACAUGUUGUUUUACAUUCAAAUAUCAAAAUUCCAAGUAAUAUGAGCCAAACAUUUCAGUUUUGAUAAUAUCAUUCAAAACCAGUAAAUCUAAUCCAUUUCAAGCACUAUAAUGACAAGCUAAAUACUCCAAAUUUAACACUUUAUCGUUCAACAAUUGUGUUGAUGUUUUUUCCUUCAAUGCAAAAUUCCUUAAAUGCCCUUAUGAGAUCAAUUUAUUUUUAACUUAUUAAUGUUUUGGUCAUAAAGUGAUAAUAACUUAAAUAUUAUGCGGUAAAAUAUAGGUUUUAAGAAACCUUAGUAUUGAAUUGAUAUGUCAGAAAACUUUUGGUGGACAAAUGAUAAUAUCUUUUUCACAAUUGAACGGUACAUUUUGACUUUAAUGUGAAAUUCUUUAAAUGUCUUUAUAUCAUCAAUAAAUUUUUAACUGCAUUAAUGGAAUGGUAGUAAAAUGCUAACAAUGCAAAAUUUGGUGAUAAAAUGUAAUUUUUACUAAACCUUGGUAUUGAUUUGAUGUGUCAGAAAAACUUAGGUAGGAAAUUGAUAAUAUCUCUAAAGUCAAUAUUCAAUACAAAUAAAUGCUCUAUGACUUAUUUAAUACUGGUAAAUGGAAUCGACAAUCUUGUAACGGCCACAAUAGCUCAUUUCUCAAUAUUCAUUCAUAUAUAUAGAGCCUCAUGUGUUUCUUAUUCUUCACCUCUCUUUUAAUUAUAAUUAUGUUAUUUUUAAUUCAGUAGAAAUUAUAACAUGUCGAAGAAUCUUAGGUUCAUUAUCUUUGCUUUGCUUGUUGUAGCAAGCAUUGAAAAAAUACAUAUUUCGAGCACUAGUACUUACCAAGAAUCUAAUUUGGCAGCAUCACCUGUGUCAUGACCCAACCUAGACUUGACAAGAUAUUGUCCGCUUUGGGCCUUAAUAAGGCCCGCACGGUUUUGUUCCUAGGGCGCCCAUACACCAAAAAACGUGUCUUGCCAAUUAAGGUGUGGAUUACCCAUAAUAAACCCAUCAUCUCUCUCGUGCUUUGCCGAUGUGGGAUUUGCCUAGGAUGUUACAUACACCCCCCCUGGGGACUCAGUGUCCUCGCUGAGGUUUACCCCACCAUCGCUCAAGAGGACACGCGGAGCCGCUCUGAUACUAUAAUGUCAUCACCCAACCUAGACCUGGCAAGCUAUUGUUCACUUUGGGCCUUAACAAGGCCGCACAGUUUUGUUUUUGGGGCGCCCAUACACCCCAAAACGCGUCUUGCCAAUUAAGGUGUGGAUCACCCCUUCUAAACCCAGCAUCUCUCAUGUGCUUUGCCGAUGUGGGAUUUACGUAGGGUGUUACAACCUGAUGGUGGCAAAUGCUCAGGACUUACAUUGGAAAAAUGUUUUAAAAAGUAUUAUACUGAAGACUACACCAUCAUCUAUAACCAGUGAUUUUGUUAAAUAGCUUUCCUUUUAUGCCAUAUGAAUACUUUUGUAAUAAGCAUCAAUUGUAAAGAAAUUGAUGCCAUAUUUUAAUAAAGAAGGAAUUAAUGCAUUAUGAGCAUAUACUAUGUUGUUUUGUGUUAUAUGAUAUUGUUUUGUUGUAUGUAAUUUGUCUAUAUCUUUAAGUUUUUCUUCCCAACACCUUAACAAAUAAUUACAGAGGAGCAAAUCAAUAUGUUUGAAGAUUUUAACUUCAAUGAGGUAUGGUGAUCCUUUUGAUUUCUAGCUUAUAACACAAAAAUUGUUAAAUUGUUAUAACAACAUAACAUAGAAAAGUACAAUUGUUUAUAAUCUUUCGGAUGCUAAUUUGGUGCCUUUUGUUUGUCUUUUCAAUUUACAACAAGAACUGUUAAAACCAAUGUGAUGCAAAGUGAUAACUAUUUUUGGUUAAUUGAUAUAUUUGUUUUGCUUAUAAUGUUUAUUUCUCACAAUCUUCUGAUUGGUGAAAUCUUUUGGUGGGUUUUUUUUGGUUACUUCAGUUUUGUUGUCGAUCAUUCUUUGUUUAUUGGCAAAAUUGAUUAUCUGACCAAAUAAUUAAAUUUUAAUAAAAAGAAAUAUUUGGAGAAAUUUUUUUAGUGUGAUUUUCAUGAAUGUGAGAAUAAAUAAAGAUAAUUCAUUUAAAAAGUUUAAUUCAGAAAUUUUUUGGUAUUUUAAAGAGUAUACAAUGCAGAAUUUAGUUUUUUUAAAUUAAUCGAUGAGUGUAAAGAGUAAUGAAGUAUUCAGAAUAAUUUUUAAAGUGCAAAUACUCCCACUCUUUUAUAUUAUUCUAUCUACUAUUAGGGUGGGGCUAUUUGCACUCUAGAAAAUAAUAUUAACAAUCAUAUUUUACCCUUCUAAUUUUUUUAUUUUAUAUGUAAUUUGAUUUAAGGGCAUUUAUGUAGUAAAAUAGUUUACAAAAUGAAAGGUCUUCAUAGCAAAUUUUAAGGUGCAUAAAUCCAAAUCCUUUGACGACAUGACAAAAAUAAAUUAACAAAUAAAACAAUGGAUUAAGAUCAAAGCAACUUGCAAUAACAAGUAUUUCAAAAAACAAAAUUAUUAUAUUUCAAUAAAUUCUUGUUUUUACUAGUUAUUUUACUUUUAUGCUAUUUUCAUUUCAUUUUUGUGUCAUUUUUUUAUGAUGUCAUAUUUUUUGCUUGCAAGUUAUGCAUAGAGAUUAACGAAUUCACUUAAAUCUGAAUAAUAAGUGGAAUAGGGUUAAAUAAAGAGAAAGAGUCCAAGACAUAAACUAAAUAAAACAUAAUACUAAAAAUGAUAAUAUCAAUUAGUUGUAUGUUUCAAUUAGCAUGCAUGAUAACGUAGUAAGCCAUUAAAGUCAUUAGUAAUAAAAAUAAACGCAGCAUCAUUUAUUCAAUAUUUAUUUUUGGAAUUGGCAGUAUCAUAAAGGCCAUUAUAACUCAUUUUUUUAAUAUAUAUAUAUAUAAAGCUGGGACUAAAAGAGCUGAUGUGAUAUCAUUAUUUCUCAUCUUUUUAUAUUCUCUAUUAUCUAAUAUAUUCAACAAUAUGUAACCAUUAAAAUAAUUAAUUAUAAGCCUUAGAAACAUAUUUAAUUACACUUAAUGUAGCAUUUUUUUUUUCAUAGGAAAAUCUAAUGCAUGCAAUAAUCAUGAAAAAUUUAGUGACAAGGUUUAUGCACAUGUUGAGUGAGGGUUCUUUUUACAGUGUUAAGAAUUUGAAAAUUGUUUCAACUACAGGCGAGUACAGACUACUUUCAAAUCAGUAUAAGAUUAUUUUCUUGAUUAUAACUUCGCUUAAGAGGUUAGAAGAAGAAACUAUUAAGAUUCCGAUCAAUGGAUUCCAAUUCGUAUCUUCGAAUUUGAUUGAUUUACGUGUGAAUGAUAACACAAUCCUCUCAGGUAUUUAUUUUAAUUAUUAAUGUUUGUUAAUCUUUAAGUGUAUAUUAGAAAUUAUUGAUCCUUAUGUUUUAACAUGUUUAUGUUAUUUUUCCAUAAUAUUACAGAUAUUUUCAGAAGUUUAUGUGGUGUGGGUGAUAUUGAGAUCGUUGAAGCUGGUUGAAAAAAAAAGAGAUAUAAAAGUUCUAACAGAUUAGUAAGUUGAAUAUAAAAUGAUAAGGAAUAGUGAUGCCAUAUCACUAUUAAUAUACAUGGUUUAUAUACAUAUAAAGAACAUUUUGGCACCAGAUGUUGCUGAUCCCCAAGGAACUUGCUAUAGUUGCAAUCUUGAUAUAAACAACUGCUCACCUACUCAGCGAAAAAUGAUGCAAAGUAACUUAUAAAAGCCUUUAUAUGUGUUUUAUUUAUUUCUUUUAUAAUUCAACGCAUUGCUAAGAAUCCUCAGUUAUAAAAUUUAAUUUGGAACUUAUAAAGAACCAUAAAAGGUAUAAGGUCUGUACACUCAAACUAUACACAUUAAUAUAUUUUUUUUAAAGUUAACAAAAAAAAAGAUAACUUUCAUAAAUAACAUUGGUUUUAUAAGACAGCCUAAUCUUUAAAAAAAAUAAUUCAUAUUUUUUUAUCAAUUUCCUCAAGUGCAAAGCAAGAAAAGGGAUAAUACUAAAUAAAAUAUUUUCAAAACCGCGCAAAGGGCGGUUCUAUUUCCUAGUUCAUUGAUAUAUACAGCACCUCUUGUGUUUAUUUUAGAAAUUAUAAGGUCAAAGAAUCUUAAUUUCAUCCUCUUGGCUUUGGUUGUAGCAAGUACUAAGAGUGUACUUAUUUCAAGCACUAGUACUUGUCAGGAAUCUAAGCCAUUUUGCAUUGAAUUCUGCAACAUCACCUACUAGUGGCAAUCGCUUGGGACUUACAUGGGUAGAGUGUUUGAUCAAGAAGAGUUUUGAGAAUGAUUAUUUAUUAUUCCCCUCAUAACUUCGCAUUAGUCCAACAAGAUUCAUAUGAUUUAGUUAAAUAAUCAUUUAUCCGUAUAGGGACAAAGUCAAAAUGUUAUUUUAUAGGGAGAUUCUUAACUCAUACACUCAUUAAAACUCGAAUUUAAGACAUGAUCCUUAAUAAGAUUGUUUUUUACCACUGGAGCUAGACUUUGUCUUAAAGUAAAAGGGCAAUGUUAACAAAUAAUUAAUUAAUAAAUAAGAAUUUAUAUCUUCAGAAUAUAUGUAAUUCAGUCACAUCAAUUACAACUGCCUACAAUGCUUUCUCAUGAGUUGUUCAAAUAGUUUUAAAGGGUAAAGGGACAGGGCUAGAGAUGGCAAAAGUCUGGGUCGGGUCCGGGUUUGGGGCUGCCCGGGACCGACCCGGAUAUCAAAUGUAGCUACCCGGACCCGUACCGUGCCCGGAAUUUUUCUAUGCAGGCCGGGCACAUGCCCGGCACUAUCCGGGCACGGGUUUUUUCUGGGUUUUCUCUACCCGAAUUUGAGUGGUGAAUGGUGAUGCAUUUGAGUGGUCAUAAUAUAUGGGACAAACUCAGAAACGCACAUAUUACAUAUAGCUUCGAAAUUCACUGCAAACCCAACUUGCAAAAACCAUCAUUUCUCACAACACACAAAAAUUAAAAGGCAAAUCACACACCAAAAAAGAAUAAAUAAAAGGUGUCAAAACAAUUGUUUACUUCUAAAUUCUAACAAACCAUAACAGUCCAAAAUCAAAACAUCUUAACUAUAAGCAAACAUCUAACGGAAUUAUCAAAAUUAAAAAAGGAAAAAAUUCUAUAAUAAAUUAUUACAACAUCUUAACUAUUUCAAUUUCAAUCUACUUUAUAAAUUUAAGUAAAUAACAAAUAAAAAUAAUUUCAAUCUAUUAUCCACUACCUAAAUUUAUUCAAUUUCUAAACUAAAUUCAUUCAAUCCCUAUCAAAAAUUUAAAUUGAACAUCACAAUAAUCACCAAAUAAAUCUAAAUAAAUGUAGCAUACUAACACCCAACAUAUUACAUAAUACAUAUCAUAAUAACUCCAAUAUCAAUAACCAACAUCACAUAUAAAAAUCCCAAAAUAUCAAACACACAUAAUUCAUAAAAGAGUUUAAAAUAACAGAUUAUGUCAAACAGCUCGACGAUUGUGCCCCAUCAUCAUCAUCAUCAUCUGAAAUUAACUCCUUCCCAGCAAAAAUCUCAUUUUCCGGAACUCCACCUAAUAACAAAAAAAACAGAUUAAGAUUUAAAAACAUUUUGAGCAAACAAAUAAUACGAUAACAUAAUUCAAAUAACUUUAUACCUCGAGAAGAAGCCCAAAUCCAAUUUUGAGCACACAUUAAGGAUUCCAAAGUGUUAGGAUGAAGUCUACUACGAUGCGGACUCAAAAAUCUGCCCCCGGUACUAAAAUCGGACUCAGAGGCAACAGUGGAUACAGGAAUGGCUAAGAUAUCCUUGGCCAACUCGCCCAAAAUAGGAUAUUGGCCUGUGUGCAUCUUCCAAAAAGCUAAAAUAUCAAAGUUCGGAAUAGUAUCCAAUAAUUCAUCAUCUAAAUACCUAUCCAACUCCGACUUAGUCACCUUAACACGCUUAUUUCGACUUCGAAAUGUUUCAAACUCAUCUACAUCCCAAUACUUAUUCGGAUUCGAAGAAGAUUCCAAAGGAACAUCAUCCAACCCAACAUCCUGCCUAUCACUCAAAACCAUAGCUUUCAUUUCAUAUUCUUUCACUAAAUCAUGACAAAGCUUAUGUGCACGCUCAAUAUGCUCAUCCGCUGUAUCACCAUAGAUCUUUGGGAAAUAAAAAUCAAUCAACAACAUCUUAUAUCUCGGAUCAAGAACUACAGCCACAACUAACAUCGGAUGAAUUUCAUUCCAAUAUUUUUCAAAUUUUUCAACCAUUUUAUCAUCCAUAAUUCUAAUAGCAAGAUUAUCGGAAGUGCGCCACCCAUUAAUCGACAUUUUCAUUUUACAUAUUAACGGAAAGAACAAAUUAGCAGUAGGGUAUUUUGUACCCGAAAACAUCUCCGUUAACAUGUAAAAUGAUUUCAAAUGCUCCACCAUUGUGGCUGCCAAAUCCCACUCACUAUCACUAGGCAAGCUCUUAUAUUGAGACUCGCGCUGUUGUAGCCGAGAAAAAACACUUUUAUACAUUAGUGCUACAUCAAGCAUGGCAUAAGUAGAAUUCCAACGAGUUGGACAAUCUAACUUCAAACUUUUUUUACAAUUAAUUUUCAGUUGCCUAGCAGCUAGCUCAAAAGAUUCAAAUCGUUUUGGUGUUUGUGUCUAGUAACUAACACUCUCUCUAAUAUUUCCAACCCCGUUUUCUAUAACUUUCAACCCAUCCCGCACAACCAAAUUCAGUAUAUGAGCAGUACAUCUCAUAUGAAAAAAUUUACCAUUGGAAAUUAAGGUACCGAGAUCAAACCUUAAUAACAAUUUCUCCACCAUCGCGUCAUUAGUGCUACAAUUAUCCAAGGUCAUUGAAGACAACUUUCUAUCCACGUUCCAAUCCAACAAACAUUGCACCAACUCAUUAGAAAGGGCCUCAGCAGUAUGAGGGCUCGGAACAUAAAUAAACCUAACAAAUAUUCAAGUGAUAAUAUUAAAUACACAAACUUAAAAUAUUAUAACAAUUUAAACUUUAAAAGAAAUCAAAUAUAAGUAAUAAAAAAUUGAAAGAAAAAUUAAGCAAAUAAAAAGUUAUAGACAAAUUAGAAAUUACCUUAAAAUUCGGCUAUGCAAUUUCCAAGAGUUGUCAAUAAAAUGUGCUGUGACAACCAUGUAUCAUUUUUUCUGGUUACUUGCUGUCCAUAAAUCCAUAGUAAUAGCCACUCUACCUUGAUUUUUCUCCAACAUAUGCAAAGUCUUAAUCUUCUCAAUAUGAUAAAGUUUCGAAAUCUCACUCUUCAAUGUAUUUCUACUCAUUGGUUUAACCACGGGGUUGGCAUGUGCCAUCAUUUCUCUAAAGCCUUUAUAUUCCACAAAUUUAAGUGGAAGCUCAUGCAUCACCACCAUCCUUGCGAUCAAACUCCGUAAAACUUUUGGAUCAAAACUAUCAAAGCCAAUGUCACAACUCCCAUCCUCUCUUUUGAGCACUUUGAGACUUCCUUGAAGUGCUUCUUGUAUUUUCGGUUGACUCCUCGAAAAACAAGAUAUCACGUGUCUAUUCAAGCUCGUGGUCCCUGAUGUGUAUUUGGCUUCUAAAAUUGCAUUACAGUGCAUGCACUUUGCCUUUUUUUCUCCAUUAAUACUUUCUUUUGUAAAGUGAUCCCAAGCUGUAGAGACUUUCUUUCCCUUUUUGUCUUUAAGAGUUGAUAGUGAAAUCUCAUCAACCUCAUUAUCAUUGCUAUCUUCAACAUUCCGAGAUAAAUUUGGAGCAUUUGACGAAUUAAUUUCUAUAUUGUCUGACUGUGACUGUGACUGUGACAUCGCACUGCUGUUUAUUAUAAAAAAAAUAAUGAAUAAUUAUAAAUAAUCAUGCAAAUUACAUAGUUAUAAUAUUAUAUAACAAAAUUAACUUACAAGCAACCUAAAUUAACUUACAAGCAACCUAAGCAACCUAAUAAAGCAAAGAAGAAAGACCAGACAGAUAAAUAAAUAAACAACUGAGAAAUUUCUGGAGCAAUUGCAUGAACAGGACCACAAUACAAAGAAAAUAAACAGGUUUAAUUAAUUAAUAGACUGAAGCAAGUAUUUUGUCACUGUCUGAUUAUAAUUAGAAAAUAUUGUAUAGUUUUAAAUUUGUGUUUUAAAACAUAUAUACAUGCCUGCACAGAUAUCAAACUUAUCUCAUUCUCAGCUAAGCAAACUUGUUAGUUUGGUAACAAUCAUGCUUAUUUCGCCACUAGGCCGUAGUUGAGUGGUGAAUCCAUGUCUUUAUACUAGUGAAGGUAUAUAAGGUAAGGAUUAAAAAAGAAAAAAGAAAAAAAAACAAUAAACACCAUUUGAAUAUUCCCCUGGUCACAAGUCUUUUGGCUGCGAUUACAUUGUACUUUAGUCCCAGUAGCUGAAAUUUCCCACUUUACAGAAAUUCUUAAUGUGAGCCAAUUCUUUUUUAGUUUUUAGAUGGCCCCUGGUGCAUAAUCACAAAUAUGCAGAAGAGAUACUUGCCAGUACUACUCACUUUGCAAGCUUAUGAAAUGAACAUAUAUAAUUUAUGUUAUCACAAUAUUAAAGUAAUUAUCACUACAGCUCAUGAUCACCACAUGCAAGUUACUUAUCAUUUCUUAAAAGUGCUGCUCACAUAGGAAAUAGUGUUCCAUUUGAGGUUCAUAGCCUCUUUGGUUCAAGUCUAGCUAGCUGCAACUUAAACAGGAAUUAAUGCCAGAAAUUGUUCAAUUGAUCAGCUGUAAAUUGUGAAUUGUGAGCUAUAUCAAAACGAUUGCAGUUUGCAAAUAAAUGAGAUCAAACGUAUUCCAAACGAAACACCCAUAUGAAAUAGAAAAACUACUACAAUAGCAUAAUGAGGGUGUUUAACAUUAGCUCUUUCUUAUUAUGUUCUAUGCUCUGUGCAGCCAUUAACAACGUAAACACUUCCAGCAUCCAAGAAAAUAAUUAAGCACAUAUUGAAAGCAAUUUCAUCAUUUUUUUUUUUAAAAACAGCCAAAAAAAAAAUUACCUCGUGGGUCGUGGCUGUGGGUUGCAGGCUUGCAGCUGAUAUGGUGACAAAACAAUGGAGUGAGAGUGUGAGACCAGCUAUGGUGGCGGACGCCGUCGCGCGGUGGCUGCCGCUGAGAAGCUAACCAAACAGUGAAGAGCUCUUUGACGGACUGACGAGUGACGACUGUGCUUUGCGGUUCGUGGCGGGAAAGGCGCGGUCACUGUCAAUACUGCAUCGCCAUCGAUGAAGGAUAGGUGGUGGCUGCUGGUAAUGGUGGAGAGACGAAGGAAGGAGGUGCCGAUUCUGAUUUCUGAGACUUGUCUCGAAUUCACGAUUUAGGGUUGGUUGGCCGGUUGGGUUUGGGGGAAAUUGGGUAAAGGAAAAAUGCAAUUUUCGUUUUAUAUUUUCCUCUUUUUUUUUUACUUAAUAAAAAAGCGGGCACGGGUCCGGGUUUCGGGUACUUGGUGCUGUGACCGGACCCGUGCCCGGAAACUACCGGGCAUUGAAAAUCAAUGCCCGGAUCCACUUUUUUCAUGCAUGCGGGCCGGGUUUUACCCGGACCGCAUGUGCCGGGUCCGGUCUGGAUCCGGUCCGGGCGGACUUUUCUGCCAUCUCUAGACAGGGCCGAUCAUUAAAGUCAAAGCAACAGGUUACUGUAGAUUUCAAGGGUAAGACUUAAAGCACGAACAAAAUCGGAGGAUUUUGGAAUUAAGUGGGUGCAAGUGACCCCACUUACCCAAUGCUCCUUUUUUUCGCUGAAUUUAUGAGAGCGCACUCUGUUAAAUGUUGAUGAUUGUAAUUAUUUUGUUAGUAUUUUUUGUUCUAUUUUUAUUUUAUAUCCAUCUUUUAUUAAAUGAAGUUAUUUGUAUUCUUUAAAAAUAUUUUUAAUACUCAGUUUUUACCAUUUUUUAAUUUCUAAACUUUUUUAAUACAUUUUUUAUAUUCUAUUCUAAUAUGCAAGAAGUGAGUUUAAUUUGUAUGCAUCUGCAAUUUGAACUAAGGGCAUGUAAUAAAACAAUUUAUAAAAUGAAGGUUUUUAUAGCAACUCAUAGCAAAUUUUUGGAGCAUAAAUCCCAAUCCUUUGAUGAGGUGACAAAAUAAAUAAAAAAGGAUUAAGAUCAAACAAAUGGAUAAUUGAGAAAUAUUAUUAAAAAAAAGGGUAUAGUUACAAAGGGCAAAAAAUAUUUGAAACUAACUUAUCAGACAAUUGGAAAGCUACCAGUCCCAAACAGAAGCGGCUAUAGCUUCUACUUCUUCCUUUGGCUAUUGGAUUGUUGUUACUGCCUUUUUCUAAAAAGAAACUUAUUUUCCUCUCUUCAUCAAGUUAUAAUUACGUGAAUUUUGAUCGACCAAACAAAGAACAAGAGAAGGACUACUUCUAUUGUUUCAUUGGUAAUUAAUUGCGAGGACAAGCAACAAGAACAUACUAGCCAAGCUAGUAGGUAUAUGUCUUUCCCUUUGUUUUCUGUUUUACAAUUAUUUGAUUUUCAACAAGAACACAAAAUUUGUCAAAGGCCAAUUUUUUUAUUUUCAGUUUUUGCUUUUUAAUAGAUAUUUCCUAGCUCUUUGUGAGUGUGUUUUUUUUCCCUAAUAACAUGAGCUCUAAUGUAGCAAUGCCGUAGGAAUCAACAAUUGGAGCAGUAUUCUUCACUCAGGUUUUCUCACUAAAUAAAGUUGCCAUAAAGCUUGGUAUAUGCGACAUCGCAGGGCAAGAACAAUAUCUUAGCUUGGCUUAACACAAAAGAGUUUGAAGUCAUAAAUACUAAAGUCAUGCCAAGUGUAGCUCUAGUUCUUACAUUAAUAAAUUGAACAGAAAGUCAGUGUAGAAAGAGUAAUUUCAAAAUAAAACUAGAAUUGUUUGUGACAAAAUUAAUUUUCAAGCCAUAUAUUAUUGGAAAGAUAAUUUUGUUAGCUUUUCAAUAUAUUUAUAGAACUGAAUUUUGAAUUUUCUAGAAGAAGUUAUGACCAGUUCAAUACAACUUGUUCAGUUUUGAGUUAAAAGAAAGUUAUACGAGUUUGGACGUUUUCAAUUUUAUUUAUGGUCUCUUUUGUUGUGCUUUAAGUCUAUCAAUGUGUCAUUUAUGUCUAGUUUUAAUGUUGAUCAUUGGUCAAGUCAUUUAAAUGUCUUUUAAUUAAAAUUAUGUGUUGAUAGGGAAAUCUGUCAACACACUACCUCGAAGGGUGAGUGAAAUACAAGUUAUGCAACCCAAGUGGGGGGUGAAUUGGUAUUUUAAAACUUAUCCUAACAAAACCACACAACAAUACAAUCUAAUGUCUUAAUAAAUUCGAAAAUAAUAAAUUCAAUCAAGCACAAUAAUAAAUGAGUAAGGAAUGAGAAAACAAACACAAAUAUUUUUACAUGGUUCGGCAAUUCUCACCUACGUCCACACCUCCAACCAACCCAAGCUUGAGAAUUUCACUAUCCAAGCAUUUGAAGGCUUCAAAAGCUUACAAUUGACUUCCAAUGUGUCAAUAAUCAUUUACAACAAAGAGAUUACCUCUCAAUCUCUUCAACCAAGUGUUUCUCACACUUAUACACUCACAAAUUUAUGAGGAAAUGAAGAUCACAACAACAAAAAAACUCUCAUAAAGAGUAAAUAUAUGAAUUGAAGUACAAAGAUAAUUCAAAGUAUGAUGAUUUGCGAAAUGAGAGCUCAAUAUAUAUUGUGUACUUUUUGUUUUUGCUUGCAAGAGUGUUUGAAAAUGAAUUGGAUUUGAGUUUAUAUAGUUUGACCCCAAAAACUAGUCGUUAUGGGUUUUCUGAUGAUAAUCGGCUUGCCACUUUUGGAAUCCGGUUAGCCGCUUUUAUAUUACCGAUACAGCAAAUAUUUGAACUUUAGAACAUUCGACACGCCGCUUUCGGAAUUCGGUUAGUCACUUUUAUUUCAGUAAGCUACUGCCCAAAAUCUAAUCUACUGCUUGUCAAAUCCGGUUAACCGCUUGCUAUAGUGACUGCUACAAUGAAUUAUUUUUUAAAAUUAUAAUUUUACCCAAAACUUUAUACAAUUACGAUACGUCCCAAAACGUCAUAAAACUUUGCACAAAGGUCUAAUUUCAGAAUUCUAAAUAAUGUUUGUUUUUCCCAAAACUUUAUGAAAUUAUGAUAUCGCUCAAAACGCUAUGAAACUUUUCAAAUAAGUCCUCCAGAAUUCCAAGCAAUACUAGUUGACUUCAAAGUUUUCAAAACUCUUUCAAUUAGACCAUAAACUUGAAAGACAACCAAUUUUAUAAAAUUAUUUUUCCAUUAAAUAUAAAACCUUUAUAAUGUGAAAAUAAUGAUUUAUUUAAAAUGUAUAAAAAAUAAUUUGAACUUUUAAAAACUUAAUCAUUCUUAAUUUUAUUUGUUAUCAUCAAAAUCAAAAUUAUGGAUACAUAAAUGUUAACAAUCUCCCCCUUUUUUAUGAUGACAAACUUUUCAUAUAUGUAAAGAAUGAUUGCACAAAUUACUCCCCUUAAAUGUAAGCUCCCCUCACAAUUUGAGCUUAAAAGAUCAAUCAUUUUUAAUUUUGUUUGUUAUCAUUAAAAUCAACAUUAUGAAAAUACAUAUGUUAACAGUGAGGACCACUACAUGGGAAAUUAAGACCCUUCAAGGGUAGGAAUAUGGAUUGCUAGCUGGGAAAUAAAGAUUCUCAAGAAAGAAAACAAGGAAUCCUAGAUCAAGGCUAUAAAUUGGUCAAAACUACUAAGCCAACUAAGACAAAAAUAUUAGGAUAUAGCUUAGCAAUGGAAAGAACUAUUGAAGAAGUUGGCUACAAGAUCGCCAAGCACACGAAAAUAGGGACACAACCCUCACUCUUAAAACAUGCUUUGCUCUAUUCUCAAAGUGACCCUAAGGGUCAGAUUAUGCCAGCUACACCACAUCCCAUGACCUCCUAAAAUAUAAGAGAUGAAGUCAAUAGCUUUUUACACUCACAAAAAUAAGCGGCACCCACUCACUUAAAAUUGUGGUAUAGUAUAAAUACUUACUAUUUCAAAAAGAGGUAAGUUCACUAGAACUCCAAUUUCAUCAUUCAACUUAAAUUCUCUGGUCACCGACUUAAGCAUCAGAGUAGGAUCGCCAAAAAAACCCUUUUUUUUAGCCCUAAUUCACCACCUUUUUUUUAUUGUGUGUGCGCAGGCAUACCUUCAUUUGUUGCACUUGGUUUAACCCUAAUAGGAAAAAAAUAAAGUAUCAACAAUUUACACUAGAAGGAGGGCUUCUGCUAACACAAUCAUCAAUUAUCAAUUCCAAUGAUACAAUAAAAUUCACAUCAAUCGUCGAUUUUGCCAUAACAAUUCGUUUCUAACUUGAACAUGCCUUCUGAGAAAAAAAAAAUCAUCUUAAAGUUUGCCAAAUUUCAGAAAGAUUGAUAAAGAGAGACACUAGAAAUCUAGAGGGUUGAAAAAUAUCAUUCUCUAAACAAACUUGGUAGCAUGAAAGCAUAGAAAACAAACACUUAAUUGGGGGAAAAACAAGAGCUUGAAGCCAAUAGGGGAUUUCAAGAUAAAUAUUUUAGAAAGUAAAAGAUGUUAGCCUAAAGGGCUACACAUAAUGUAAUUUUAAUGAUAACAAACAUGUGUCUUAAGUAAAUUUAAUAAAUAUUGUAUUUCACAUUUUCACUAGUUUUUUAAGGAUAAUAUUUAUGUAAGUGAAAUCAAGUUGAAGACACUCAACGGAUAACGGCGAAAUCAAGAAUAAAGUGUAGAGCUCAACGGAUAAAUUCUUGUGAUAAAUUCUUGUAAAACCGGUAUGAUUUAAUUUAUGCAUGAUUUAACAUUUGAAAAGCUCAAAAGAUUAAUUUAAAUAAUUACUUUUCAUAAACUAAAAGGUUUUAUUUUUAUAAGAUAGAGUAUUUUGUGGAUUUGAGUAAUUUGGACUUAAAUAAAAAGUUUUGCAAUCUUUGAAUUUAAUAAGUAUUAUUUUGAAUUCUGGAGUUGGACCUUUUUGCAAACAUUUGAAAUGUUUUGGGCCAUAUUAUAAGUUUGAGGACCCGAAUGUAAUCCAAACAUUUGAAAUCCAAAAUUGGACAGAGAGUGAGCGGCUAACCGCUUGAGGCUAGCGACUUUUCGCCUGAGGAAAAUCUCAUAUUUUCAAAUUUUGGACUAAAUUGAAAGGCUUUGAGAACUUUGAAAAAUAUGGGUAUUAUGCUAAAUUUUGAAAAGGACUUUUUUGAAAAAUAAUAUUAUAUUUGGGGCCAUAUCAUAAUUUUAAAAAGUCUUGGGAAUAAUAAGUAUUAUUUAAAAAUUCUAAAAUUGGACUUAUUUAUAAAGUUUUAUGACAUUUUGGGCCAUAUCAUAAUUAUAGAAAGUUUUGGGCCAAAGUAUAAUUCUAAUGAACAAGGUUACUGUAGCAAAUUCAAAUUUAAUGGUAAUAUCACUGUUAUGAGUGGCUAGCCGAAUAAAUCAAGUGGCUAACCGUUUGGUUGCGGGAAUUUAUCUAUAACGGCUAGUUUUCGGGCUUUAACUAUAAAAACUCAACUCCAACUUCAUUUUAAGGACCAAUGCAAGUAUAAAUAAGAUCAUAUAACAUAUAUUGAGCUUCCAUUUUACAAAUCAUCAUUUAUUGAAUCAUUAUUGUGCUAUUAUUUGCAUAUCCGCUCUUAAAGAGAGUUUUUAUUAUAAUUUUCAUUUAUUAUCAAAUUGUGAGUGUACAAGUGUGAGAAACACUUGUGGUGAAGAGAUUUGGGAGAUAAUCUCUUGAUUGUAAAGGUUUAUUGACACCUCAGAAGUCAAUUGUAAGAACUUGAAGCCUUGGGAGGCUUGGAUAGUGAAAUCAUCAAGCUUGGUUGGCUUGGAGGCGUGGACGUAAGCAGGGAUUGCCGAACCACGUAAAAAUCGUUGUGUUUGUUUUUUCUUCCCUUACUCUUUUAUUAUUGUGCUAUAUUGAAUUUAUUAUUUUUGUAUUUGAUUAAGGUAAUAGAUUAAAUUGUUGUGUGAAUUGUUUAUUAUAAAAUUUAAAAUCUCAAUUCACCCCCCCUUUUGGGUUGCAUAACUUGCAUUUCAAAAGACGCACUUGAAGCCAAUCAAAAGCAUAUAAUUUGGCAACCCUAGCUUUUUCGGGAGAACAAAACUACACCAACUAGGAAAUUUUGCCACAUGGCCAUGCUUUGCCUUGGAAAGCUAAGUAUCGCAACCACAAUAGUGCUCACCAAGCAAAAUUAGGUUAUUUGACCUUACCAGAAGCCAAGGCUCAAUCAAAAGAAUGGAUUUGUGAAAUGAAGAGAACAUGCAAAAUUGGAAUAUAUGAGAUGUUAGAUGAAUACAAAUCACCUUCCACCAAAGAUGAUGUAGACAACCUCCUAUUACCUAAGAUAGGAAAAUUUGCCACAGAAUCAUACAGACCAAGGGAGAAGACAUCAAAGGCCUUUCAAGAGUCACCAAGUAUCCUUAAAGCGUACUGCAUACGACUAUUGUGCAAAUUUUAUUGCACUAAAAAGAGUAAAAAUCUAUUGUAGUAUGAUUAAUGGUGACGAGUGCCGAUCCCACGAGGAGGUAGAAUUAAUUAUGUAUAGAGUUAAUUCUCCAAGUUUGUACAUAAGUUAGUUGGAGAUGAUUUCUAGACAAUAUUAAUAUUUAAAAAAAUAGCGGGAAUAAAUUAAAGAUAUAACAAUUCAAAUUAAGCCCUUGAAUUUCUGGAUUCACACUCAAUAUUUCACCACAGUCAUAAUUUUCCUUUUUAGUUCUAAUUAAUUUACGAGGGUUAUUUCCACUCCUCGUAGUCCUCAUUAGAGUAAUUAUUGUUAACACGCAUAUUUCUAUAAUAUAAUGAUACACGCCACAUUGACGUGCCAAAGCUCAAUACCUACGAUGGUACACGCAAUGUCACUAUCGUAGACAACUUUCUCUUCGAGCUAGAGCAAUACUUUGAUGCCAUGGGUGUUCGAGAUGAGGCAUUAAAGGUAAGUACCGUGGUUAAGUUCUUAAAGCCACAUGAUGUUUCAAGCAAGUGUAAGAAUCUGAAAAAAAAAAAAAAAGGAUAAUCGUUAAUCUUGAAACAGUAAAUCAAUUAUAUAAGGAUAAAACUUAAUUUUGGUUCUAGAACUUAAUUCUAAUUCUGCAAGAUAAUGGUGAACCAUUUAUUAGAAAGUGAUUAACCGAUAAAAUCCAUAGAGCAAUUUAACAGAAAAUGGUGAAUUGUUUAGCACAAAUGGGUAGCCAAUUAUUUCUUGCAGGUUUUUAGAAUUAAACAGCAAACUGACAACUCCAAACAAUAAGCUGACUCUGAGCAGAUUAGUUAUUGGAAUUUAAUAAUAAACCGACAACUCCAAAUGGUGAACCAACUACUUAAAUUUCAAUAUAACGGUAACUUGGACAAGGUCAACACGGUGAUCCGAUAGUAGUCAAUAAUGAUCUGAUUAUGCCCAGAAAGUUAAUAACAACUAAUUUUCUUCUCCACCUAUAAAAAGGCUCAAACAAAUUCAAAUUAGAAUGAUUUUUGACAAUUUUCAUUGAGCUUGUUAUUGUGUAUUCAACAUCUCUUGUGCUUAAAAUUUGGUAGAUCACACUUUGAGCAUUCAUUUCGUAAACACCUACAUUAUGUAAAGAAAAGUAUUGUGUGACUUUUAUUUCAGCAUCAAAUUGAGUGUUUAAGAGUGUGAGAAACAAUUGGGUUAAGAGGUUUCAGAUAACCUCUUGUUGUAAAGGUUGAUUGACAUAUUGGAAGUCAAUUGUAAAGAUUUUGAAGUCUUAAGGUGUAAGGCCUGGUUAGUGGAAUCCUCAAGUCCGGUGAGCUUGGAGGCAUGGAUGUAGGCGGAGUUUGUCAAACCAUUUAAAAAUCUCGUGUUUGAUUCUCUCUUCCUUCUUUCUUCAUUUUUUUAUUAUUGUUAUUUAUUUUAUCUUUGCAAUAAUUUUUUAUUUAAAAUCUUCCAUAAUUUUUAGAAACCUUAUUCACCCCUUUCUUGGGUUGCUUAACUAGUAUUUCAUUUGAUAUCAGAGCAAGGUACUUUUGUUAAGACUUAACCGUCUAAAGUAAAAAAUUCAUUGCAACACAAAAUGAUUCUACCUUUAGGGAAGGUUAGUCAACUACUAGACCACCAUAUUUUAAUGGAAAUAAGUAUCUAUAUUGGAAAUUUUGGAUGAGAUUUUACUUGCAAUUUUUAGAUUAUGAGAUUUGGUAAAUUGUUAAUGACGGUCCUUUUAUGCCAACCACUAAAAAUGAAGGAGUAGAAAUUUUAAAAUCUUUAGGUGAAUGGAGUGAGCCAAAAAAAAAAAAAAGGCUUCUUUAAAUUCUAAAACCGUAAAUGUCUUGUUUUGUGCCUUAGAUAAGAAAGCAUUCCAUAGAGUAUUAGGUUUUUCUAACACAUAUGAGAUUUAUAAGAAACUUGAAGUAGUUUAUGAAGGUACAAAUCAAGUUAAAGAGUUUAAAAUCAAUAAAUAUAUUAGGCAAUACGAAUUGUUAUGAAUAUUAUGAAUACUCUAAGAGCUCUAGGAAAGACCUUUAAAUGACAAGAAGGUUAAGACAAUUAUUAUGUCCUUACCAAAAGAAUGGAGACCUAAGAGAAUUGCCAUUGAGGAAGCCAAAUAUUUAAACACUUUAUCUAUUGAUGAUCUAAUUAGCUCACUUAUCUCAUAUGAAGAAGAUUUAGCAGCUGAAAAAGGUGAUGAAGAUAAAAAAAAAAAAAAAAAAAAAAAGGAGUAUUACCAUGAAAGUUUCAAGAUCAAAAAGCUAUAAGGAGAUGACGAUAUGGCUAUGAUAGCCAGAAAAUUCAGGAACUUCUUUCAGAAAUCCAAUUAGUGAAGAAAGUUCAAGAACUUUAAAAAUCAAAAGAAAAAUAAAGAAGUAAUCAUAUGCUUUAAAUGCAAGAAGGCUGGACACAUAAAAUCAGGAUGCUUUCUUCCCAACAAGGCGAAAAAGAAAACUAUGGUGGCAACGUGGGAUGACAAUGAUGAGGAAACCUUAAAUGAGGAGGAACCACAUGAAAUGUCAAACCUAGCACUUAUGGAAAUAGGAGAAGAAAUUAAUGAGGUAAAUAAUCUCCCUUCUUAUGAUGAAUUAACUGAACCUUUCACUUAAUUGCAUAAUGAUUUAAAGAAGAUUGAAUGAAAAAUGUUUCUCUUAGAAAGAAAAAUGUAAAACAUUCAAGUGAGAAUGAAUCAUUAAAUGUAAAGGUUAAAUGUUUGAAUUAGAGAAGAGAUUGCAUGAUGAGACUAUAUCCUACAAAGAAAGCAUUGCAUUUGAGCAUGAAAGUUUACUUAUAAUGAUUUGAAAAAGAAAAAUGAAAUGCUUAAGAAAAAAAGCAAUGAGCUUAAUGAUAUUGUCUUAAAAUUUACAAAUGGGCAAAGGAUUUUAGAUAACUUGCUUGGCUCUCAAAAAUGUGUUUUUGACAAAGGAGGUAUUGGCUAUAAGUUACAAGAAUUACUUUGUGAAGGCUACCUCCAUUAAUGAUAAAGUCAUAUGCCAUUAUUGCAAUAGAAAUGGAUACAUGAGUCGUAAAUGUCUAGUUAAGAAAAAUGCAUAUUAUGGAAUUAAAUGUGUUUGGGUUUCAAAAGGAACUAUUACUAAUACUCAAUGACCCAAAAAGCUUUGGGUACCUAAAACUUAAGAUUUCUUCCGAGGAGAUCAAUGAAUAAAAAUAAAUGUACUUGGAUAGCGGAUGCUCAGGACAUAUGACAAAUACUUAUUUUUGGUUUUCGAGUUUUACCAACGUAAAAAAUGGUGGAGAAGUAUCCUUUAAAGAUAAUUCAAAAGGAAAGAUUAUCAGUAUUAGUAAUAUCGAUAAAGAUUCUUCUACCUUUAUUAAAAAUGUGUAUUUAGUUAAAAAUUUGAAACACAACUUGCUUAGAAUUAAUCAAUUGUGUGAUAAAGGUUAUAGAGUUAUCUUUAACAAAACAAAAUGUGUUAUUGAGAAUGCAUGUGAUGGCAAAAUUUUAUUUGUGAAAAAGAUGUAUCAACUUCUUGGGCAAGUGUAAAAAUCUGGACAAAAGCGGAUAAAUGUUAAUCUUGAAAUGGCAAACCGAUUAUCUAUGGAUAACACUUAGUUCUGAUUCUAAAAGAUAAUGGUGAACCGUUUAUUAGAAAACGAUUAAACGAUAAAUUCCAAAAAGUAAUUUAACUGAAAACGGUGAACGAUUUAGUACAAACAGGUUGUGAUAACUCUACGAAAUGAGAGUUAUCAUGUCACUUUUAGGCUCAAACCAAUAUUACAUAGAGAGUAAAUAAUGUGUUUUUGUUGUAUUUUAGUAAUAUUUUGCAUAAGCAUCUAUUUAAGUUUAAUCUUAAUAAAUUAAUCUUGUUUUAGAUCACUUGGUGCUCUGAUUAUGUGUGAUUGUAGAUAACCAAGACUAAAAAAGAAAAAAAAGUUAGAAAUUACCAACAAUAGAGUUGUGCUUGGGGAGUUUGGUUUCAUUUAGAUGGAGAUAACGGGGUAAAAAGGUCAGCAUAUAUACACUCAAUUAUCUAAAUAUAGCCUUUGGAAGAGUCAAAGGAUAAUUAAGAGGUCUAAUGUUGCUACUACGGAGAAUUCUGGUCAAUGGGUAUUAUUAUUUUAUAAUCAAGCGACAUCAAUUUGUCGCAAAUUAUCAGCCGUACCCCACAAUUGUACAACCUAAUUAUGAGCUUAUCCUUACUAAUUAAACUAAUCAAUAAUCAUUCAAUAAAACUUAUGAAAAUGAAAUGAUUAAAAUCACAUUACAAAAAGUUUAUUAAGAUUUUUAUUCAGUUCUCCUAACUAUAAUAUUUUUUAGUUACUUUUGAAGAAAAAUCGCCUCCAGGCAAACUCUAACUUUUGGUUUGAAAUAAUCUUAAUAAAUUAUUUUGUGAGAUUUCUCCAUUGGACAAGAGUUUUUGAAUGCUAGAAACUGUCUAUAAUACACAUUAUUUAAUUUUUACCUUUAUUUUGAGUCCUCUCAUAUUAUCACAUUAAUAUACUUGUUUAUUAAGGAAACUAGACGGUUAUUUGUACUAUAUCACGUCAAUAAUAUGUCCCCAAAAUUUAGUCAAGAAACAACUAAUUAACCAAAAAUAUAGAAAAUGCUUAAAAACUCCCAUAAAUUCAUUACAGUAAGAAUCAACCAAAACUAAAUAAAUCCGAAAAGAACUGCCACCAACUAUAGCUAUGGAUAUUGACCGCAUAGUUCUUGGGACCCCAAAAUGUCCAUAAAUUGCCUAGCUGUAUAAGCCAACCUGUUACUCUCAAUGAAACAAAAUUUUGGCCGCCCUGUACCUCUCUAGAGAGUCGUAGAUAAUCUUUACUGCUUCCACAAAACAAGCUCAAGCUCUCUUUCUUCGAAUCUAUUCUCAAAGUUAAAAUCUUCUAUUUCUUGGUUUUUGUCUCUUGGUUUUUCGUUUGUACAUGGCAGUAAGAUUGUUAUCGCUAGGAGUGUCAGACCUAUGCAUUGGAAAGCCUGCGCUGAGAUCGCUCUCGGUCAGUUCAUCCACCGUUGCCAUGCUUUGUUGGCUCUCAAGAGACUUAACGAGAGUUAUAUAAGCAUUUGGAGUUCUGAUCAUUCCGCCCGGAAAAGGAAAGCAGCCGCAGCCAAUAUUGAUGAUCAUGAGGAUUCAGCAGGAUGUAGUUGCAUUGGCAAAGUUUGCAUGGUUGAUAUAAUUACCUUCUUGUGUAAAGAAGAGAAUUUAUUGAACCCCUGUUUCUGUUCUUUUGCCAAGGAUUCUGGGAUUGUCAGGCAUUUGAAACCAAGUGCGAGGUUUGUAAUUUAGAACACUUGUUUUGCAAAAGCUUUUGUUCCUUUUCCAUAAUAUCUUGUGUUUCCUGCCCGUAAAUCUGAUCAUUUGCUGCAUGAUUGAUUUUCAGCUUAUUGGAGGCCGUAGACUUGUUACUGGGAGGCGUACAGAACCUUGUGAUUCUUCCCGCAGGAAUAAAGUUACAGCCGAAACCUUCCUUAAAAUCAACCUUUCACAACGACAGUAGUACUGCUGGCUAACCCAAGAAGAUCUUAUUCGUUAUUUUCUCAACUUCAUCGGACUCCUAAACCCUACACCAAACCAACCAAUCAACUCUCACAACAUCAUUGACGAUGCCGGUAUUCUUGCCAUCCAUUAUGAUGAUGCCGGUAUUCUUGCCAUCCAUUAUGAUGACCCGGCGGCCUUUGCAAUUCCCCUAAUUGCUCAAUCCCACAUUAAACAAACUUCGGUAGCCAUUGUUGAUGAGGAAGGCAGAUUGGUAGGUGAUAUAUCACCUUUCUCACUUAAUUCUUGUGACGAGACGGUAGCAGCUGCAAUAGCGACACUCUCGGCUGGUGAUCUGAUGGCUUAUAUGGACUGCGGUCGGCCACUGAAAGACCUAGUAAGGUUGGUGAAGCAGAGGCUGGAAGAGAAAAACAUGGUGGGUCUCCUGGUGUUGAUGGAAGAUGACUUGGAAAUUUCUUCAGGCUCCUGUUCCAAUUCAUCUUCAUCAGAUGAGGAGUCCAGCACAGGCUCGGCACGAAGUGCGAGGUCCGGAGGAUACUCCGCAAGAGUCGUGCACAGGUCAGAAGCAAUUGUUUGCUAUCCAUGGAGCUCGUUGAUGGUUGUGAUUAUGCAGGCACUGGCACUCCGUGUGAGUUGUCUGGGUUGUUGAAGAGGACUGAACCUUGGUUGGGAUUGUUACCUUUACCGGAAUGUUGAGGGUUAUCCAGGAUCGUUUGAGGUCCAUGGCAAAAGCUGAGAAUCCAAACUUCUGUCCUGUGCAGAUUCAAGCUAAAAAGCAACAAUUGUCUAGGGCGGUGAGGUCACACUGGUCAGUUUGACAGUUCUAUUUGCUAAACACAUGGAAAACCAAAGUGUCAAAAAAACAUAGAGGUAUUGUGUACAUUGAUUAAUUGCUCUGUAAAAGUUUGUACACUAUGAUAAAGUAAAAAUUGUUGUUUGAAUAUGGGGUGUGGAUUUUAAACCGAGACUGUUUCAGAUCUGAAUAAAUGGAAGCAGCAAUAACAUUGACGUAAAUAUGGUGUACAUUGAUCAAUUAAUGACAAUGUUAACGGGGAAAAUGAAACAUAGCUUAUAGUUCAUACAACAUACAUCACAAAAGGCCAAAUAUUUGUUGAUGCCAAUGUUAAAUGAGCAAAAUUGAGGUAAUCAUAGAGCAGCAAGCAAAAGACUAUAAUAAUAUACUGUUUCUGGCAAGGAAACACCUUGAAUCAAAUAAACCUAAGAGAAAGAAGUGAUGUGCCAUGGGAGAUCAAAUGAAUUAAUGGAAGUUUCAUGUGCCAAAAGAAAAGAUUACUCAUCUUCUUUCAUUUAUUAUGAAUUUAUAAAUUUUCAGAGUAAAAAAACACAAUAGAUGGCAGGAAAACAUCCAUCAUAGUUCUGCCACAUUUAUUGGAGUGUACAGGGGAAACAAGAACAUUAAAGAAUCAAAACAGAACAGGGGCAGUUUCAGGAACCCCUAAAAGAAGUCACCAUGGUUAAGUUCUGACAUGCAAGAUGACAACGCUUCUCUUACUUGGAGAUUGUCAGAGUUCAUGUGAAGUGCAUCUUGAUAUAGUCUCCUAGCCUGCUGCAGCAACUUCACCUUCUCUUUACUAUUUCUUGGCCGUAAGCGAGAUCUUUGCUGCAGCGCCACAGCCCAUCCAAACAGAGCUGUAACCAAUAAACGUUUAAAUGUCAACUGGAAUUUCAUACCUCAACAGUUAUAUUCAUUCAAGAUGUAAACAGGGAAUAAAUAUGGAAAAGAAACUGAUAGCAUAACAAUUAUACACUUCAUAUAGAAACUUUGGUACUUGUUUCCGAUAGACAGAGAAAGAAACUGAUAGCAUAACAAUUAUACACUUCAUAUAGAAACUUUGGUACUUGUUUCCGAUAGACAGAGAAAGAAAUUAAACAUGCCAUCGGGUGCAUAAAUAUUUCCUUUCAACAUCAUAGCAUCAAAAUUAUCAAUUGCAGCCGAGAAUAUUUUGUCAGCAUCAAAGCUGUUUCCUGAAAUUUGAAAGAUUGGAAAUGAGUUCAAAUGUCUCGUAACUACUUUCAAAUCCACACAAAGCAGCUUUAUAUCAACCAAAUUGUGAGAUAGAUAUUAAAUGAUCUUUUCAAAUCAAUGACAACUGAGCCCAAAAUUGCUAGAAGUUCACUCGACGGGCACUGAAAGCAAAAGAAAAUUCUGUGGCCUAAACUGAGUGCACUGAAUAGAAGAAACUUCUAUAGAGAUGAUAUAAACAAUCUGAGUACAUUGGGUUGGAUGCUUACUGGUCCAAUAUUCAAUUAGUUGCACAAGGAAGAAGAGUGCAAGACCCCAGUUAUAUAGGGCUCUCACGUCAUUCCCAUCAAUCGACAGAGCCAACCUAUAUUUUCUACCAGCCUUCACAAGGAGUUCUUCACACUCUUCACAAGCAUCGACAAGAAGAGAUGCAAUUUUAUCUUUAUUCGCAAACUGAUAAUCUAACCCCUUGAGUAUUCUUUUCUGUUCCUCAACAGAUAUGGCAUCACCUUCCAAAAGGAGUCUUCUCAGCUUGCGGCUAAAAUGUAGCUUUAGUUCUUCAUGAACAAGAUAUGUGUUGCCCAAUUGGUCCACAGCUAACAAACUCAUGUGCUGCAUAGCUAUGGCCUGAGAGAGUAACCUGGCAGACUAGUGCAAUAUCAUCUCUGCACGCUCCUCAUCCCAACCACUCCUCAUACACUCUUUUGCGUGUUUCGGAAGAUCAUUGGCUUCCGUGAGAUACCUAUCAAACAUCACAUCAUCAAUAAAUUUAGAAGACGAAGAGGAACUGAUCUCACUCUCACGAGCACGCAAGUGAUCAGUCAGAUGGGAAUCAUCCUCAGGAUUCACCUUCUCUUCUCUUAACAUGGAACUGUAAAUCUGAUUCUCAUCCUUCUCUCUGUUGUAUGAAGACCUAUAAACUAGAUUUUCUGAGUAUGUGCUCUUGUACAAAGGAAUCUUCACUUUCCAUAUGGUUCCAACUGACUCUAAAACCUACAGAGUCAAGCAAAUUAUUACCAGAUUCCCAUGUUUCACUUUCAUUUGUAUGACCCGUGUUUACAGAGUCACGGUGAUUAUUUGUGAAUUGCAAUCUUUUAUUCUGGUAACGAUACUCAUUGGUCUGGUCUCCAUAAAUUCUUUUUCACCUGCACCCAUCUCCCUCAUUCUUUCAUCCAGCAAAUCCAGCUUUAUUCCUCUAUCCCUGUCUUGAUUCAAAGAAAACUUAUUUAGAGAAUCUCGAGAAAACUGCGAAUUGCCAACGCCUUCAUCAUCAGAAAGAAACCUUUGCUCAUCUGCAGGACUUGAAUUAUUUACUUGACGUUGAUCAUUCUCAUGCUUUAUAUUAUCUUUAACUCUGUUAGGAUUUGAAUUAACAACUUUUUCUCCAGACAAAACCCCAAUAAAUUGCAGCCAAUCAAACCCAACAUCCCCAAUUUCUUUCCUCUUUUUACCUGAUUUUUGGUUCUCGUGUAACACAUUAUUACAAUUCCCCACGUUAACAACACAAGCCUCAAUGGCAUUUCUAGCAUUUGAAGCUGAUACGUUUAUUGAUCCUACUACAUUGAAAUACUUUUCCAAAUCACUAACUGUAACUUUAUAACAAUCAAUAGCUCUUUGUAUAUCGCUCUCAAGUUACCAACUUUACCUUCAAAACGUUCAAAGUAAUCCAAUAAAUUCCUCAAUUUCUCACUAUUAGGCCUAAAAAUUCCCUCUUUCAAUCUUCUCUUACUUGCACAUACUUCACUGAAGCUGCUACCAUGAACGAACCCAAAUGAAAAACCCAAUUGCAAAAGCCAAAACUGUAGCUGGAAACACAAUUAUAGACGACACCCUGACCCUAGAAAUGGAAAAGGCACAUAGAAGCCCUAAAAUAAACAUAAAGACAUACUUUCUAUCAUCUAUUCCAAUGGAAAUUAAAAAAUCACGCAACGGAGUUGACUCACCCGUGUCACUGAGUCUCAAAUCCUCCCACCCACCCUAACUCAUGGACUCGGGCGAUGCAACAGCUUUGAUGGGAGAUAAAUCUAGAGGUUUGGGAUCGUAAAAACAUUUCGAGCGGGAAAAGGGAAGGAGUGUUUUAUUUUUUCGAGAAAAUAAUCGAAAAUGAGUGAGAAAAUGCGGAGAUGAAAUAAUCAAUGGAUUUGAGUAAUUGCCAAUUGAGUUUACAAAAAUUAAGGUUUUCAUUUGGAAAUGAAGAGUGAUCGGAAGGCCGCUUUGUUUGUUCAAUUACGUGACUUAGGAUGGUAAUU